rnacentral:lncRNA from 1 species
UAUAUUCAUCAUUUUAAAGAAUUAAAAAAAAAAUCAUCUCUAAUAUUUAAGUUUUAAUGACAAAAAUUUACAAAUUAUUUUAAAAUAAAAAAUAUAAUCGGAUCAUUGAUUUGAUAAAUAGGUCAAGAAUUUUAAUCAUAACCCGACACGAAAAAAAAUCGUGUUGACCUAGACCCGACCUAUUUAAUAAUCGUGUUAAAUUCGACGACCCAUACCCAUUUAUUAGUGUUGUGUUCGUGUCGGGUAAUCGGGUCGUGUCAAAUUUAGUCAGCUCUAGUUAUGUUCUCGUCGCAAGUUAUUUUGGGUCCAAAUACAAUAUUAAAAAUAAAUUAAAUAAAAAUUAGUAACUAAAAUUAUGUUAAAUUAUUUUUUUAUAACUUAAUUUUUAAUUAUAUUAUUGUGAGUAUAUACUAAAUCUCUUAAAAAUAGUGUUGAAUAAUUUUAUUAGUUUUUUAAAUAAAUAAAGUUACCCUAAUCGUUUUAUUAUCACAUUAUUUUCCAUAAAAAAAGUUUACAAUUACCUCUUUAUUGGACAAUUUUGUUCCUUCUCUUACCUUAUGUUCCCUUACAUUCUCAUUUCUGCAUCACCAUUUAAAUUGUAAUCAUAACGUUAAUCUUUAUCCAUCACAUAUUUUGCCAAAUUUAUUCGCACCGCAAAGCAAGAUAAAUCUGCAUCUGGAGUAUAUGAAAGGUUAUCUAACCUCACAGCUUGCCUCAAUUGUCUACAUGUUCAAAACAAGGAUCUGUUAAAAAAUGGAAAUUUCUUCAAUGCAUUAGUAAAGGGAAGUGAAGUGAAAGCUGAUUUCUUAGGCCUUCACAGAGCAUCAUGUGUUUGAAUUCCGGUAACCUCACAAAAGAUUAGAGCAUCACCUUGACCGUUCUAGGUCUUGCAACUCAGUAACCCAACCAUUGUAUCUAAGUUGCACUGUGACAACAGGAACUCCAACUAGCUCAUAAAUAUUGUUGAAAAAUUUCAUUUCCCUCCACGAUGAUGGAAGCAGUCUUUUAAUUCCAGGGACAUCACAUGCGGCCAUUAAAUAAGAAGUUGAAUAAAGAAAAAUCGUUCAACUAAAUGAUUCAGGAGUUAAAAAAAAAAUGUAGAAGUAGAAAUAAAUAACAAGGAUUUAACCAUGAACCUGCAACAUAUGCAUCAGCUUGCACAACCUUCUUGUCAGUGGCCUGAAAUAGAAUGAGAAAUUGAAAGACAGUAAGCAUUAAAGAAUAAACUCAAAGAAGCUGCUUCUAACAGAUGAUAUAAACAAUAAAUUUACAAAUGUCAGAUCAUUGCAUUAGCUCUAUGCCUCCAUCAGAGGGAAUAUUAAUAGAUGCAUAAAAAAAUAAUUAGAGCCACAUGUGAAACAAUUUACCUUAGACGUAGCAAGUGCUUUGACAAAUUUUUCCUUUCUUUGCUAUUUUUGUGGGUUCUACAAUUGUUGUUUUCACUCUCAGACAUGGCAAGUCCUUUGACAAAUGUUUCCCCGUUAGCAGAUUUAUCAUAAUGCAUCUCUCUGCAUCCCCACCUAAGAUGGAACCUGUUCUCACAAGAACAGACUCCAAGGUUGGGAAAAUCAAUUGAUCAUCGGAGAAAACAAACAGGAUUAACAAAUCACUACAAUGGUGUGAACCCGUAAAUACAAACGUACCUGCUCCCUUUAUCUGUGAUAUAUUUUCUUAUGGGCCCACUCAAAUAAACAUCCGGAGAACCCUUGAGCAUCAGCAAUAGGGAAGCCUCAGUCUUAGUCGCAAACAGUGCAAAGAUAGUAAGCAUACAACGAGCACUGAUGUUAUCACAAUCAAUAAACCCAAGGGCAUACGAAACAGGAUCCCACAUUCUUUGGAACCCUUGGACAAAAACCAAUCAGAGAAGCUUAUCUGUAAGAAGAAAUGAAGUUUUAGGUAAAAUAACAAUCUGUAGGAACAGGGAUUGAAAUUCAACAAACAAGAAAAUAUGAUGUCAUUCUUACACUAUCCAAAUCUCAUAUGUCCUUCAAGGCUCCAUCAGGAUCAACAAGUGCCUUUACAACAGCACUCAGAGCAAGAGCAAGAGCAAGAGCAUUUCUUGCUUUAUCACAAGUCUGCACUUGAGCAAUUUACGAGGCAAAGUACAUCAAAAGAGAAUCCAAAGGAGGCAAGAAGCUUCAACAUGAAAAAAGGAGUACUGCCUCAUCAUACUGCUUUGCAAUCACAGUGCAAAAGAUAAAAUCAACAAAAUCAAAAUCUAGCAUAAAUCCAUAUGCACUACCUUAAGCUGAUUUGUAGACAAAAGACCCGUUUGGGGCAGCUGCGUGGCAAACGGGUCUUUUGUCUACAAAUCAGCUUAAGGUAGUGCAUACGGGUCCAAAAAUGCGUGAAUCCCAUGUAACGGAGCUCCAAUCAGAAACCCGAAAUCAAGUUCUGGAGUUGAAAAUCAAAAUCAUGAACCAAAUCAGAGUUAUUAUUGAAUUAGACAAUCCAUAAACCAAUAGAAGGUAAAAAAAGAGGAAUAAAAAUUCUUCUAAAUUCUUUCACCAUCAACAAAAUCAGUAAAACACAUACUGAUUCAAAAUGACAUAAAGUUUGUGAAUUGAAAUAAUGCCAACUCCUAAGAAAAAUUAUGACUGCUGAUAUUUUUUCUGAAAUGCUGAUAAAAGCUUCUGCUAUUUACUUUGAAAAAAUAGAGGUUAGAAGCCAAUUUACUUGAAAUUCUGAGUUUAGGCAAGAGGAUGAAUGGCAAAAGUGAAACAUUUUAGGGAAAAAUGUACUUCAGAGGCCAAUGAAAGCAUUCAGAAGAUUGAAAUCUAAAUAAGCAAAACCCCGUGGCCUUGAUCCAACAAAUCCACUGCUGUUGACAUGCCUGCAAGCCCAGCUCCAAUAAUAGCCACUUUCAGCUUUGGUCCUCUAUAAUGUUCCGGUUCUGGUAGAAACAAGCCCUUGGGAGCUGCCAAGUAUACCAUCCAAUUAUCCACAGCGAUAAUGGAAAUAUAUAUGUGUUUAAAGGUACUAAAUUCCUAAACAUGAAAUGUAUCCAAAGAGAGACACAAAGCAGAAUUGUGCAAGCAUUUCAAUUCCCAAUAAAUUUUAAGAAUACAAAAUACUCGGUCUGUUCCUCAAUUCCUUUAAUAAAAUUUCCACUAGAGGCUACGGAAGCCACUCAAUAACACUCCAAAGCCAGAUUUUAAAAGUUAUCUUUAUCUUUAACUCCAAUCCAUAAACAAUUCUGCCACAAAUUCAAUCCAAAAUUGUUCAAGUGCACCGCCACUUCUCCAUCAAUUCCCUCAAAAAUUCAUAAUUGGCAAACACUACAAACCAAAAAGAGCUUCCAGCAAUAAACGCAUAAAAAUCCACCAAGCAACAUAAAACAAAAUACCCAGAAACCAGAAAAGCCAAAAGAUCAAUGCUUGGCAAACAAGCCAAUCAAAUAAAACAAAAAGAAGAGAAAUUUACCAUUAACGCUCAUAUCAGAAACAUUAGUGUCCAAAGAAGCCCGUACACGGAAUCUUGGAUCCUUCACUUGAACCCGAGACCAUGUAAUGCCAGUAACUGAAGUUGCAGGAAACAGAGCUGAAGAACCCAUAUUGCAAAUCCUGAGCUGAAAUCAAAGAAAUUCAAUUGGAACUCAAUUCAGCUCAACCGAGCGGAGCUCUCUUUUGCUUCAAUAACAAAGUGUUUUUCUUUCAUAUCAACAAAGAUUUGUCAACAUCAACAAAAUUUAACUAAGAAACUAAAAUAAUGCGGUAUCUUUGAGUUUAAGAAUCUAACAAGAUGCUAAGGAAGAGAGUUUUGUCAGGGAACUGUUUCGGAGAGGUUGGCCAAGUGGAUUUUUGUUUUUUUCUUGUUUUGCCCUUUUCAUUAAUGCACAACAUUAGUCCACGUGAAGAGCACAAAAAGCUGGUGGCUUUGUCACUAACGAUAAUGGAUGGAGUGUCCAAAGCAACCAACUAAAUUUUAAAGAGAGGGAAUGAUAAGUAAUAUUGUGAACAGAGGAGAAGAAUAAAAAUUUUUCUUAUUUUUAAGUUUUUCCUAACAGCCAGUAUAAUAGAGUUAAUUUAUAGGUCUACACAUUUUUAAUUUAACUUCUUAAUUUUUGGAAAUAUGUAAAUUAGUAACAGCUAUACAAAUCAGACAAAUUAGACAAUUAAUUCUAGAAAUCAAGAAUGUCAACUAAUCUAAUCUUUCCAUAUUUUCUACACCCCCCUCAAGUUGGUGCAUAGAUAUUAAUCAUGCCCAACUUGUCAAUGAAAGAUCCAAACUUUGGCCUGAAGUGUCCCUUGGUAAGAACAUCUGCUGUUUGUUGCUCUGAAGGGAUGAACGGCAUACAAAUUACUCCAUUCUCCAGCUUUUCUUUUAUAAAAUGUCUAUCAAUCUCAAUAUGCUUCGUACGAUCAUGCUGAACCGGAUUAUUUGCAAUGCUUAUUGCUGAUUUAUUAUCACAGAACAGUCUCAUAGGUGCUUCAAUAUCUAGUUUCAGUUCUCCAAGGACUCUUUUAAUCCAUAACACCUCGCAAACUCCAUUUGCCAUGGCCCUAAACUCAGCUUCAGUACUGCUCCUGGCAACCACGUUUUGUUUUUUGCUUCUCCAAGUAAUUAAAUUUCCCCAUAAGAACGUACAGUAACCAGAUGUUGAUCUUCUAUCUGAAACUGAGCCUGCCCAGUCUGCAUCUGUGAAGACUUCUACACUCCUUUGAUCACUCUUCUUAAAUAAUAACCCUCUUCCAGGUGUACUCUUUAAAUACCUGAGAAUCUUGUGAACUGCCUCCAAAUGUUCCACAUAAGGUGAGUGCAUAUAUUGACUUACAACAUUAACGGCAAAGGCAAUAUCAGGUCUUGUGCGAGAUAAAUAAAUGAGUUUCCCUACAAGACGUUGAUAUCUACCUUUAUCAACUGGAACUCCAUUGGAAACCUCUCCUAACUUCUAAUUAGGAUCCACGGGUGUAUCACUUGGUCUGCAACCACUCAUUCCUGUCUCUUCUAGCAAGUCCAGAACAUACUUUCUUUGUGACACAGAAAUUCCCAUUCUAGAUCUUGCAACUUCCAUACCUAAGAAAUAGCGUAAAGGACCCAAAUCCUUAAUUUUAAAUUCUGAUGCCAGGUGCUUCUUCAGCCUACUCAUCUCAUCACCAUCGCUCCCAGUAAGUAUUAUGUCGUCUACGUAUACAAUUAGGACAGCCAUCUUUCCACCAUCUGUGUGUUUCACGAACAUUGUAUGAUCAGAUUGUCCUUGACUAUAUCCUUCUUUUCUAACAAACCUAGUAAAUCUCUCGAACCAAGCACGAGGAGACUGCUUCAGUCCAUAAAGGGAUUUCUUCAAUUUACACACCUUUCCUCCAAACUUGUCUUCAAAACCAGGGGGUGCAUUCAUAUAUACUUCCUCUUCCAAUUCUCCAUUGAGAAACGCAUUUUUAACAUCCAAUUGAAACAAUGGCCACUCCAAAUUAACAGCUACAGAGAGUAGUAUUCAAAUGGUAUUUAGUUUGGCUACGGGAGCAAAUGUCUCUUGAUAAUCAACUCCAUAGGUCUGUGUGAAUCCUUUUGCUACUAACCUUGCUUUAUAGCGUUCCAAGGAUCCAUCUGAGUUGUAUUUCACAGUGAAAAUCCACUUGCAACCAACAAUCAAUCUUCCUUCAGGCAAAUAAACCAUCUCCCACGUUCCAUUUUUUUCUAGAGCCUCCAUUUCUUCACAAACAGCCUUCUUCCAUUCAGGAACCUUUAGUACUUCCUGUAUAGACUUAAGUAUAUCCACACUUGACAAUUGAGAGACAAAAGUACGAUAAGAUGAUGACAGGUUCUUAUAAGACACAAAAUUGGAAAAGGGAUGUUGAGUACAUGAUCUAAUUCCUUUCCUAAGAGCAAUGGGAAGAUCUAGAGGGUCAGAAUGUAUUUGUGGGAUAGAUAAAGACUCAGACUUUAUAAAUUUAGAGAUCGUACCUGGAUUUUCAAAAUCAGUGUUUUUCGGAUCUGGAAUUGGAUCAGAUUCAUGGCAUUGAGGAAGUAUCACUGCAUCUUUCUUACUUUGAAUCCGUUUCUCCCUAGUGUAAGUUUUCCCGAACAAUCUCUCAUCAUUAAAGCGUGUCUCGUCUAUUAUCCUAGAGUCAGUUUUAUGUUCAAGCACUAAGGUAGUCCUCCUAUCCUCCAUAUUCAAGGUAUUAGGAUUAAAAAUUUCAGUUUCAAUAUUUUCCUUACCAUUAGUACUCAUGUCAAGCUCAAACACCGAGUUUUUAUUUUUUUCCCCCCCUGAAGAGGAGGAUUAAAAAAACUUUGAGACUCAAAGAAUGUAACAUCCAUUGUGACAAAAAAAUUUUGUUUGUUAGGAUCAAAACAUUUAUACCCUUUUUGAGUAGGAGAAUAGCCCAGAAAAACACAUUUUACAGCCCGUGGAUCUAGCUUAUCCCUAUUAUGAUUGUGUACAUGUACAAAGGCAACACAUCCAAAGACCUUUAAAGGUAAAUCUGAAGUCAAACGUGUCAUUGGAAAGAAUUUUUUUAAAACUGUCAAUGGUGUCUGAAAGUUCAAAACUCUUGAUGACAUCCUAUUAAUAAGAUAUGUAGCAGUAAGAAUUGCUUCCCCCCAUAAGUAUUUAGGAACUUUAGUGGUGAACAUUAAAGACCUAGCUAUUUCUAGGAGGUGCUUAUUUUUUCGUUCUGCUAUCCCGUUUUGUUGAGGAGUGUCAUUACAAGAGCUGUGAUGAACAAUUCCUUUUUGUAAGAAAAAUGACCCCAAUAUUUGAUUAAAGUAUUCCUUCUCAUUGUCACUUCGAAACACUUGAAUUUUUGUUUGAAAUUGUGUUUCAACCAUAUUAUAAAAGUUUUUAAAAACAUGUUCUGCUUCAGAUUUUUCUUUGAGUAGAUAGACCCAACUUAGGCGUGUAUGAUCAUCAAUAAAUGUUAUAAACCAUCUUUUUCCAGAAUUGGUUAAUGUCCUAGAGGGACCCCACACAUCACUAUGAAUAAGGGUAAAAGGCUUGGAUGCUUUAUAUGGUUGACUAGGAAAAGAUGCACGAUAGUGUUUAGCUAACUGACAAAUAUCGCAUUGAAAAGACGAUAGAAGUUUAUUACGAAAUAAGUUUGGAAACAAAUGUUUUAAAUAUAAAAAGCUAGGAUGGCCUAACCUACGGUGCCAUAACAUUAUUGUAUCAUCAGUAGAACUGAAACAUACUUUGAGAUUUGAAAUUUUCUGUUGCUGAAACAUAGAGUUCCCAUCAUCAAAGUAAUAGAGACCGCCAUACUCUAGCAUUGCCAAUCAUCCUCCCCGUAUCCAGUUCCUGAAAUUCACAACAAUUUGGAAGAAAUUUAGCACAACACUUUAAAUCACGAGUUAUUUUACUUACAGACAAAAGAUUACAAGAGAGAUUUGGAACAUGAAGGACAUCGUGAAGAACAAGAGUAUUAGAGAUAAUAAUUGACCCUUUCCCAGCAAUUGCUGAGAGGGAGCCAUCAGCAAUCUUAAUUUUUUUGAUUGCCUGCACAAGGACUAUAGAAAGAAAAUAAUUUAGAGCAUCCAGUCAUAUGAUCGGUGGCACCUGAAUCUAUUAUCCAUGGACAAAGAGGAAUAGUGGACACAUUAAAGACAACAGCAGAUUGAAUAUAAUUACCUUUCUGGGCUAAGGAACAAGAAGAAGAUACUGGAUUAGUCACUUGUGUGGACUGAAAAAGUUUAUACAGUUGUUCUAACUGUUCCUUACUGAAUGAAGGUGUCGUAGCUGUAGUUGCAGUGAAUCCCGACAGUAGAAACUCCCCUGCGCCAAUUCCAGUAGAUGUAGCAGUGGAAUUGGUAUCACCAGUUACUGUAAACCCAGGCAUGGUGUUUUGCACCAUUACAACAAGACAAUGAACAGAUCCGUAUGGGAGUCAAGCCAGGCUUAAUUCUGCCAUAGCUCUGAUACCAUGUGAACAGAGGAGAAGAAUAAAAUCUUUUCUUAUUUUUAAGUUUCUCCUAACAUCCAGUACAAUAGGGUUAAUUUAUAGGUCUACACAUUCCUAAUUUAACUUCUUAAUUUUUGGAAAUAUGCAAAUUAGUAACAACUGUACAAAUCAGACAAAUUAGACAAUUAAUCCUAGAAAUCAGGAAUGUCAACUAAUCUAAUCUUUCCAUAUUUUCUACAAAUAUCUUAAUGGGGUGAUUAAUUAAUUUAUUAUCAAGCAAUUGUAUUUAUUUAUUUAAAAGAUAUCCUUAUCUUUGUACAAGGUUUGAGGAAAGACGACGAUGUUGUGUUGUCACAUAUUUUUACAUUUCUCCAUAAUUCACUGCAACAUCAACUGGGCCACCACCUCUUGCCUCUCCUGGUUCCCCUCAAUUUUCGUAUUCAAUGUCCACCGUUGAUUGAACAUUUAUUAAAAUUCUGUGGUUAUUGUUUUUUUGCAUACAUUUAAUUCCACACGGUCUAUGGAUAGAGCAGGUGCAUCGUAGUUGUGGCCUUAAUUGUUAUUGGUAACUCAAUAGCUAAUUCUAAUGUUUCAUCAAGCAGUUUAGAGAUAACCUCUCUCGCUGAACUCCCCGGAGUAAUGCAAUCCAGUUUUCCAGUGCAAUCAUCAGACAGUUGAACAGCUUCUGAAUUCCCUUUGCUUUUCUUGUUUUCUUUUCCAUGUAAAGGGAGCUCAGGCUUCAAUAUAUCUGGGGAUUGAGUACUAAUGAUAAAGACAACAUACGGUAGAGGACACAAAUUGUUAUUAAAGAAUGACGCACUUUUCAACUGAGUACAGUAAAGCAAGAAUGGAUAAUUAGUUUUACCUGCAACGUGAAAAUCUAGACUCCCGACGAUAACCGAUCUUUGGUGAAGCAAAUAAAGAAGAAGGCGAAGUAAAAUUCACUGAGUUGAAUGAGCGAUCAUUGCGUAUGGACUUGAUUUGUUCAAUGGGUGAAAGACUGCUGAUAUAAUUAAAGACUGGAGAAUCCUGCAUGUUGACAAGCAUCAUUUUUAAUCAGCAUAGAGUCUUAAAAACCUAGUCAGUGGCAAAUGAUCAUGACAAGAAAUCUGAAGUAGAAACAGCAGAGCUCAACAAAUCACUAAGAGAAAAUAAGACCACUAACCAAGCAGAUGAAAGAAAAGCAAAAUAACCCAUCUCAAAUCACCACAUGCACAAUUUAAGGGGGCUGUGACAUGGGUGUAAACAUGACUUAACAAGUGCCACCAGUGAAUUCUCAGAGAUUGAAUUUUCAUACACAUGUCAAAUUUUUAAAUCCAACAAAUUGUUAUCUUUCUGAAGAUAUUAACUAUGCAUAGCAUGCUAUAAACGAAUCAUAUUAUCAGGGCCUUUGUUUGCCGUACACAGCAUAUGCACAGAGGAACAAAUCCAUGAGCUGAAAUCAUCAUAUUCCAAAAUAUUCUACCCAAUCAACACUACAAAACCCCAACGCUAAACAGAAUUGGAGCGAUUUACGAAAGCUAUUUGUCACACAAAGCACUAGUACCUCAGAACCCAAUUUGCAAAAAAGCAACAAAAAUGAAAAAUAGCAAAUGCCCAGAUGAAAAAUCAGGCAAAAAAUCCAAACUACAACCCCAUAAGCUGGGUCGUUCUCUUCAAACUGAAUUAAAAAAAAAAUUAAAAAAAUUAAAAUGGGGAGAUUGACCUCAAACUUGGAAACAGAAGCGACAGCGAUCUGUUUCUUGUCUGGAGUGUCCAUUUCUAUAAUCUACUUUGUCCGUUUUCACUUUUCAGUUGCUCAGCCACAAAGCCUCUUCAGUCUGAAGCUGAAACUCACCACACACUUGCAAAACGAAAGCAUUUUUUGAUUGAUUGAGAGGCGGGAAGGCGGGAAAACGAGAGAAAUUUGCCUUUGUUUUUUCUUCGUUUGGUCAUACAUGCGCGGGCCCCAGCUUGACAAGCGUUAUUAUUACUAUUUGCAUUAUUUGAAGGACGCGUGUCAUGCAAUGACGAUAGAAAAAGUGGUAAAGUGGUGCAAACUCGAAUGGUCACGAAAUGACGAUAAAAUAAAAAUAUAUUGUUAAUUUUUCACUUAACAUUGGAAUACCAUAUAAUUUUAUGGUCAUUUUCUCGCCGUACGCCACAUUCUUUUGAUAAAAUAAUACGGUAAAACUUUUCUAUAAUCAUGAUAUUAGAACCCAAUUAACUUUAUUUCUAUGAAGAUGUUAUAGCUUAAUAAAGGUAAAAUUGUAAAAAAUAUUAUUUUGACUUAAUUAUCUUUAGUACAAGUGAUAUAAAAAGUAAAUAUAUGAUAAUUAAUUAAUAAAUUAUGUCAAAUAUAAUAUAUGGACAAUGAUAAAAAAAGAUAGACAUAAUUUCAGAAAACUAAUACAUAUGUUUUUGUAGUGCUGGGAUUAUACAAAGUUAUUGUUGUGUAUUCAGUUAAUCAAAUCAAAGAGGAUGAAACGGCAGUGCUGACACGCGUUUUGUAACGUUCAACAACUUAAGCAAAAUGACGUGUGAAGACUGCGUUUAAAUAAGUAAAUCAAGUGCUUGUUAGAAUGACAUACAGUCUUGCCGUUUUGGAGUUAAUGAAGCACAAGCAGAACAUGUGCAAACGAGAAGGUUGUUUAGAAGCCGUUAUUGCACAUGAUUAGCACGAGCGUUUCUGGAAAUGCCUCUGAGGUUCGUUAUAAGCUGUUACACAUAGCUUGAAGAGAGAGAGAGUUGACGAGAGACUGAGAGCAUUGUAACAAGAGAAAGAAAGCUUGAGAGUUAGGAGUUUUCUUGUUCUUAUUGAGUGCUUGGUAAUCUCUGUAAUCAAGACUUGAGCAAAAUCAAUAAAGCUGAUGAGUUUGUUCCCCCGUGGAUGUAAGUCAAUGCAAAUUGACUGAACCACGUUAGCUAGCUGUGUUAUGUGAUUUCUUGCAAUUCAAUUCAAUUCUUUGUUUGUUUCUAAACACAAUCAUUGUCUUAGUUAAUUGUACAUUACUUCUUUAUCUUUUCUGAUUGUUUAGUGAGCCAUCUUGUUGUUUCUAAUAAGAUCUUGGGGGAGUGUUCUGUAAAGCUUGCUGGUAUUUGCUUAUCAGAAUCUUCAGAUAUCUUAAAAGUGUAAAGAGUAAAGUAUUGUUCUAAUUAAUUUAAAAAAAUAUUUUAUUAUUAACCUUUAAUGCAAUAUAGCAAUUUUUUUUCCUUGGCAACAAGGCAUUGUUCCAAAUAAUUAUUAUUGGAUCCAGAUCCUGUCGUAGACAUUUUCUCUAUUAAUUUUCCUAAACUUUUAGGGUAUGUUUGGCACGUAGGAUUGGAUUGGACUAAAUUAGAAUGAAUUAGAUUGGAUUGGAUUGGAUUAUAUAUAGUGCUGACUUAUGUUUGGUAUGAUAUUGUAUUAGAUUAUGUUAAAUUAAGUUUACAUGAAAUUAAAUAGUAUUUACAUUAAUAUUUGAAUUUAAAUAUCAACUAUUUAUAGAUAUUUAACAAGAAAUAUUAUAAUUAAUUAAAAAUAGCACUAAUAAGGUGUGUGUGUGUGUGUGUGUGUGUGUGUGUGUGUGUCUAUAUAUUCAUUUAGUUAUUUGGUAGUCAUAAUUAUAAUAAAGAAAUAUAAAUUAUUUAAAUUAUAGGUUAUUUCAAAGAGUAAUGAGAGAUAUCAUUUCAUUAAAUAAAAUAAAUAAAACUAUUCAAAUAAUAAAUUAAUUAAUAAAUAUUAAGUAAAUCAUGAAUAAAAAAGAAAUUACUUAAUUAAAAACAAUAAAUAAAUAAUUUUUAAGUUAUAAAUAAAAUUGUGUAAUAAAUUAUGGAAGAUAUUAUAAAUACACAAAUAUUUUUUUCACAUUAUCUAGUCCCAACUAAACCCACAUAAAAAUUAGUAUUAGCAAUUCCAUGAAUUUAGGAUUAAAAUUUGAAUUUAGUCCAUUAAUCCAAUCCAAGUGAGCAUGCCAAACAUGGUAUUAAUAUUUUAUCCCAAUAAUAAGUCCAAUCCUACACUAAAUCCUACCUCCCAAACAUAACCUUAAGAAUCUAUUGACAUGUGUCAUUAAUGAAAUUAAAAGGCUACGAUUUUGUUUUAAUUAAUUUUUACCUAAAUAGAUAUCAAAACUCAUGUGUGACUCUUGUUAAUUUUUUUCUUACAAUUUCUUUUCCUCUUAAUUCUUUAUAUUGACACUGAUUUCUAGCAAAUUAUUAAAAAAAGAAAGAGAGCACAAAUUGGAGAAAAGUGAUUGACAACAAGGUUUGCAUCUUAAUUUCAAAAUUUUCCUUUCUUUGUUGUUGUUUUUUUUUUGGGUUCUAUAAUUGUUGUUUUCACUCUCACUUACAAUUCAAUGAACUAAAUUAGUAUUGCUACUUAUAAACUGUUAUUACCGGGCAUAUAAUUCUAUUGCUACAAUUUUACUGUUGUCUAGCUAUUUUUUUGAGUUUAUAGUUGUUGUUCUAUUGUCUUUUUGGGGUUUGCAACUGAUGUUUGCUGUUUUUCUAGGUUUUAUAGUUGAUGUAUUGGGAAAAAUAAAAAUAAAUUUGAUCUUGAAUUCUUUAACUUCUAUGAAACAAUUAAAUUCUUUUGCUGCUAUAUUUUUUUGUUGUUCUAUUAUGGCCGGGAUGUGUGUGAAAAGGCAAGAAUCUACCCAAAAAAAAAAAAAAAUGACAAGAGUCACAUGUGAGUUUAGAUGUAUUUUUAAGUAAAAAUUAAUUAAAAUAAAAUCUUGGCCCUUUAAAUAACUUAAUAUAAUGAAUUUAUUCUUAAUAACUUAAUAUUAUUUAAUCUAUAGAAGCAAGAUCCUCGAAGACAAAACCUAUAAAUAACUUAAUAUAAUGAAUUGAUUCUUAAUCUACUCCAAAUUGAGACUACAAUUUUUUACUUAAAAAUUGACUAGCUAGCUUUACCUUGAUGGGCCGACUAUCGCCCAUACAUAUUUCUUUAAAUUUAUUAAUAUUUUUGUGCAUAGCGAUUAGGGUUUCAUGACAACAAAUUCUCCUUUUAGUAUAUAAAAAGUAUACUAACAAGUAGUGUAGUGUUCCCCUCCAAAAGGGCAUAGCUCACUAACUUUUAGUCUCUUUCUUCGGUUGACGACUCCAGUUAGACUCUUCAAUGAGAUUAAAGAUUGAAUAUAUCUAAAAUAUUAGCAAUAUUUGUGCUUAUAUUUAACAAAACUAGAGUAAUAUAUUGAUUAAUCUACAUAAUUUUAGGCGGGUUCUUAGGUAAUGUUACAAUUACAUAGAUUAUUUUCACAGUAUAAGCCAAAUCUUAAGAAUUAAUUACUUGAAUAAAAGGAAUAAAGGAUGAUCGAUAAAAGUAAAACAAAGAAAAUAAAUUAUGCCGUUAAAUUGGGAUAUUUGGCUGCCUUAAUCGCUAGAGAUGCUUCUCCAAAACCCGCGUGUAAACAAAACACAUAUUUUUAACAUAACAAUAGCCCAAGCACAUAAACAAGAGUGAAAGCCGAGGAAUCAAUUUCAUUACUGUUCACUAGUAUUUUCAAUUUCAUUAUUUCAUUAACUAUGUCAUUGAUAAAAAAAAAAAAAAAAACUCAAUUUGAGAUGUUAUACAUUACUUUUCAUUACUUCCCAUUUCAAACAUAUUUAUCAUAUAUAGUCUUAGUAGCUUGUAACCCUUUCUGGUAAGGGUAAAAUAUUUCUUACCCCUUUGAUUUCUGAGAUUGUCCUCACAAUAAUGAUGCUGGCCCCAAUUUCUAAAACUACUAUCUCUAUGAGUAAAUUCCUUAUAAAUUUUCUUUUAAUUGAAAAUAUUUAAACAAUUGAAGAUAAAUUUAUUUAUUUUUUUAUUCGAAUGAAAAUUCAAUUAAACACUUAAAUAAGCUAUUCCUUUAACAAUUCUUUUCACACCCAUCAUGUUUCGUAAUUUAUAUUUAUAUUUAUAUUUUAAAAUUUAAUUGAAAAUACUUUUUGAGAAACUUUUAAGAAUUAAGAAUCAUGGAGAAAAAAAUUAUUUAAUAUGAAGAAAAUAGUUUAAAAUCUUAAGAUUUGUAUGUUUUAUAAAUAAAAACUUGAAAAAAUACUCUUUCCGAGAAAAGAUUUAAUCAGAAAAUGAUUAAUUUUUAAUUUAUGAAUUAAUAUUUUAUAAAUUAAACUAGGGGUAUUUUAAGGAAUAUAAUUAAAAAAGAGUGUCAUAAGGAUAUUUAGGGGUGUUAGAAGCCAUACUCAUUUACAUAAGCCAUGGGAGUUAGGGUAUUGGGUUUCUUUUUGUUUUGUAUGAAUUGGGAAAAAUACAGAGACAGACAAAGGGAACAGUCAUUACAAAGCUGUGAAGCGUGUGGGAGAUACCCAUUUGUAGCUUAAACUCCUAGGGUAUUGUUUCUGUCUUUCUCUUUCUCACUUUCUCAGGCAGCAGAUGUACAUAUCAUGAAAUAGCCAUACAUAGUUGGUUAGGCCUCCAGUCCAUUAACUUAAUAAUGAAUUUUAUGAAAAUUGAUUAUCUCAUUGGAAUUACAUGGAUAUUGGAAAGCAUUACUCCAGCCCCACCAUCCCAACAAUUUACUAAGUUCAUCAGUAAAAGCUGGAUUUUCCAUUUGUUCUUGAGAUUCAAAUUAAGGCAGCAGAUUGCUCAUCCCAUACUAUCCAUGUAAUCUUGUAAAAGUGAAGGGCGUUUAGAUGUGGAAAAACCUUACUCCUGCCGCAACGCCUCAAACAGAUUGUGAUCAGACAAGACUUAGGUCAUCAUUAGUAGUAGUUGGAACUUCCAUUUGUUCUUGAGAUUCAAAGGCAGCAAGCUGCUUCCUCAGUGCUACUAAUUCUUCCCUGGCAUUGCAUAUGUACGCUGAGGCUUGUCUACCAGACAAACUUGCUCCUUCCAUGAUAUCUAUGUAAUCCUGUGAGGGUGAAACCAUUUAGGACACAUAUCUCUUUUUUUCUAUUGAUCGUGACAUAUUUGGAAUGAAACAAUUAUAAACAGUGACCUGUUUUGUAUAUGAGCCAGCAAGGAACAAGUUCUUCACUUGUGUCUUUUGAUCAGGUCUGAAGGGGUCUUUACCAGGUCCCUCAUGGUACAAAGACUGCCCGAUUUUGACAACAGAUGACCAAAUAACUUCUAAACCUUGGGACAAUGGAAAUAGAGCUAAAACCUGAUAAAAGGAACCGUGAAUGGAUAAUAUGAACAGAUGUAUAUCAUCCAGAAAGUUGCAUGACCUUUUGCAGGGCUCAAAGUCACUAAAAAAUGUGAGAUAUACAUCUAGGAUAAGAAAAACGAAAAAGCGUAACCUAAUAUGUAUUAUAUGAAUUGAAGGUGUCACUGAACACUACCAACCUGCUUUGCCACUCUCCUAAUGAUUUCAUCAUUUGGUAAGGGCAUGUAAGGAUCGCCAGGCGUUAAAACGCAUCUGAAAGAUAAUUCAGUUAUAGUAAGCAACACAGAAUACAAAGACACUUGGCAAAAGGAAGUCAACCAGAUUCCAUGACACAAAAUGAAACUAAUAAUGGCGAAACUUCUCUGUAGUAGUCUUCUGGUGAAGUGAGUGCCAGAUCUGCAAAGCAAGAGAAAUCAGCAUGUGGAGUAUACAAAAGAUCAUCUAAUCCCAGAGCUUGCCUCAAUUGCCUACAUGUUCAAAACAAGGAUCCGUUAAAAAAUGGAAAUUUGUUCAAUGCAUUAGCAAAGGGAAGUGAAGUGAAAGCUGAUUUCUUAGGCCUUUAAAGAGCUUCUUUUGAUUGAAUUCCUGUAACCUCACAAAAGAUUAGAGCAUCACCUUGACCGUUCUAGGUCUUGCAACUCAGUAACCCAACCAUUGUAUCUAAGCUGCACUGUCACAACAGGCACUCCAACUAGCUCAUAAAUAUUGUUGAAAAACUUCAUUUCCCUCCACGAUGAUGGAAGUAAUCGUUUAAUUCCAGGGACAUCACAUGCUGCCAUUAAAUAGGAAGUUGAAUAAAGGUAAAACAUUCACCUAAAUGAUUCAGGAGAACAAAAAAGCACAAGUAGGAAUAAAUAAGGAGGAUUUAACCACAAACCUGUAACAUAUGCUUCAGCUUGCACAACCUUCUUGUCAGUGGCCUGAAACAGAACCAGAACCUCUAAGACCAUAAGCAUUAAAUAAUAAACGCAAAGUAGCUGCUUCUAACAGAUGAUAUAAACAACUGAUUUACAAAUGUCUGGUCAUUGCAUUACCUCCAUCAGAGGGAAUAUCAAUAGACGAGUAAAAAAAUAAAUAACUAAACUAGCUUUUGCCGCCUAAUUAGAACCAUGUGAGAAACAAUUACCUUAGACAUGGCAAGUCCUUUGACAUAUGUUUCUCCAUUAGCAGAUUUAUCAUAAAGUAUCUCUCUGCAUCCCCACCUAAGAUGGAACCUGUUCUAGCAAAAACAGACCCCAAGGUUAGGAAAAUCAGUAGGAGAAAACAAACAAGAUUAACAAAUCACUGCAAUGAUGUGAACCUGUAAAUAGAAAUUUACCUGCCCCCUUUAUCUGUGAUAUGUUUUUGUAUGGGCGCACUCAAAUAAACGUCUGGAGAACCCUUGAGCAUCCGCAAUAGGGCAUAAGCAACAGGAUCCCACAUUCUCUGAAUACUCGUCCGUGUCCCACCUUUGGACAAAAACCAAUCAGAGAAGCUUAUCUGUAAGAAGAAAUGAAGUUUUAGGUAAGAUAACAAUUUGUAGGAACAAGGAUUGAUAUUAAAACAAACUAGAAAAUAAGAUGUCAUUCUUACACUAUCCAAAUCUCCUACGUCCUUCAAGGCUCCAUCAGGAUCAACGAGUGCCCUUACAACAGGACUCAGAGCAAGAGCAAGAGCAUUUCUUGCUUUAUCGUAAGUCUGCACUUGAGCAAUACAUGAGGCAAAGUACAUCAAAAAAGAAUCCAAAAGAGGCAAGAAGCUUCAACAUGAAAGAAGAAAUACUGUCUUAUCAUACCGCUAACUAAUCAGAGUGCAAAAGAUUACAUCAACAUAAUCAAAAUGGAACAUAAAUCCAUAUGCACUACCUUAAGCUAAUUUGUAGACAAAAAUGCGCGAAUCCCAUGUAAGGGAGCUCCGACUGGAAACCGGAAAUCAUGUUCUGGAGUUAAAAAUCAAAAUCAUGAACUUAAUCAGAGUUAUUAUUGGACUAGACAAUCCACAAACCAAUUUCAGAGUGUCCAACCACCAAACAUAACUAUCAGUAGUCUUAAGUGAUCAAGAAAUAACCAUACCACCAAUUUCACCACCUUAUUCACAAAUGUAUGAGUAUGAUCCUUCAUGAGUAAAUUUUUUUGUGUCCGCACUGACCUGUAGACAUCCAUGAAAAACUAUCAGAUUAUAAACACAGGGUCAAUUUAAAGAGGAGCUAUGAUUCUGAUCCAUCAUGAUAUUUGAAGAACAUUUUCAUAUUUUCCUACAACGAGUAAACUAUAACCAGUUAUCAUCACUAUAGAUGGCAUGGUCAAGAGAAAUUAUAGUUCUUGUUUCAAGAAUCUCAAAUCAUAAUUCCUUUGCAUGGCUAGUGUGCUUUUAUAAUCAUUCAAACACACUUAUCCACAACUAAGCAAGCUUUACCUUUUUCAUCAAUCGGAACAGAUUAUUGUAGCAUCCAAAGAAAAUGUGCAGGCCCAUUUCAAUAUGGUUUCCAUGUUUAUCAAUAAAUGAACCCACUUUACCACCAAUGAAAGACCUUGACUCAUAUAUAUCCACCUGGAAGGGGGGGGGGGGGGGGGGAGGAAUCUUCUAAUUUCUUUCACCAUCAACAAAAUCAGUAAAACACAUACUAAUUCAAAAUGAAAUAAACUUUGUGAAUUGAAAUAAUGCCUGCUCUAAAGAAAAUGAUAACUGCUAUUCAUUUUUCCGAACUGCUGAUAAAAGCUUCUGCUAUUUACUUUGAAAAAAUUGAGUAACUUCAAAUUUUCAGUUUAGGCAAGAGGAUGAAUGGUAAAAGUGAGACAUUUUAGGGGAAAAGAAAAUACUUGAGAGGCCAAUGAAACAUUGAAAGAUUGAAAUCUAAAUGAGCAAAACCUCAUGGCCUUGAUCCAACAAUUCCCCUGCUGUUGACAUGCCUGCAAGCCCAGCUCCAAUAAUAGCCACUUUCAGCUUUGGUCCUCUAUAAUGUUCCGGUUCUGGUGGAAACAAACACUUGGGAGCUGCCAAGUAUACCAUUCAAUUAUCCACAGGGAUAUUGGAAAAACAUACAUGUUUGAAAGUACUAAACAUCAAAUGUCUCCCGAAAAAAAUACAAAGCACAAUUGCAUAAGCAUUUCAUUUCCCAAUAAAUUUCAAGAAUACAAAAUACUUGGUCUGUUCUUGAGUUCCUUUAAGAAAAUUUCCACUAGAGAGCACGCAAGCCACUCAAUAACACUCCAAAGUCAGAUUUUAAACGUUAUCUUGAUCUAUAAGUACAAUCCAUGAACCAUUCUGCCACAAAUUCAAUUAAAAAUUAUUCAAGUAAAAUGCCAAAUUCUCCAUCAAUAGCCUCAAAAAUUCAUAACUAGCAAACACUACAGAACAAAGAGCUCCCAGCAAUAAACACAUAAAAAUCCCACCAAGCAACAUAAAUCAAAAUACCCAGAAACCAGAAAACCCAAAAGAUCAAUACUUGGUAAACAAACAAAUCAAAUCAAAUAAAACAAAAAGAAGAGAAAUUUACCAUUAACACUCAUAUCAGAAACGUUAGUAUCCAAAGAAGCCCGUACACAGAAUCUUGGAACCUUCAGUUGAACCCGAGACCAACAAACACCAGUAACUGAAGUUGCAGGAAAAAGAAGUGAAGAACCCAUAUUGAAAUAAAAGAAUCCAAACCCAAAGUCCCACAUCUAAAUAUGAUGGAUCCACUCCAUGCGGCAAUAUGAAAUUUAAGCUCUCUUUUCUUAUGUCACCCAAGGCAUUGGCAGGAUGGCCAAACACCUGAGUUCAAGUCUACAAUAGAGAAUCGAAAUUUUCCUUUGUAAAUGUUCAUAAGUAUUUACCACAGAUUUUCAAGUUAUUCUUGAUAGAUCCCCUACUAUAUAUGCUAUAAUAUUUCUCUUCUUUUAAUUUAAAAGUAAAUCAUUCAUAAUAUCGGACUUGUAAAGAAAUAAAAUUUUCGGUAAUUAACUGACAAAACAAAAAAAGAUGGAUUAUGCGAAAGAAGUUAAUAUGGAGUAAGUCGAGCACUUGACAAUCAAAGUAAUUUACUCGAGGUUGACUAAGGAUAGUACGAUACUUUCUCAAGUUUUCUGAGGACAUUCACGUGACAUUGGACUAUUGACUAUACUUUCUCAAGUUAUAUGAUGAUAGAUUCAGAAUUCUUUUGAAGAAAAUAUUUUAUAUAAACUUAAUUAUAUGGUAUAAAAUGAUUGGCCUUAAUAAAAUUAAAAAAUCAUAAAAAUAAUACACGCCUGGGUCAUGCAAUAUUUUCAUGAAACAAUGUGCACAAAAUGCCUGUGAUAAUGAAACAAUGUGCCGUCCUUAAACUAAUAUUAUUAGAAACUAUAAUAAGUGAAAGUUUUCAGAAAACAUGUGAUAAGUUUUUCUCGGAAUUUGUUUUCUCCUUUGUUUUGAUUUACGCGAGAGAUAGUUGUAAAGAUUGUUUUGAGAAGUUUUCAGAAAACAUGUGACGAAUCGUAGUAAAAAAUUUAUAUAUAAUAAUUGAAUGAGAUCCAUGGUUCACAAUUGCAAAUUAAAGGUUGGUUUUAUAAUAAACAUCGUUUUGUGCAUACCAAAUUAGAAAAGAUUAUAAGUAAAUUAAGAUUUUCAAAAUUUGACUAGUAUUAUAUUACGUACAUCAAUAUAAUAUAAAUUUGUUAUAUAUAUAUUUUACUCUGUAACCAAUGCUUUCAAAAACUUUGUACUUGUAUUUUUGAACAACUUUUUUUGCUUUUUAUUUAUAUGGAAUAUCAUUUAUGUUUACAUAAAUUUUCAUAUGUACCUAAAUUAAGCAUUAAAUACACACACUUUGGUAAGACACAUUUCUAGUAUCAGACAAUGAUAUUAUAUUGAAUGUAAUGCUUCAAUGAAUUUUAUUACUAUAUACUAAAAUACUCAACGAUCUUCAUUAAAAAAAAAAAAGAAAUUGCAUGAUUAGAAUGAUUAAAGUUCAUUUAAUGACGAGUUUCAUCAUUGACUGUGUCGAAACACAACAGCAAUCCACAAUACACUCAACACGAGAGGCGCACACAAGCAUGCAUGAAUCUUCCACCAUUAAACCUGAAAUCAUAAAAUGAAAGAAACAAGAUGAGGGUUGUUUUACCGUCUAAAAGAGGAUUCGAAAUAAUAAUAAUAAUAAUAGACCUUUGUUAAUAGUUACUACUAGUGGUCACUGCCUUGUCCAUCUUCCUUCUCUGUAUCAUCGUCCUCUUCCAAGCCGCUGUCAUCUGACCAAAAACUCGCCUACUUCUUUUAGGAGCAGGAGCAGGAGGAGGAAAUUGAGUUAGGGAUUUGGAGUGAGAGUGAAAGUGGAGAAAAAACAAGAGAGGGAAAAAGCUAAUUGUUGAGAAAUAUAUACCUUUCGUAUGGUUGUGUUAAGGUCGUCCUUCCAAUCCCAACAUGCUUCACCCCGCCGCUGCACUUUGUGUAAUUUGGGUGUACUUAAUUUUCCUUCAGAGAAAAUCUUCAUAUUGGGGCAAUUAUCCACCACUAAUCUUUCCAAAAAUGGGAACUUGAAAGCACAAUUGCCAGAGCAGAAGCUUGUCAGGUUUUUUAAGUGUAAAAGCUUCAACUCCUUCAAUUCUCUGAAAGUAAUAACCUCCUCUUGUGCUACAACAUCAUCCACCAGUACUAUUUCUGUUAUCUCAUCGCAUGAUUCUAUCUCCAUAUAUCUAAGUCGCACCAGAGUCUUUGCAAUUGAGGGUGUUAAUACGAUUUUCAAGCCUUCGCAACACGAUACCACCAGAUUUGCAAGAUUCUGAAAGGAUGUCGAGGAUGGCACUAGAUUGACCAAACGGUCACACCCCAUUACACGUAGAAUAACCAAGUUGUUCGUAACAGAGGACUCCUCUAUCAAAAUGUGCUCCAGUUGAUAUUUUGCUUUUCUUAUUUCUACCCUCGUCCCAUUUUCAACAUUCUCUUUCGGCGACCGGUCACCAUAUCCUUGUAUUUGGAGGACUUUCAUUGUGUGAAGUCUCUGGAGGAAGUCAUCAAGUGAUACAAUAGUCGGCUCAUCAACCAACUCCACAAAAAGAUAUUUUAGUUUGCAAAGCAAGUCUUCAGAAAAUAGAUAUUUAUUUGUUCCUAUGUACUUUGCAUCAACUUUCAACUCUUCCAAAUUAGGGAAUACCUGGGAGAUCGAUCAGAAUAAAAAAAAAAAAAAAAAUACAAGAUGAAUCAGUUGAUGAGAAUUAUAAGUUACCACUAAUUUAUACCAUAUAUUUUAUUCAAUAAAUCUUAACCUUUAAAAAAAUAGUAAUAAUAAUACGCCUAACAUCUAGAAUAAUUAUGAAUGAAUACUAUACACUAAUCUGUAAGAGAGUUACGUUGCUGACAAUUUGACUUUUAGUAAGAAACCAAGCGAUAAAGGCAAAGGCAAUAUAAGUCUUAAGCUUUAUGAUAUAAACUUUCACAGAAUCACAGUACAUACAUAAGAAUUGAAAAAUUGAUUAUAAAAUUCUUGUACGUACCCUUUCCAUCAAGAUAUUAGUAGUUCUUUCGUAUCUCGCCAUGAAUUCAGGACAUCCAGAUAUCCGUAAUUUUUUUAAGGAUGGAAAUUCAAGAAUAUCAAGAUCUCCAGUGCAGAAGCUUGUGAACUUGAAAAGAUCAGACAUCUUCAGAUAUUGCAACUGAGGAAACAUUACAAUAUUUUUGUUCCUUUCUUCUUGGUUGUCCACGACUAUUAACUCUUUCAAGACAGGACAGUCGACUAUCUUAAUGUGUUGGAGUCGAACAAAGCUACUAACUGUAGAAGAUGAAAAUAGACAUCUUAAAUUCCAACACGCGUCCAGGGUCAAGUGCGUUAAAUUCUGAAUACCACAAGAUAUUACUGUAACUUGGUUUUGCCAAAUCCUCUCAACAUUUAUUAACUCCAACUCCAACUUCUCUAACUCUGGUAACCGAACCUGCUCGAUCAAAAAAUUAACUCGUUAAUUACAAGCAACAAUGAUUUCUGUUGAUGGACAAAUCAAUAAAAUUACUCUUUCUCUGGUUAUAGUUCUUUUCAGUUUUCCAUACAAACAACCGUUAAUCAAGUUUUCCAAAUUAUUCCUUACUAAAUGUAUAGAUUUAGACGGCGGCUAAUAUAAUUCAUAUUGCAAAUAUUCUUUGAUUGUAACGAAUUUUGUAAUAUUAAAUUUUGGUUGAUUCGCAAUAGGACCUACUAUCCAGCGUGAGCAGUUCUCGGGGGAUUUAACUACUGGCACCUCGAUUAUAUAAAAAUUUGAAAUAUUUUCAAAGGAAAUCAAAUAAUUCCCCCUUGCAAAUAGUAAUUAUCGUUAAUUGCCGCGGGUUGACAUAUAAUUCUAAGAAAUUAGGCGAGAAGAGUCUCAUCAACAAUCAAUCAGCAGAUAUCACGUUUGGAAGAUCAUCAUGAUUUCCUCAGAUGCUAGAGAAUCAACGUGAUUUCCGCUCAUGCAGGAGUGGACACAUUAUCUUAGAGCAUCCCUCACUGAGAUCUUUUAAAAUAAUUAUAUUAUAAAGUGAACAACAUAUUUAGUAUAGAUUUAGACGGCGGCUAAUAUAAUUUAUAUGUAUUCUAAUGACGUAUAUUAAAGAAAAUGACUAGCCAUAAUUUCAAUCAACUUAUUAGUCUAUAUAUAUAUAUAUAAUAUUUUCAGUGAUGACAACAUAUUUAGUAUUCCAUAACAUGAUGUUUAUAAUAAUAAUUAUUAUUAAUUCACUUAUUGUGUCAAGAACCUUUUCUUUCGCUAAGAAUGAAUUUGUUACACCCUACUAUACUACGGAUAAAAAAUUUAGAAUAAUUGUGAAAUAUAAUUAUUAAUCAAUCUUUGACACAAUUGCUACCAAACAGGAAUAUAACAAAGAAAAAAAAAACAAAAAUUAUAGAGAAUUAAUAAGACGAUUGACUUAUUAAUAACUGACCUUCUCAGGGAAAAGCGUAUUAUAAAUUUGGACAUUGUCCUCCAAAAUGAUUUCAUGUGACUGCAAAUCAUUAGCUGAUUCCUCUUGUCUCUGUUGACAUUGCAGGUGUCUUGAUUUUAGAGUGUAAACUUAAUUGUGAACACAAUCUUAAUGCAUAGAUACAAGAUCUUUAAAAAUUAGUAUAAUAAACUUAGCACUAAAUCCAAAUUGGGUAUUUCGGAUUCCAUGAUUAAGAUUUUUUAAAUAAAAAUUUAAUAGAGUUAAUUUAAAAAUAAAAAUUAAAUAUGAAAAAUAAACUUGCACUUAUGGAUUUAAUUUUGAUAAAUAAUGAAUGUUCUCUUUAUAUUUUUUUUCAAAGGUAAAAGAGCGUACAAAGCCCAAAUUCAUUUUUUUAGUCCCUUACUCUCCCAUGAUUCAAACUUGGGUGGUUGUAAGAGGACUGAAAAUAUAUACGACAGUUAACUUCACUUUUUUUUUUCUUUUUUUUUUUUGUUGAGAGAAAAGAGAAGGAGGAUAUUACAAAGCAUGAAGCUCAUGCAAUAAAAGGGCUAUUAUUUUUUUUUUAUAUAAUUAAAAUGGUAAGAUUCUGAAGCUAAAAGAUUAAAAUAUUAAUUAAAUUGCAAACAUUAAAGAUUUUUUUUUCCAAAAUUGGUUGCUUUGAAAAUGAGAAUAAUAUAAUAUUUGAAGACUUUUCAAAAUUAAUUACUGUGAUAGAUGCACUAUAAAUUUCUAGCUUUAGUCUAAUGUAUAAAUUGACAAAACGAUAUUAGAAUCCCAGGUGAAAAGAACCCUCUCACACCAAUUAUUUAAAUUAGGAAUGAUCAUACCUCUGACUCUGGCGAACUGAGGGAGAGGAUUGAACCCUCCAGACGGAGACGCUUGAGAUGGCAAGAGCCCACUUUGACUAAUUCAUUACGAAAAUAAUCGACAUCUUGCUCUUGCAAUUCACUUAACUCAAGGUCUUCAAUUCUCUGCAGUUGCACGAUCAGCGAAUCCUUCAAGCAAAUCUCGUUAUUUAGCCAGAGUCUGAAUUCACGACACCAAAUGUUGGUGCUCUCCCAAUAGCCAUGAUCUCCAAUGCGUAUGCCGUACCUUUCCAGCUUCUCCAAGAGCAGGCCUCUGGGCAGAGUGCUGACGUCAUAGACGUGUAAUUCCAAAGAGGUCAAGUUGGGCAAAUGCUUCAACUCCUCAAGGCUUGCAUUCUUAACCCCUUCUACCUCCACCUCCCAUUUAUCAAAGCUUUUAUCUAUAUAUAGUUCUUCUAAAUGGGAUAAUUUUGACAGUAUAUUUGGUGGAAUAACUAUUAGACACCAACAAUCCCUCAAAUCAAGCAGCUUUAGCCAAGUCAAUUCACCUACUUCUACCGGCAACUUCUUAAUUGUAGAACCUCUUAAGCAAAGGAUUUCUAGUUUCUUCAAGGCUCCCACAACACUUAUAUCAACCAAGCUGCAGUCACACAAACUCAGUGUUCGAAGGUUUGACAGGAGACCAAGUGAUGAAGGCAGUGACCGUAGAUUCAUGUCAGUCAAGUUGACAACUCUGACCUGUAUCAUCCUCUCGAAAAAGUUGUUUGGAAUUGUUUCCCACAAAUCAGCACGUAUAAAAAGAAGUUCGAGUUGAGGACAUUCCAGUACUUCAGGAAACAAAUUAGUCUCGAUAUCAUGUAAGACGAUUGAAGUGCAAUGCUUUAUUGCACUUCCGUCUAACCAUUCCCUGCAACCAUCAACCUGCUCAUUUGUAGCAGUAAACACAUUUCGUUCAGUAGAUGCAAUUGAUAUGGCGACAUCGCGAACUACAUCAUGCAUAGAAAACAACUCUUCAUUCUCGCUUUCAUGGUCAAGCAACAUACAAGAAGCUUUGAGUGUGCGCACCAAUGUAUGUACUCGAUUUCGUGCUUCUUCAAUCUUAUUCACACCUUGAAAUAAACCCAAUCCCAUACCACACAUUAACAAGUCAUCAAUAUAUGCUAUGGCUGUAUAUCCUAUUAGCAAAAAGAUGUUCUUGAGAUCAUCCCUUCCUAGUUUAUUGUAGCUCAACUCGAUAGCUUUAAAUGCGGCUGGCUGUACAUCCUUAAAAUUCGAUGAAGGCCUUCUUAGCUGUUCCAAUGCAUCCUUCCAUUCACGUAUGCUCUUGCUCCUUAAUGCCCUUGCAACCGUCACAAUGGAAACUGGUAGACCUGCACAUUCCUUUGCCACAUCCCUUGCUACCUCUUUCAAUUUAUUACCUUCAACAUAAUCACCUGCCAUCUUCGUGAAUAGACUCCAAGCUUCAUCUUCUUUUAAAAAUCCAACUGGGAAAUUUUUUCGAGACUCCAUCUCUCCAGACAAUACUUCUUCACUCCUUGCCGUGAACAGCACUUUACAUCCCAUGUGAUCAUCUCCGUGAGGAAUUCCGACAUCCAACAAAUCAAGAUUUCCCCAAAUAUUAUCCAAGAUUACAAGGAUCCUCUUCUCUUUCUUCAGUCGAUCAUAAAGUCUUCUUGCCCUACCCGAUUCACUCUCCUCAUCAAAUUUUAGACCUAGUUUAUCUGCGAUUUCUCCUUGAAUCUUUCUUACGUCUCGACUCUCAGACACCUCAGAAAAAACCACCUGAUCGAAAAGCUUGUCACACUCUGCUUUUCUAGCAACUUCUUUAGCUAGUGUCGUCUUUCCGAUUCCGCCCAUUCCAUAAAUCAAAAGCAUGUUGACAUUGGGAUUUUUUAAAGCAUCAAUUAUUUCAUUCAGAAUGGACGUUCUUGAUUCAAAGGCCUCGAAGUCUUUGUUAGGCAUAAGCAAGGUAUCCUCCGGAAUGAUGCUGUAGGAAAUACUAUUAACUGGUCUAGCGUCCAGGACUUUGACAACAGCCUCCUUCUGCCUCUCUGCUUCCUUGCUAAGUCGAGGGCGGGUCUUCAAAUUAGGACAUAACCCCUUGAAACAACGCUUAUUUGCAGUGGCUUCAUCUUCUGUAAAUUUAUCUGCCUCUUCAAUGACACUGUUAGCCGUUGCAAGCCAUUUCUCAACGUUCUCUUCAAUCUCUUCUCCUUUUCUUUUAGCCUCAUCAACCCGGUGCUCUAGAGUAACCCUCUCAGACUUCAGAUUGUCAACUUCAGUCUUGAGAUUCUGCAAGUUACUUGUGUACUUACUCUUGCGCAAAUAGCAAAUUCGGCGAUAUGCGGCAGGAGCCACGCACUUUACAACUUCUAAAACAAUAGUAAGAAUGAUUUCAGCCAUCUUCAGUCCUUUGUCCUUGUCUCUCUAUCUCUCUUUUUCUGAAUUUUGGAAAAACAAUUCAACAAGCGACCACAACAAGAUGGAACAAAUAAAAAGGAAAAAAAAUACAAAGAGUGGAUGGAGAAUAAAACAGAGACAGCGGCACAGCUGGACACAACUAGAUAGAGAACAGAGGAAAACCAAAUAACAAGACUUCAGAUUACAACAAACAGAGGCCAAGUAUUAUUGUUGAGAUCAGAAGAUGGAAAAUUCAAAAGAGUUGAUGGCAGAUGCUGAAUAACAGAACAACAAUGAACGCAAUAAACAGAAGCAAAGUGUGUUUGUGAUCGACAGACGGAAGUAAGGAGAGCGGUUGUUGAUUGAAAAUGAAUGAAUGCAAAGAAAGACUGAUGUUGAAAAUUGAUGUCAAUAGCGAAGGAAUAAUUGAACUUUCGCUGAAUUAUUGUUUGUGGCUUCUUUUACUUUUUAUUUGUGGGUCAUGUCUCUUGGAACUAAUCAUCUUAGGUUAUGCCUUAUAGCUUUAAGGCCGGUAAACCGGUGUCCGUUGGAUUAGCAUAUAGAAAUCCAACAGUGGAUAUAUGUACUUGCAGAAUAAAAUUCAAGAGCAAAGGGAGUGCCGGGCUGCAGUUUCUUAAGGAGAUUUAUAUAUCCUCCUCAAAAAUAAAUGUUUUAAGGUAGAUAUUUAGACUAUUUCAUCAUAAAAUAAAUGUAAUUAAUUUUCAAUAAAUAUCUUAUAUAAAUAUUUAUUUAUUUUUUUAAUUACUAAUGACCUUUGAAUAUACAUAUAUACAUAUUACUAAUUCAAAAAAUAAAUUGUGAUUAUUUGUUAAUGCAUGUGAUUACUUGUGAUGGUAAACAAAGUAGAUAUGGUAUAUUUUGAAGUUAAAUUAAAAAAAAAAAAACAGAGCUUUUACCAUUACUUGCCUUAUCAUCUUUUAAAUUAGAGUUAUUAUUCUUUUAUUUUUCAAGUUGCCAACUCAUCGCAUUCUCUUUUAUUGAAUUUGAAGGUUAAUGAUUAUAAAUUUGUGUAAAAAUUUGAAGUCAAAAUUUUAAAUUAAAAUAAUCUUUAAGUUAUUGAAAAAUAAUAACUUAGUAAAACAAAUAUUAUAUCCUAUACUUUAUUGCUACAAAAUUACGAAACCUUUUAGUUUCAAAAAAAAAAUUUAUGAAACCUUAUAUUAUAUUAUGUUUCCAUAUUUCUCCUUUAUAGUGAAGACUCAUACUUCUCUAAUAAAUGCUAAAGAAUUGGCUUAAUUUUUUUAACCAGCAUGGUAGACCCUUAAGCUAUAUAUACUAUAAUGUCCCUCUUCUCUCACAACAGAUUAAACCAAUCUGAUCUCAGAGUGAGUUGAUACCAUGACUUUGCAUCAUUCGUGAUCAAAGGAGCAUCAUUACUAACUAAUACAUGCUCGAUCAAUAGGCAUGAUAAUAAAUUUUUUAUCUACAAACACUAUUUUUCAAAAUAUUAUAUCUUUAGACUUAACUAAAUAUUUUUUAACUAUGUAGAUAUAGUUUGUUUGAUCUCUUUUAAAUAGUGGAGAUUACAAACAAACAGAUGCGAAUUAGUAGUGAUGUUGAGUUCAGAAGAUUGAAGUUAAGAAAAUUAAGGGUUUCUUGAUCUAGAGAAAUUUCAAAUGAGUGAAGCGUCCUCGAAAUCGGAAGACGAAAAUAAGGAAAGGGUAAGGGUGUAUUUUCGAUGUGAUUCUAUUAGGAGAUCUUUGAAGUAGGGGUGGGCAAAUCGGGUUUCGGUUUGGGUUGUUCAGAUUUCGGUUUCGGUUUCAACCAAUCGAGUUGGAGAAUUGAACCCAAUCAGGUUGAAAACGCCAACCCCAACUGAACCGAACUGAAUUUAGUUCAGGUUCAUAAUUCUGAUCGGACUGGGUUGGUAAUUCAGGUUAAAAUUUCGGUUCGGGUUAAUUCGGGUUAGAAUAAUUCAAUCUAAAAUUUUUGGUUAGUUCGGUUUAAAAUGGGUUGGAACAAUUUAAUCCAAAAAUUCUACCAACAACCACUUAAAAUCCAAAAAUCUCAAUUCCAAACAUCCUUAACAACAAAUAUCAACUACAAACCACCCUUAACAACAUUUCAACAAUAACAAUAACAAUAAUAACAACAAUAACAAUAACAAUAACAAUAAUAACAACAACAACAAUAAUAAUAAUAACAACAACUAUGAAUCAGCAAUUCAGCAUAUUGCCAUAUUCUAAAUUUAAAAAAAAAACACAAAUUAAUUAAUUAACAAUCUCCAAUUUAAUUUAUAAUAACAGUAAAAAUCCUCUCCAAUUUAAUUAAUAAUAGUCUCCAAUUGUUCAAUUACCAGUCAACAGCAACAAACCCUCUCCAAUUUGUCACGAACAGCCUCUAAUUGUUCAAUUAUUAGUCAACAACAAAAAAACUCACUCCAAAUAAUUGAACAAUUGUUAAUUAAUUAAUUAAAAAUAUUGAAUUUAAUUAAUAAAAACACCCAGGAGCAAGUUAGCAAUAUUCCCACUCCAAAAUCCAAAUAUCAGUAUAAACUAAAGGCAUAUUUGGUACAUUGUAUUAUAGAGUAUUAAAAUAAUGUUCACAUUAAAAUAAUAACAAACCUAUGUUUGGAACAAAAUUACAAAGUAUUAGGGUGGGAGGCUAAAAUGCGUGAGUUGACGCAUUAGCUUUGCUUUUUUUUUUUUUUUCAUUUUGCUUUUUUGACUUUUCUGUAUGCUUUAUUAUAUUAUAAUGCUAAAAUAAUAAAUAAAUAUAGUUUUUAAUUUAAUAUAAUAUUUUUAUUUUAUUUGUUUUUACAUUAUAAUUAUUAAUAUAAAUUAAUAAAUAAUUUAUCAUUCAAUAAUAGUAUUUUUUAUUUUUACAUUAUAAUUUAUUAAUAAAUUUAUAAUUUAUUAUAACUAAUAAAAAUAUUUAAAUUUGAAUAAUAUUAAUUUAAAAUUAAUAAUAAUAUAAAUAAUAACAUAAAAUAUUAAUGCAAUUUGAAUAUAUUAAAUCAAUAUAAAACAUUAAUAUAAUAUAAUAUUUAAUUUAAAUUAAUUAAAAAAUAUUACAGUACAAUAUAGCACCAAACAUUGUACAACAUUAUUAUAAUAUAGUGUUAAUACAAUACAGCAUAAUACAAUACACCAAUAUUAAAAUAAUGCAAUACAAUAUAAUAUAAUAUAGUGUGCCAAAUUCUAAAACUAUAUUUGAUUGAUGUAUUAAAGCUCUUCAUUACAUUAAAUUUAUACAGGCCCAUGUUUGAUAGAUAAAAGGCUACAACAACACUAUAUUGUUGGGCCAAGAUAAUGAGGCAACUGCUGCUACCUUUUUUUUUUUUUGUCCUUUAACAUUUUUCACUUUUCACGUGCUUUUGCCUUUUGCUUUGACUUUCCUUUGUUUUAACUUUUGUUUUUGUUUAUUAAUAAAAUAAUAAUAAAUAAAUAUAAUUUUUUUAAUUUAAUAAAAUAUUUUUUACAUUAUAAUUAUUAAUAAAUUUAUAAUUUAUUAUAACUAAUAAUAAAUAUUUAAAUAUGAAUAAAUUUCAAUAAAUAAUAUUUAAAAUUAAUAAUAGUAUAAAUAAUAAUAUAAAAUAUUAAUAAAAUUUAAAUAUAUUAAUAUAAUCUUUUAAUUUAAAUUAAUCACAAAAAAAAUUAAUACAGUAUAAUAUAAUAUCCAACAUUGUAUAGUAUUAUUAUAAUACAGUGUUAAUGCAAUACAUCAUAAUACAAUACACCAACAUUAAAAUAAUGUAAUACAACAUAAUACAAUACAAUAUGCCAAACGCACCCUAAGUGUCAAACCUUGAUCGGUGGGAAGCUACAGCGUCGGCAAAGCGUGACCGUGUGGGACUGAGUGAGACCGUCGAUCGAGGGUGUGAGAAGGGAGAAGAGGGAGCAAGGAGGUGUAACGUGGUGUGUGUGAGUUUAUAUAUAUAUAUAAUUUUUAAAAGCUAAAACUUAAAAAAAAAAAUUUAACCCAAUCCAAACGCCCACCUCAGAUUACUUCCGUGUUAAGAGCUGGAUCCCACACUCUUGAGCCUUUUUCGUCCCAGCAAUUAUAAAAAUAAGGGUCCGCCUAUGUUGCCACUGUUGUACCUAGGGAUGGCAAUUUUCGGGUCCGAGUCCGGGUUUGGCUGUUCCGGAUUCGGACCCAGACACAAAAUUCUCAUAACUGGACCCGCAUUAAACCCGGAUUUUUUUAAUCCGGGUCCGGUCCGGGUUCAACCCGAAAAAAUCCGGGUUUACGGAUUCCGGGUUUUGAACCCAGAUUGCUUUAUUAUUUUUUUUUUUUGAGAGAUCAUAUGGCUUAAUUUAACAGGGCACAAGGGAUGGUGGUUUAAUGUUUUAAUGUUUUCCCCAACAACACAUUACAUAAUUCUUCCUAGAAUUGGUUCAACAAAAUUUGAUGGAUAAAAGGCAAAAAAAGAACAUAUAACACAUCCAAAACCACCAGACUACUAGAACCAAAUUGUUUAACUUUGGUUCAUCAAAAUUUGCUGGACACAGGGCAAAAAAACAGAACAUAUAACACAUCCAGGUUCUAAAACAAAUACAACACAAAUACACAAUAUAAAAUCUAAAAUUCAAAGUUUUAAAGUAAUAAACAUCCACAAAUACAAAUCCAUAACAUAAUUCUACAACUUAAAACUCAAAUUUUCAGCCACUAGUGCUAAAGACUAAACUCUGAAUCAUCCAUUUCAUUAGACUGUUGCUCACUCAUCCAACUUUCAUUAAUCAAAUGCUCUGCAGAAAGUAUUGCUUCCUCUGGAAUUCCAUCUACAAAAAAUGUGUAAAUCAUAAACAUAAUGAACAAGACAACCAAUUAGUGAUAAAUUAUUAAUAAGAACAAUACAACAAAUAAUUUGAUUCUAAUAAAUAAAAUUUUCAUACCUUUUAAGUUUUGUUCAAGCCAAAACUAAUUUUGAGUGCACACCAAUGCCUCUACUGUGGAUGGGUGAAGUCUACUGCGAUGAGGGCUCAAAUGUCUACCUCCAGUGCUAAAAGCGGACUCCGAAGCAACUGUUGAUACAGGAAUGGCCAAAAAGUCCCUUGCAAUCUUUGCAAGUAUAGGAUAUUUGCCUUGAUUAUUCUUCCACCAUGAUAAAAUGUCAAAUUGACUAGUUGAAGGCAAAGUACUCUCCUCAAGAUAAAACUCUAAUUCUGAUUUGGAAUGAGUAUUUUGUGUGUUUUCAUUUCUAAAUAAUGCCCACUCAUCAGCCAUUUCAUCCAAAUCUAAAUCUAACAUAUUAGAGUCCCCUCCUGCAGCAGCUUGAGAAUUGGCACCAUUAACCCCCCACUUGAAUUUGAUAGAUGAUUUACUUCAUACUCAUGUACUAAAUCAACAAAUAGCUUACGCACUCUUUCAACUUCGGAUUCAGCUCUUUCCCCAUAUAUUUUAGGAAAUAAAAAGUUAAUCAGUAACAUUUUACGCCUAAGAUCUAACAUAGUCCCCACUGCAAGAACUCCAUGAAUAACAUCCCAAUACUUUUCAUACUUUGCAAUCAUCCUAGUAGCCAUAUUUUUUAUCCCCUCAAUUGGUGAUUGCAACCAUGCAUUCAUUGACAAUCUAAUUUCACAAAUCUUGGCAAAAAAUAAAUUAGAUGUCAGAUAUCGUGUCCCCGAAAAAAGUUCUGUCAACUUAUAAAAGCUUUUUAGAUACUCACACAUAAGCUUUGACAAAUUCCACUCUGACUCACUAGGUAAAGAUGUAUAAUUUCUCUCACGUUCCUUUAAACGAUCAAAUACAUCUUUAUACAGCAAUGCAGUACUAAGCAUCAAGUAAGUAGAGUUCCAUCUAGUUUUACAAUCAAGUACUAAGUUUUUGGUUUCCUUAAUACCUAAUUGUUUUUUUGCAUUCUCAAAAUUUUCAACUCUAGCUGGUGUUGCUGUCCAAUAAUGAACACUAUCUCUAAUUUUCUCAACUCCCUUUUGUAUCACUGAAAAACCAUCUCUAACUAUCAAGUUCAAUAUAUGAACACAACAACGCAUGUGAAAGAAUUUGCCACCCAUAAUCAUUGAACUAGUAGAAAAUUUCCCCAACAACAAGGCAAUCACAGAAUCAUUUGCAGCACAAUUAUCAGCAGUUACAGAGGACAAUUUUCUAUCUAUAUUCCAAUCUAUCAAACAAUCAUAUAACUCAUUACACAUUACCUCAGCACUAUGUGGAGCUGGCACAUAUAUAAACCUAACAAUGUGAAAAAAUAGUUAAAAUAUUAGACAGGACAUUAAUUUAUGCUUAAACCAAAAAAAAGGUUUCAAGAAUAUUACCUCAUAAUACGACUUCGCAACACCCAUGAGCUAUCAAUGUAAUGUGCCGUAAUAACCAUGUAUCCUUUUUUUUUUUGUUACUAGCAGUCCACAUAUCAGUAGUAAUUGCGAUUAUACUCUCACAAGCUUCCAAAAUACCCAUUGUCUUUUUCUUUUCAACAUCAUAAAUUCUCAAAAUUUCAGCUUUGAUGGUGUUUAUACUAAUAGUCUCAAUAGAAGGUUGGAGUAGCUUCAACAAGUCAUAAAACCCAACAUACUCAACAAAUGCCAAGGGGAGCUCAUGUAGUACAAUCAUUCUAGCUACAAAAAGCUUUACUGUAGUCAUAUCCCAUUUUGAUUCGGAACUAAAAUUACUAAGUGAAGUGCUUCCAUCAACUUUAGAAGAAAAAGAUAGGUGCAUUUGUUGUACAUUCUUAAAUGACCUUCUAGGACAGCGUUUAGCAUGGUUUAUUAAGUGAUUAGUACCCCUCGAAUAAUGUCCUUGCAUAACUAACCCACAGUAAUUGCAAAUUGCCUGAACUUCCUCACCCAACUUAACUUUUUUGAAAUGAUUCCAAGCAUCAGAGACUAUUCUACCACCACCAUCUCAUUUUUGUGAAGUGACAUGAUUAGUAUUACCCCUACGGCCACGGCCACUCCCCUGAACUGCUGCUGUUGAAUUUGGUUAUAAUUCAAUAGCUGUAUCAUUAUUAUUUUCUGAUUCUGUCCUAACUCUCACACAAACACUUUCAUCACUUUUUUCAGAGGCAUCCAAGUCGAUUCUUUGUUCAUUUUCCAUAUCAAUUUUUCACUUUACAAAAAUUAUGUCAAGAUAUAAUUAAUUCCAACAACUUCUUCCAAUUUAUAUGCUAUGUUUAACCGUAAAAGCUAUAAAUAAUAUUUUAGAGAUACCAUUUCUAUUCUUUAACAGCAACAAUAAAAAAUAAUUCAAAAAAUAAACUAUAAAUAAUAAAAUUGAAGCAUAACAAAGUAUAGAUUCUAAAAAUCACAGAGUUUAGCUAUUAAAGUCACAAAGUAUAGAUAUUAAAAUUACAAACAAAGCAAAACAACACAUAGAGCACAGAACACGGUCUAAUUAAAUUGUGAAGACAGUCACAGUGAGUAUCCUAACCGAAUUUCGUUAAUCUAUAUGAAGAGAACAGUUAAUGCCACAAGAUGACUUCUUCUAUCGCUGUUUGGGCCAGCCAAGAACCCACAACCAGUUAAAGCCUUAAGCUGUGCUAGACUGCUAGGUGGCUAAGCAAAAGAACUAGGAUAAAAUAAGGGUCUGCCUAGCGCAAGUCAGCGGUAGAAAUGUUAUUUAUGCAAAUUUCUUAAAUUUGACGUUAUAUCUCCUAAACAAUUCUUAGACCGGGAGUGAAGAUAUUUGCACAUAUUUGCAGAUAUCCUAAAAAUUUCUUACUGCAUUGGCAAAUUAUUCUAAAUUUCUAAUCGAGGAAAAAGAUCAGGAGUGUACAAUACUAACUGGAAAGAGUCAUUAAACUUCAAGCAACUCAAUAUACACAAGUAGUAAAAGCACAGGACAAGGUCGAACCCGAUUUCAGUGAGAGAAAGCAAAAGCAAGCCAAACAAAGUAUUAAUGCUAGUCAGGCUCAGAACUACCAUUCAUGCAGCUAGCCAUAGGCAGCAGCCCUUUGGCUAGUUAUACUUCAAAUUCAAUUCUAAGCUUACUCACUAACCAACUCUUAAUGCACAAAACCAACAAUACGCUUUAGCAGAAAAAAUGGAAACUGUUCUGUUUUAGACAAUAGUUUCUCCUUGUGCUAGAAAAACAAAGAACAAAAAAAGGCAAAUAAUUCAGAAAAACAAAAAGUUUAUAAUUAGCCAAGUGCUCUCAUAUGUCAUAUACAAAGAAAACCAUGUCUGAGGGAAAAUCAUGAAAUACUAGUUAUACAACCCAAGAGGGGGGUGAAUUAGAAUUCUAAAAAAUUAUUCAAUUUUUAAUUUAAAGCUCAAUGUAGAUAUGAAACAAAUUCAAAGCAAUAACAAAUAAGUUAACCACAAUAAAAAGGAUAAAGGAAGAGAGAUUCAAACACUGAGAUUUUUACGUGGUUCAGCCAACCUUGCCUACGUCCACGCCUCCAAGCUUUCCGAGCUUGAGGAUUCCACUAAGCAAGCCUCCAAGGUUUCAAAUGCUUACACUUGACUUCGAAGGUGUCAAUGACCUUUACAACAAGAGAUUAUCCCAAUCUCUUAACCCAAAUGUAUCCCAACACUUACAAUCACUCAAAGAUAAAAUAUUAUAAACUUGUUUUGCCUCUCACAAUAUUUAAGAUUACAAAAUAAUACCCAAUAUGUGAAUAGAUGAAGCAAGAAUGUAUUUAAAGCUUAAUGAAGAUUUUAUUCUCAAGUAUAAGCUCAGUAGUAGUGUUGUGAUCAAUCCUUGUUUAAGUUUGAAUGAGCUCAUUUAUAGCUGCAGCUGAAAACUAGCCGUUAUUGACUUCCUGCACACUGUCGGAUCGCCAUUAGCUAGAUGUCGGAUCGCCGUUUGACUGGUCAAUAUGACCGUUGAGCUGAUUUUUCAAAUUAUCGGAUCGCCGUUAUCUAGAUGUCGGAUCACCGUUUAGGUCUAGAGGCUAACCUUCAGUUCUGUUUGAUCUCAGCGAGCCGUUUAUUAAACUUGUCGGAUCACUGUUUAGGUCCAGAGACUAAUCUUUAUUUCUGUUUGAUAUCGGCGAGCCGUUUAUUAAACUUGUCGAAUCGCCGUUUUCCACAAAAACUGCUGCAGUGAACUAUUUUGCAAGACAACUGUUUUGUUUCUAAAUCUUUAUAAAAAUACUUUAUGAAUCAAUCUUAAUCAUGUUUGUUGAGCUUUUAAAAGAUUAAUCAAUCUUAAUCAUGUUUGUUAUCAUCAAAAUCAAUAGGGAAUUAUUUAUGUUAACAAUCUCCCCCUUUUUUAUGAUGACAAACUUUUCAAGAAAAUACUUGUGUAAUUUUGCUCCCCCUAAGUGAGAUUUUGAAAGACUUGUUAACUUCCCUUAAAUAAGUGUUCAUUUAAUUUUAAUCUCAAACAAAAUUUUAAACAAGACAGACAGAUUGAUUGGAUAAAUAAUUUAUGCCAAUACCAAUUACCAAUUACCAAUUAUCUCCCCUUUCAUCAUAAAAAAAAAAUAAGCUUGAGGAAUGACUUAUGUUUGGAAAAAUUUUGGCAGAAUCUCCCCUGAAAUAUGAGCAUAUCCUCAACAAUACAUAGAGUUAAAAAGAAAAACACUUCUAUAUAAAUAUGCCACCAUAUCAACCAACCUCCAUACCAACAAUUAAACACUUCCAUAAUUAGUAAGACAAACAAUAUAGUACCAAAACCAACUCAACCAGAAAUCAGGUGCACAUGUCCAAUAAAAAAUGUCAUAAAAACAUCAUAAGCAUAAGCAAAAGACAAAUGACAUCAUAAGCAGAAACAAAAGACAUGCAAUGAGAAAUGUCUGUGCGAAGAUCAGAGGAGCAUAAAAACUAAGAUGGGGGCUGUGAAGAGGAGCUGCCGGGGUCAUAACCAAAGUAGCCGAGAAUACGACGCUGGCCCGCAAGUAACUCCAUCUGCUGAUCUGAAAUUUGUUCCCGAAAGGUUGCAAAAUCCGAUUGAAGUUGCUGCUGCUGCUGGGACAGAGCAUCCACUCUGUCGAGAAGCUAUUGAAAGCGAUCCUCAGGAACAGCCGAUGCUGUAGGAGGGACGGCAGUCUUGGCAGGCUCGUCAUCCUGAGAUGAAGCUGCUGCUGGUGCAGUAGGUGCUACUGGUGCUGCUGCUCUGCGAGGGACACGCGGUCUAGCCCCAAGGCGAAAAUCAGGUAACUCAUCCUCGGAGUAGACGUCAUUUAACAUACGAUCAUCCUCUGGUGCAAGCAGUGUGUCUUCGUUCUUAGAGGAUAUGGUCUUUUCUAAUUUCCCACGCUUCUUAAAGAAUCCGAUUGAAGAAAUAAUUUCUCGUCCGAGCUUACGUGUCUCGAGAUAAACAGGCUCGACGAUAGGAACUCGAAAGUGUUUCAAGAUCCUAGUAAUGAUGCUACCAUAAGGAAGGGAUCGGUUGGAGACUUUAGGAGUGGACAACAUAUGACACAGGAUAGUGUAUGAUAAACUCACAUGCCGUCUACGGAUGAGGGAAUCUAAUAGACCAAUAUCAAGUCUAGUUACCUCAUCAGUGUGACCCUGUCUAGGAGUGACCAUGUGUUGGAGAAUGAUAUGAAGUAUUCGAACCUGAAAAAGGAGAAGUUGAGACCUAAAGAACAAAGAACAGAUGUCAUCGAAAAGAUCCCGACAACGACAAAUGUUCCGUACACCAUCCACAUGAUGGAAUUCACUAAAUGAGAUUUCUUUCCUAGCGGUGUACAGAUCUAACCCUCCAUAAGAGAUUCCUAGAAUACUACACAAUUCGGAUUCAUUAAAGGCAAUGCGAAUUCCUCCUACAGAUGUAUAAAGCUCGACACGACGAGUAGAAGAGAAUUCUAUGUUUGAAUAAAAGACACGGACUAGAUUUUCAUAAAUCGGUUCUUCGAUACUUAAUGCUUGCUUCUAAUGACUAAGCAUUUGAGUAAUGGAAUGACCACAAAUAGUAAUAUCCGAAAACUCUGAAAUGUUAAGAGAAAAAGAGGGAGUUACGGGUUUACCCAUGAAUUUUUCACGAAAUUGUUGAGCAGAGGUGUCAUCGGAAAAAUGGAGACUCUCGAAGUCUUGAGGGGGAGACCUGGGGGGACUAGAACGUCGCGGAGCAGUGUGCUUGGUUCGAGCACGCCUUUGUGGUCGUUCCGCCAUGGAUGAGUUGGGAGGAAAAUAGAUUGGUGGAAAUGAAGUUUGAGAGAUGAGACAGUGAUUGUGGGUGGAAAUGUAGUUGGAAAAGGAAGAAAUUUGGGUCAAAUUGAACAAAUGAGGUUCGGCUGGUUCUAAGGUUUCAAGAUGAGAUUUUUCAAAUUUUGAAGAAAAAGAAGGAUUUUAAUCGGUUAAAAAGUGGUAGAGAUGAUAAAGAUGGUUUGUAAUGCUGCAAUUUGGUGAAAAAUGACAAGAAAAAUGAUGGAUUUGAGAGGGGAGAACGGGUGCAGUCGCGGGUUGGAGUGAGAGAGAAAGAGAGAGAGAAAACGAAAUGAGGAGGAAGACGAAGGACUGUUCAAUUAAUGCGUCAUAACGGUGAGCCGUUAUAGAGAAAACGGCGAGCCGACAGAGUCCAGAGAGUUCUCUAAAAAUUUUCAUCAUACCGGCGAGCCGUUUAUAGACAUAACGGCAAGCCGAUAAGGUCCAGAGUGUCCCCUCAAAAUUUUGUAUCAGGACGGCGAACCGAUAGUUAGUUAUCGGCGAACCGAUAGCGUCCAGAAUACUUCCCAUUGUUUCUACCCCAAAACGGUUAGCCGUUUAUUGAAAUAACGGCAAUAUGUUUUCUAUAACUUAUGAUUUCGCACAUUUAUUUUGAUAUUUCGCUACUAUUAAUACAUUUCAAGAUCAUUUUAUUGAUCCAAAAUGAUUUAAGUGCCAGUUCAAUGCAUAAUUCGUGAACAUAUAUAUGUAUUGUAACAAUUAAUUCAUACAUUUUCAAAUAUACAUACACACCACAUGUAUAUUACGAUUGAGCAUUUCAUAGAUAGUAAAGUAUCAAGUCAUAAAUCAAUCAAUGAUAAUAGACUCAAUAGCAUGAAUAAAGAUGUUAAUGUGAAAAUUUCAUCAUCCCAAGUUCAUGUCGAAUUUUUGAAAAUUGUUCUUCGCAAAGAGGUUUUGUAAAAAUAUCGGCAAGUUGUUUUUCCGUAGAAAUAAACUCUAAUGCAAUAUCUCUCUUUUGAACAUGAUCUCUCAAGAAAUGAUGUCUUAUUUCUAUAUGCUUGGUUAGAGAGUGUUGAAUGUGAUUCUUUGAAAGAUUUAUAUCACUAGUAUUAUCACACUUAAUAUGAAUUUAUUCUAGGUUAAUACCAUAGUCUUUAAGUGUUUGUUUCAUCCAAAGAGCUUGUGCACAAUAGCUUCCUGCAGCUAUAUAUUCAGCCUCGGUAGUUGAGAGUGCAACAGAAUUUUGUUUCUUUCUAAACCAUGAAACAAGUGAGUGACCUAGGAUAUGGCAAGUUCCACUAGUGCUUUUUCUAUCAACUUUAUAACCAGCAAAGUCCGCAUCUAAAUAGCAUGUUAAAUCUAUAUGAGUUCCUCUAGGAUACCAAAAGCCAAUAUCUAUGGUUCCACUCAAAUAACGAAAUUUUUUUUUAACAGCAAGCAAAUGAGAUUCUUGGGACAUGAUUGAAAUCUUGCACACAAACAUACACUAAACAUGAUAUCGGGUCUACUUGUAGUCAAAUAAAGUAAAGAUCCGAUCAUACCUCGAUACAUUUUGAUAUCCACUUCUUUGUCCUUUUCAUCUUUGUCGAGCUUGGUUGUUGUACUCAUUGGUGUAUUUUUGGUCUUUGAGUCGUCAAUGCCGAAUCGUUUGAGUAGAUCUCUUACAUACUUGGCUUGAUUUAUGAAUAUUCCUUCCUCAUUUUGUUUUAUUUGCAGCCCAAUGAAGUACUUUAGCUCUCCCAUCAUACUCAUUUCAAAUUCAUUGCUCAUACGAGACGAAAACUCUUUGUACAACAAUUCAUUAGUAGAACAAAAAAUAAUAUCAUCAACAUAAAUUUGAACAACAAGUCUGUCUUUGUUCUUAUGUUUAACAAAGAGAGUGGUAUCCGCUUUACCCAUGGAAAAAUCAUUUUCUAACAGGAAAUUUUUAAGCCUAUCGUACCAUGCUCUAGGUGCUUGUUUUAAUCCAUACAAAGCUUUAAACAACUUAUACACAUGAUUUGGAAAUUUUUCAUUUUCAAAACCAGGGGGUUGUUUUACAUACACUUCUUCCAUAAUAUAACCAUUUAAGAAAGCACUUUUCACAUCCAUUUGAAAUCAAAUGAAAUCUUUAUGACAAGCAAAUGCCAACAACAUUCUAAUUGAUUCUAGUCUAGCUACGGGUGCAAAAGUUUCAUUAAAAUCAAUUCAUUCUUCUUGGUUGUAACCUUGAGCCACUAAUCUAGCUUUAUUUCUUACAACCACACCGGAUUCAUCCAUCUUAUUUCUAAAUACCAUUUAGUACCUAUGACAGAUUGAUGUUCCGGUUUAGGAACUAAUUCUCACACAUUAUUUCUUUCAAAUUGAUUUAACUCCUCUUGUAUUGCCAUAAUCCAAGAUUCAUCAUUUUCCGCAUCCGCAAAGGAUUUGGAUUCAAUUUGAGAGAUAAAUGCAUUAUGCUCACAAGUAUUCUUAAGAGAUGAUAUAGUUGUAACACCUCGUGAGAGAUCUCCUAAAAUUACAUCUUUAUGAUGAGAAGAGACAUACCUCCACUCCUUGGGGAGUGUUUGAGAAAUACCUUCUUGUUGUUCUAGCUCCGUAUUUGUUUGUUCUUCUUGUCUAUCCUCUUGAUUUUCUUGUGGUGCAUUCUCUUGAUUCUCUUUUGAUGAUUCUUUUUGUAACUCUCCAUCAGCAUCAUCAUUAGCAACUCCUUUCUCCGCAGAGGAGGGGUUAGAUUCAUCAAACGUAACAUGUAUGGAUUCUUCCACAACUAAAGUUCUUUUAUUAUAAAUUCUAUAAACUUUGCUUGAGUUUGAAUACCCGAGAAAGAUGCCAACAUCAGAUUUUGGAUCAAAUUUACUAAGAUUAUCUUUUGUGUUUAAAAUAAAACAUUUGCAUCCAAAAACUUUGAAAUAACCAAUGUUGGGUUUUCUAUCUUUCCAAAGCUCAUAGGGAGUUUUAUUGAGAUGAGGUCUAAUCAACACCUGAUUUAAAACAUAGCAAGCGGUGUUGACGGCUUCGGCUAAAAAAUAUUUAGGUAAUGCAUUUUCAUUUAACAUGGUCCUAUCCAUUUCUUGAAUAGACCGAUUCUUUCUCUCAACAACUUCAUUUUGUUGUGGAGUCCUAGGUGAUGAAAAUUGAUGCUCAAUGCCAAGAUUAUUGCAAAAAUUCUCAAAUGUAUAAUUUUCAAAUUCUCCUCCAUGAUCACUCCUAAUUCAUAUAAUACCAUACCCUUUUUUCAUUUUGUAAUUUCUUAUAAAGUACUUUAAAAGCAUCAAGAGCAUCAUCCUUAUUGGAUAAGAAUAGUACCCAUGUAUAUCUAGAAUAAUCAUCCACUAUCACAAAUGCAUAAUAUUUGCCAUUUAGACUAGCAUAUCUAGAUGGCCCAAAUAGAUCUAUGUGAAGGAGUUCAAGUGGUUUUGAAGUAGAAAUAUGGUUUUUAUUUUUGAAAGAAGUUUUGAUUUGUUUUCCAAAUUGACAAGCUUCACAAAUCUUAUCCUUUUGAAAAAUAAUUUUCGGAAGACCUUUAACUAAAUCAUUUUUCGAAAUUUUUGAAAUCAAAUCCAUACUUGCAUGUCCUAACCUUCUAUGCCAUAGCCAACUAUCAUCAUGUAAUGCGGAAAAACAUUUAUCAAUAGUAGAUGCACAUUCUAUGUCAACGAUAUAAACAUUACCACAUCUAUUACCAAUAAAAAAAAUUUUGCCAUCACAUGAGUUCUCAAUAACACAACUAAAUUUAUCAAAGAUAAUUUUAUAACCUUUGUCACAUAAUUGACUAAUGCUAAUUAAGUUGUGUUUCAAGUUCUCAACCAAACAUACAUUCUCAAUUAGAGUUGAAGAGACUUUACCAACAUUUCCAAUUCCAAGAAUUUUUCAUUUUGAGUUGUCUCCAAAUGAUACGUCUCCACCAUCUUCAAUUUUGGUGAAGCUUGAGAACCAUGCAUAGUUUCCGGUCAUGUGCCUUGAACAACCGCUGUCCAAAUACCAUUUAUUUUUCUUCUUCUUUAAGCCCUACAAAGAAAAUCUUAAGUUUUAGGUACCCAAAACUUUUUGGGUCCUUGAGAGUUAGCAACGGUUCCUUUUGGAACCCAAAUACAUUUGACACCAUAAUAUGCAUUCCUUUUCACGGGAUAUCUAUAUUUCAUGUGACCAUUUUGAUUACAAUAAUGACAGACAAUCUUAUGAUCACUUAUGGAGGUAGCUUUAACAAAAUAAUUCUUAUAAUACUUUUGCUUCAAGUUAGGCUUAUAUCCAAGUCCUCCUUUAUCAAAAACACAUUUUUGUGAGUUAAGCAUAUUAUCCAACAUCUUUUGCCCAUUUGUAAAUUUCAAAACAAUUUUAUUCAACUCAUUGCUCUUUUUCUUGAGCAUUUCGUUUUCAUUUUUCAAAUCAUCUAUGUGUGAUUCUAAAUGCUCAUGUAAGAUACUAGGUUUCUCAUUUGAUAAUACAAUUUCAUUAUGCAAUGUUUUGUUCUCUACUUCUAGGCAUGCAAUUUUUGCAUUUAAAGAUUCAUUUUCAUUUUUAACUUUUGCCAUUUCCUUUUUAAGACAUACAUUCUUUUUACCAAUCUUCAUCAACUCAUUAUGCAAUUCUUUAAAAGCAUCAUACAAUUCAUCAUAGGUGGGAUCACUUACCUCAUUGAGAUUAUCAUCCUCUCCUAUUGCCAUAAGCGCUAGGUUUGAUACUUCUUGCAAUCCUUCGUCAUCACUUGAAUCUUCCUCGCUGUCAUCAUACGUUGCAACCAUGGCUUUCUUCUUGAGUUUGUUGAUAAGUGGGCACUCCGAUCUUAUAUGGCCAGACUUCUUGCACUCAUAGCAUGUGAUCAUCUCUUUCUUCUCCCUUUGGUUCUUGAAGUUUCUGAAUUUUCUUCGCUCUCCAGUUUUCUUAAAAAACUUUCUGAAUCUCCUUGCUAGCAUGACUAACUCUUCAUCAUCCGGUUCACUACCUCCAUCACUCUCAUAUUUUGAAGUUUUGAGAGCAAUGCUUUUCUUCUUCUCCUCAUCACAUUUUUCUGCUGCCAAGUCUUCUUCAUAUGAAAUAAGAGAACCAAUUAAAUCAUCAAGAGGUAAAGUAUUUAAAUUUUUGGCCUCUUCAAUGGCAGUUCUUUUAGGUCUCCAUUCUUUUGGAAGUGACCUAAUGAUUUUCUUAACUUUCUCAUUAUUUUAGAAGGUCUUCCCUGAGGCACCUAGAGUGUUCACUAUGUCCGUGAAUCUAGUAUACAUAUAAUACACAUUUUCAUUUUGUUCCAUUUGGAACAACUCAUAUUGACGAGUGUAUCUACUAAUUUUAGACUCUUUAACUUGAUUUGUCCCUUCAUAAACAACUUCAAGUUUAUUCCAUAUUUCUUGUGCACUUUCACAACUAGAUACUCUAUGGAAUUCUUUCUUAUCAAGGGCACAAAAUAAAGCAUUCAAAGCCUUGGAGUUUAGAGACAUUUUUCUCUUUUCUAACUCACUCCAUUGACUUGAUGGUUUAUGAAUAUCAUCUCCUACUUCAUCUUUAAACAUAGGCAUGAAUGGACCAUCAUAAACAACUUCCUAAAAUUCAUAAUCUAAGGCUUGCAAAUAGAUUCUCAUCCUAGUUUUCCAAUAAGCAUAGUCAUUACCAUCAAAGAACGGUGGUCUAGUUGUAGAUUGCCCUUCUCUAAAGGUUGAGUCAUUUAGGGUUGCCAUGGAUCUUUUGCUCUAGACGAUUAAGUCCUAACAAGAGAACAAGGCUCUGAUACCAAAUGAAAUACUAGUUAUGCAACCCAAGAGGGGGGUGAAUUGGAAUUCUAAAAAAUUAUUCAAUUUUUAAUUUAAAGCUUAAUGUAGAUAUGAAACAAAUUCAAAGCAAUAACAAAUAAGUUAACCACAAUAAAAAGGAUAAAGGAAGAGAGAUUCAAACACUGAGAUUUUUACGCGGUUCGGCCAACCUUGCCUACGUCCACGCCUCCAAGCUUUCCGAGCUUGAGGAUUCCACUAAGCAAGCCUCCAAGGCUUCAAAUGCUUACACUUGACUUCGAAGGUGUCAAUGACCUUUACAACAAGAGAUUAUCCCAAUCUCUUAACCCAAGUGUAUCCCAACACUUACAAUCACUCAAAGAUAAAAGAUUAAAAACUUGUUUUGCCUCUCACAAUAUUUAAGAUGACAAAAUAAUACCCAAUAUGUGAAUAGAUGAAGUAAGAAUGUAUUUAAAGCUUAAUGAAGAUUGUAUUAUCAAGUAUAAGCUCAGUAGUCGUGUUGUGAUUAAUCCUUGUUUAAGUUUGAAUGAGCUCAUUUAUAGCUGCAGCUGAAAACUAGCCAUUAUUGACUUUCUGCACACUGUCGGAUCGCCGUUAGCUAGAUGUCAGAUCGUCGUUUGACUGGUUAAUAUGACCGUUGGGCUAAUUUUUCAAAUUGUCGGAUUACCGUUAUCUAGAUGUCGGAUCACCGUUUAGGUCCAGAGGCUAACCUUCAGUUCUGUUUGAUCUCGGCGAGCCGUUUAUUAAACUUGUCGGAUCACCGUUUAGGUCCAGAGGCUAACCUUUAAUUCUGAUUGAUCUCGGCGAGCCGUUUAUCAAAAUUUUUGGUUCGCCGUUUAGGUCCAGAGACUAAUCUUUAUUUCUGUUUGGUAUCGGUGAGCCGUUUAUUAAACUUGUCGGAUCGCCGUUUUCCACAAAAACUGCUGCAUUGAACUAUUUUGCAAGACAAUUGUUUUGUAUGUAAAUCUUUAUAAAAAUACUUUAUGAAACUUGUCAAAAUAGAUGAAAAUUAUGUUGAGCUUUUAAAAGAUUAAUCAAUCUUAAUCAUGUUUGUUAUCAUCAAAAUCAAUAAGGAAUUAUUUAUGUUAACAAAUCACAUUGUGCCAGAAGCAAUACAAGCUCAAAGCAUAACAGCACGAAAAUUGCAAAGAGGGAAAAUCAAAGUGUAAUAGAGCAUAAAUUGUAAAGAGAAAAGCCGAGACUCACAAAUAUUCACAGUGGCAGCUGAAGUAUAUGCUGAUGAACACAGAACACAGCCGCGACGGAGUGAGAGAUCAGACGAGUGAUGCUGAUGAGUGAUGAAACGAACAAAGCCUCACCGUGAAGGUGAUGACAAGCCACGCCGCAAAGGAUCUGAUCUGAUCUGAAGAAGAGAUUACAUGAGAGUUGCAGAGAGAGUGAGAGAGAUUAAGUGACGAUGGAGGACUGAGGAAUGAGUCACGGCUCACGGGUGAGAGAGAUUGAGAGAGGAACAAAUUACGGAUGAGACUUGAGAGAUUGAGAGGAGAAAUUACAGAUUUACAGUAAUUGUUUUUAAGUUAAAAGAGAAAUUUCGAGAGAGGAUCAGAGGAACGAGAGAGAUCUAUGGUUCACUUUUGUUUUUUUUUUAAUUUUUCUAUUUAUAUUUACGGAUUUACGGAUCAAAAUUAAUAUUAAAAUAAAUAAUAUUCGAGUCUGGGUUCCGAAUUUGGGGGUUCACCUGAAGCUAGAUCCGGACCCGAAAAAUGCGGGUUGUCAAAAACUGAUCCGGAUUCGGAUAAAAACUAUUUCGGUGCGGGUCGAACCUGGACCAGAAUUUUUGGAUUCAAUCCGAGUCCGAUCCGGGUUCGGGUUUGGUUGCCAUCCCUAGUUGUACCUUACCACAACCCUUGUCUUUUAUCAAAUAGUUAAUGUAAAAUUUCAUUGAACCCUUUAUACUUUAUUUUAUUUAUAAUUAUUUUGUAAGUAUUGAAAAGAAAAAAUUAUCCUCAAAUUUUAUCUUCAAUAUAUUUUUUUCCCGUUUCUUCUUCUGCUCUCUCACUUUCUCUCUGUAAUGGGUUUAAUGAUGGCUUCAAUAUUGGUCAAGAUUGCUGACCGAUUUGUGGAUAAUUAGUUGUAGGUCAUUGAUUGUUUGUGUGAUGGUUCUCGUGGUGGAAAAUAUAGGCAUCAAAACAAAAUCCUCAAUUUGAUCUGAGAAGCCGAAGUGAGAGUGAGAGAAAGCGAAAUGGCGAUGGCAAGGUGAGCUCAAGCCUUGCUUAUCCAGAGUGAUUAUGUGUUGCAGCUUCAAAUUGUGGCUUCGAUGGAUCUCCGAUUUCCUCUGUCUGUCAUGGUGGGGUUGUGGUGCAGCUGACGUGAUGUUGUUUCGAGAGAGGAAAGAUAAGGCUGACAUGGGUCAAAGUUGUCGGUCGUGGUGCGACUGUGCUAUCUUGCCGACGUGGAGCAGUGUGGUGGCAACCGGUAACAGGUAGCUUCACAAUAUGGGUAUUUGGGUUGAGAGCAGACUGGAGAGAUGAAGCCAUAAUGGUUUCUUUUGAAUUUGAUUUUGGAUUGAUUUUGUUUGGAUGUCACGUGUGUGGGUAUUUGGGUUAUUUUCAUUUAGUGUUGGUUUUUUUUUAAUUAUAAGUUAUGAAUAGAUCGAUUUUGUAAUUAACCACUAGAAUCCCUACUCGUAUUGUUGAAAAUUUUGUUGAUGAUGAGUUUUUUUUUUUAAACCAACAAAUACUUCAAUUCCAUUCAAGAUGGAAACUCUACUCAGUAUCAGUAACUGGGCACAAAAUGGAAAAUCUCAAAAAAAAGGGAUAAGAUUUUAAUAUUCCACAAGCUAAAACAAAGGUACCAAAAUCAGUUGCAUAUCUUCUUUCAAAUCAUUAAUGACCCAAUUCCCAGGUAAUUCAGAGGUAGAAUAUCUACUUGCUGCGCUUGGCUGCACGCUUCCCUUGGCCUUUCUCGGGAGGUCCCUUUCCACAACGUUUCAACAUUUCAAGCUUGGGUAAGCGCUCUUGUUCUUGGCGGGCCAUGACGAGAACUUACCAUCAAUGAGCUUCUUCCACAAAAUCUUGUUGGGUGAUCUCUGGCCAGUGGGAUUAAGUACAUACCCAAAUAUCUUAGCCCUCACCUCAGUUAGCCUUGUGGUCACUAUUGUGGCCAAAAUGUUCUUAAGCCUCUCUCAUGUAGCCAUCAUCACUCGCAACUCUACCUGAUUAGCUCUGUUGAUAAUGAGUUAACUUUGUCAAUGAUCAGUGAUGAGAGAUGAGUUAAUCUUAAUUUCUACAAAAUUUUUUAAUGCUAAUCUAAGGAUAUUUUUGUCUUUUCAUUAAUAUUAAUGUGUUAUGAUUAUUAAUGUAGCGUGGUUGAAAAUAAAAACUCAUUUAAUACUUAUAAAUAAAUAAAUAAAUAAAGUGUAAGGUGAUAAAUUAAAUUUUGAUAAUGUAGGUAAGUAUAAAGUAUUAUAAUAUUUUAUGAUAAAUUAUAAAUAAAAUAGAGUGUAAGGGAUUCAAUGAAAUUUUACAUUAAUUAAUUCACAAAAGACAAAGACUGUGGUAAGGUACAACCGUGGCAACAUAGGCAGACCCUAAAAACAAAUCAUUAUUUUUUUUUUUGAAAGGAAACUUCCAUUAAAUCGAAGAGGAAAAUAGAUACAUCAAUUGUGAAGGGUAAGAACCCAUCCAAACAACAUUUUCACAUUUCUCUAAUGCUAACUUAGCUAGAAAGUGGGCAAUGACAUUACGAGAUCUAUGAGUAUAAUUAAUGCUAACUAGCUCAAAGUUCCUCAUUAAGUUUUGAAUCUCCGAAAUUAUCCAAAAGAUCUCAGACUUGCCGCCUUGCUUGUUGUUAACUAACUUGACUACGCUUUGAGCGUCUGAUUCAACAAUUAAAGCCUUUGCACUUGCAUUCCUAGCAAUCUGUAAUCCCCAUUCCAAGGCUUCUGCUUCAGCAAAGGAAACAUCUCCAUAAAAUUUCGAAAUCUUGAUUGCAGCUGCUAUGACAUUCCCCCGAUCAUCUCGGAUUAUAGCUCCCAGCCCUGCAAGAUGCUUUUCUGAGCUUGUAGCAGCAUCCACAUUGACUUUAACAGAUCCACUUUGGGGGGGAUUCCAAAUCUGCUGAGUCUGCACCUGCUGACUUUCCUUUCGAGCUUGCUCUGGUUUUUGAACUCUUUUGUAAGCCUCCAUUACUGCUUCAGCUUUAGCAACCAGAGUCUAGGGGUUCUCUCUUUUUCCUUUAAAAAGCAUCUCAUUUCUUGCAUUCCACACCAUCCAACAAAUCAUAACCAUUAGUUCUAAAUCAGCUUUGUUUCUUCUGCUGUACAUUUCAUGCAGCAAACUCAAAAAAUCCUGCCCAGCAGUUUGCAUGAUGUCAUUCUCUAAUAGAGUGAGUCUCCAUAUUUUCCUUGCAGCUUUACACUCUACCAAUGCAUGAAACACAUUCUCCACUCCGAGCUUGCAUACUUGGCAGGUAGGCUCUUGGAUAACUUUUCUCUUCCAUAAAUUUUCAGCAGAUGAGAGAAUAUUCUUGGCUGCCCUCCAAGCAAAAAUUCUGAUUUUCUCAGGUAAAGCAAGAGUCCAUAUGAUAUUCCAUUGAUUUUUUCCUGACAUUGAACUUGAAGGCAUGGCUGGAAGUUUAAGACUAAGGGCUGUUUGAUUGCCACUCUUGACCGAGUAGAGACCUUUCUUGUCAUAAUGACAGGUGAUUGUAUCUUCUUUUGGGCUUCAAGGCAAAGGGAUUUCAAUAAUUUUAUCAGCAUCCAUUCUAUUGAAAUGCCUGUAUAUCAGGCUCUCAUUCCACUGGUUUUCUUCAUUUAUCAGCUCAGCAACCAAUGUAUCUUCUGGCAAAGAUGGCCUAACUAUUGGCUUGAAGGUUGACAGCUUCAGGAUCCAGUUAUCUUUGUGAAUUUGGAUUUUUUGGCCAUCUCCAAUUCUCCACCUUGCACCAGAACUGAGAUUCUGUCUUCCUCAUAGGAUGCUUCUCCAUACAAAUGAUAGUGUGGACCCGAGCUUAGCCUUCAUGAAGUCUUUAUUUUGGAAAUACCUAGCUUGUAGAACCUUUGCCACUAAUGAAUCCGAGAAUUGUAAUAUCAUCCACCCUUGCUUAGCCACUAGAGCUUGGUUGAAACUUGAAAAGUCUCGGAAACCCAUGCCUCUUUUACAUUUGGCCUGACUCAGCUUCUCCCACUUCGACCAGUGGAUGCUUCUUUUGUCGCUCUUUGAUCCCCACUAAAAGUCAGCCACAGUUUUUUGGAUAUCAUUGCAAACACUCAUUGGGAUCUUGAAUACACUCAUGGCAUAGGCUGGAAUGGCUUGCGCUGCAGCUUUGAUUAAAACGUCUUUGCCCCCACAUGAGAAGAAUUUGUGCUGCCAGCUGGAGAUUUUGUUAAAGACUUUCAGUUUGAUGUCAUUAAAGAAGUUGCUCAUUUUUCUUCCUAUCAUAGCUGGUAAGUCUAGAUACUUCUCGUGCCUUGAGCCAAUAUUAAGCUGAAAAAUCUGUCCAAUUACAGUGGCUCGAUCAUGCUGGACAUUGCCACUCAGGAACAGAGAUGAUUUCUCAAAAUUAAAAAUUUGCCCGAAAGCUGCUGAGUAGCAAUCAAGUAUCUUUUUCAGGUUCCCACAAUCGGCCAUUGAAGCUCGGCUAAAUAUAAGGCUAUCAUCAACGAACAAGAGGUGGGAAAUGUUCAACUCCUUUCUAAAAGACAGCCCAUGGAUGAGUUUCUGUUGUUCGGCCUGCAGCAACAAAGAGGAAAAGACCUCUGCACAAGUAAUAAACAAGUAAGGGGACAGGGGGCACCCUUGCCGUAAACCUCUCUGGGGCUUUAUUAAUCCUCUGACCGAGCCAUUUAUAAUCAAAGAGAAAGAAACAUAGCUUAUACACUUCAUGACCAAGCAAAUCCAGUUUUGAGAAAACCUCAUACAUUUCAUAGUUUGCUCAAUAAAACUCCAUUCCAAUCUGUCGUAAGCCUUACUAACAUCAAGUUUCAAUGCCACUAACCCAUUUUUUCUCCCUUUGCAGUGCCUUAUUUUAUGUAAACAUUCAUAUCCUACAAUAACAUUGUCGGUUAUCAAUCUAUCAGGUAUAAAAGCACUUUGAAUUGGAGAGAUGAUUUGGUGCAGAAUUUGUUUGAAUCUGUUGGCAACUGACUUAGCCAUUAUCCUAUAGAUAACAUUGCAAAGGCUGAUAAGCCUAAAGUCUGUAACUUUUCUAGGUUUCCCCUUCUUAGGAAUCAUGGCUAUGUAAUUAUAAUUAAGGGGGGCUAGAGUACCUUGAUUGUUUAAGAUGUGAAGACAGGUAGUAAGAACUCCCUCUUUGACCUCAUUCCAGUGCUUUUGGUAAAAAGCUGUUGGUAGCCCAUCGGGCCCCGGUGCCUUGGUUGGGCACAUUUGAUUUAAGGCUUCAGUCACUUCCUCCGCUUUAAAAGGUUUCUCUAACGACUCAUUCAUGUCCUCGGAUACUCUCGGGGUGAUACCUUUUAGCGCUGCUUUCAUCUGGUUUUGACUUGGCUUGGUUGUUGUAAAUAGCUUUGUGAAAUAGUUGCAGAAUUCAGCCUCCACAUCUCUGGCUUUCUUUAACCAAUCCCCUGAGCUAUUUUCAAUCCCCCAAAUUCUGUUCUUUUUCUUUCUAUUCGACACUUUAUGAUGGAAGAACUUUGUGUUCUUGUCCCCUUCCUUGAGCCAAUCUGCUCUUGAGCGUUGCUUCUAGUAAAUCUCCUCAUCAAUGAUGAUAUUUAUAAUCUGAUUUUCCACCAUUUUAAUCUUUUCUCCAGAUUCGUACUGCACCCCUCUCUGCUUCCAUCCUUGAAGCUGCUUUUGUAACUGCUCUAGCUGUUUUUCCCUUCCUUUGAAUUCCCUCUUGCUCUAGUUUAGAAGUCUAGCCAUUGAUUCUUUAGCAAUCUUUCGAAACAAAUAAACUGGAUUGCCACUCUGCCAAUUGCUAUUCAAGCUCCAUUCCUCGUUAACUAUCUCCUUACAAGCCUCAUACGGACUCCACAUAUCCUCAUAAUGAAUUCGUGAGGAUUGUCUCCUACUCGCAGCCAUUUCCUCUCCCCUCUCUUGAACCAUCAUCAGCACUGGACAAUGGUCUGAGGUCCAUGUGUUCAGGUUGAUUACUGCAUCAUUGACAAAAAUAUCACACCAGGCUCUGUUGCAAACAAAACGGUCCAACCUUUCCUCUAUAAAUCUCUGUCCAAACCUCCCAUUACUCCAAGUAAAAGGGUAACCCUUAUACCCUACAUAUGCUAAUUCACAAUCUCUCAAAGCCUGCCUGAAGCUAUUAAUUAAGUUGACAUUUCUCUCAUUGCCUCCGCUCUUCUCAUGAGGAUGCAGAAUUUCAUUGAAGUCUUCGAAACAUAACCAAGGACUAGGAGACAAACCUACCAACCUUCUCAAAAGUGACCAUGUAUGUUGUUUCUGCCCCAUUUCCGGAUGCCCGUACACCCCUGUGCAUCACAUUUGCCUCCCAUUGGCCAUCUGAACUUCAGCAUCUAUGUGAUGCUUGCUGAACGAUUUAAUUUGUACACAAGUUUCUUCAUUCAAAGCAAAGAUAAACCCCCUCCCCUUCCACUACAGCUCACGGCAAAACAAUUAUCAAAUUUUAACUUUUUUCCAGUCACAUUCAUUUGCGUGGUUGACAGCUUGGUUUCACACAAAAAUACCAGUUGAUGACCAUGCAUAUGGAGGAUUUGUUUAAGUACUAGAAACGCUCGGGGAUUCCCCAAACCCCAAACGUUCCAUGAGAUGAUCUUCAUGGCUUUCGGCGGGGCUGGCUUCCAGCCUCCGCCGAUAUCUCUGCUAUGGUUGAAUCCAUGUCCACCAUAUUUUCCAACAUCAAUGGUUCCCAGCUCAAUUUAACUUUUGCCGCUGGAGAAUGGUGCCCCUGCUUCUUUGUUUCUGAUUUAAUUGGACUAGAGAGCUUUGCUUUCUUUUUCGGGCUUUGUCCCAUUGCCUCUCUACUUGUUCGUUUAUGAGCUCCCAGCCCCAUUUUGGAUUCUCUUCCAUUUGGCUCUCUAGCUCGUCUCUUCCAUUUUCUUUUUGUGGGCCUUGCUUGAGUAAUUUCCGGCCCAUUAUCUAUUUUAGCUUCCUCCAUUUCUUUCAAAUUUGUCUUGAACUUUUCCCUCUCUUUCUCCAUCCCAUCUCCUGCCAAUAUUCCCCCUUCUCUAGGAAUUAUUUCAUUGCUGAUAUUCCCACCUUGCUUUUUGCCGCCCAUUUGCUUUUCUUUCAUCGAUUCUACCACUCCUUUCAUUAAAUUCUGCUCACCUACUCCUUCCACCUCAUCAAUCUUGGUAGUCUCCAUGGUUUGACCCGUUUUUUCGCUUAUGGGUUCUGACCCACUUGUUCUAAUCGGGUUGUCCUGGCUUUGUUGUUGUUGUUGCCGGUGGAUUCUGUUAUGCUCUGAACUUUCUUAUUUUUCUUUUGAUCUACUCCCUUCAUAAUUCCAUCUCUCAUUGUUGCGAUUCUUCCUUGAACGACCUCCUACGAUAAUUGCUUUCAUCCACCCACCGUAUGGUAGUUGCUCUUUUUGCUGUCCCUGAAAUUUGGCACACUCUUUGUAUUGAUGCCCAAUGAUGCCACAACAAUAACAGAAAUCUAGUAGUCGCUCAUAGACCACUAGCAUUGGAAUGUCUGAUUCACCUUCUUGUUUAAGGAAGAGUAUUUUCUUCAACGGCAGUGUUAUAUUGAUUAAUACCCUUAUUCUCGCAAAUUCGCCAAGGCAUUCUCCAUUUUCAUCUGUCUCAAUCUCCUCCACUGCCCUAAUCAUUCCUCCCAAUUCUUGGAGCAAUUCUUUCUCCAUGCAUACAAUCGGGACGUUGCGAAUCUGUAUCCAAAAGGUUGUGUGGAUAAAGUAUUGCUUUGUCAGCUCCCCUAUUCCUUUUGGUUCAGUAAGAACAAUUAAUGCUCUAUCAAAAUGCCAAGGACCUCCUGUUAAUACUCUUUUUUUAUCCGCUUCUUCUGUAAAUUUAAACAUAAAGCAAUUGUUCCCUAAGCUUUCAAUUUUAACCUCUUUUACAGUUCGCCACACUUGCUGCAAUGCACUCUUAAAUCCCUCCUUGUUGACUGCUCUUGUGAGGAGGACUUUGCCCACUAAGCAUCUUGCCAACAUUUUCCCCCUUGUGGCUUUCAUGUUCACCUCUAGUGACAUAUUGGUUUUGUCUUCCUCUCUUAUAGUUAUUGCGUUGCAUUUACGGAUUAGCUCGUCUGUAUCCAUGGCACCACAGGCUACAUGAUAUGGAUACAAUAGUGCCCCAUGUAUGACCCCUUGCCUUCUCUGCUCUCCCCAACUCUGAUUAGUAUAAUACUCAAACAAUCACCGAGAAUAAGGAAACGCUAAAGCUAAAAGAAAAACUUAACCCUGAAAGCACUCACUUCGGAGUGACCAUUGAGUCAUUAAGACCCUUUAAAGCUUCCAUUCCAGCUUCUCUGUCAUAGAGAGAGCGUUUGAAAGAAUAUUGUGCAAUUUAGUAACAAAAACAAAUCAUUAUUGAGUGUGAACAGACUUAUUGAUCACCCAAUUUUCAAACUUGUCAUCCUUAUUGAAUAUGCAUUCCCUUUUAAAAAAUUUUAAAAAAGGUACAAAUAAUGAAACAAAGUUUUGUUCCUUCAACAGUUGAUAGAGUUACGCAGCUUCAACUUGCAAGUGCUGUCGGCAUUUUCAAACUUGUAAGACCCUUCAACUUGCUUUCCUAGAUAGCUAUAAUUAAUAAUGACAACAGUCUCCCUUAUAGUGGCUAGUGAGCAACUUGUUUCGUGAAAUUAACGGUAUCUUCUCUCACAUUUUUUAAAAAAUUGAAUUAUAUAACCCACCAAAACUAUAAAGAAUUGUUAGUUUUUCUUCAUUAAAAUUAAUAUAUUGCUCCUCAUAUUGCAAAAUCAAAAUUCAGAAUAAGAAUGAUUGAUACUGUUUAUUUAUUAAAAUGAAAAUAAAAUAUAUGAAGCCUACAUAUUUUUGAAAUUAGAAAACAAGAACUUUAUUUUCCAUGGGGAGUGUUGGGAAUCAAGUUCUCAUUAUUUAAACUCUCAAUUGUACCUCACCGAAAUUUCAUAAUUUCACUUUUGUUCGCAAUUAAAAUAUUAUUAUAGUUAUUAUUCUUAUUUUUAUAGUUGUUGUUGUUGAUGAUGAUGAUGAUGAUGAUGAUGAUACAAGAUAAUAAAAUUAAUGAUAAUUAAACCAAUUUGAAUUUAGAGUGAGUGAGUACUAGGGGUGUUCAGAAUCCAAUCCGAUUCGCUCAAUCCGUCCGAUCUGCUCAAUCUGAUUCGUAUAAAUCCAAUCCGUGGAUUGGUGGAUUGGAUAUGGAUUGAAAAUUUAAAAAUCCGCAGUCGAUGGAUUGGAUAUGGAUUUACUUAUGUAAAUCCGCAGAAACCGUGAAUCCGCAAAAUAUAUAUAUAUAUAUAUAUAAUUAAAAAAUUAUUAUAAAUUUAAUUUUAAAAAAAUUAUAAAUGUGACAUUACAUAGUUACAUAAGCACUAUAACAUAUCUUAGCCAUUACUCAAUAAUAAUAUAAAAUGAAAAAUAAUUAAAUAAUCAAAUAUACAAAUAUAACUUGUAAAAAUUAUAAAACAAAAUAAAAGUAAAGUCACACGCACUAGCAAAAGCAAAGUAACAUAACGCCAAGUCACCAACAAUUUACAAAGUCACUCAAAAGCAAAGUAACAUGACGUUAAGUCACCAAUAAUUUGCAAACAAAAAACCCUAAGCUUCCCCGCCGUCACACACACUAGCAACACUCAAUACUGGUUGGAUACACUCUCGACACGGAUUUGAAGGACAUCGGCCGCGCGAUUCCGGCGAGAGCAAUCCAAUUUCUUUCCCAAGUCCAUUGAGCCACUUCACAUUCACUGGUUCCAGCUGAAUAAUUUCACUAUCACAACCUUCAAGAUCGCCACCCGUACAGCUUCUCCUGGUUCCCAUCGUGGACGGCUCCGUAAUCACCACUUUUCGACAGGCGCAACAGCCCUGGUGAAGGAUCAGACUGUGUUUGGUUUCCGAAACUUCACCAUUUCAAUUAAUUGUGGCUCUAUUUGAACAAUUAAUUUCGGUGUUAUAUUAACGUAUUAUUGUAACUUUAUUUGAACAAUUAAAUUUGGUGUGUUAUAUUUUGAAACUUUGAACGUAUUAUUAUAGCUUUAUUUGAAUAAUUAGUCUCGAUGUGUUAUAUUUUCAAACUUUAAAUGUAUUAUUUUAGCUUUAUUUAAAUAAUUUAUUUAUUUAAAUUUUAUUCAAUUUUAAAUUUAAUUGGUAGCAAAAUUAUUUUUAUAUUAUAUAUUUUUUUAUUUCAUUAGUUGGAGAGAACUAAAAAUUUUUAAUUCGAAAACUAAUGCGCAAAAUGGUGGAUUGGAUAUGGAUUUAGUCAAAUCCGCAUUCGAUCCGCAGACGUAUGGAUUGGAUAUGGAUUAAGUCAAAUCCGCAUCCGAUCCGCAGAUGUAUGGAUUGGAUUUGGAUUGAAUUUUAUCAAUCUGUGGAUUGGAUUGGAUUGGAUUGGAUUGAAAAAUUAUAAUCCGCAAAAUCAUGGAUCGGAUAUGGAUUGAUGUCCAAUCCGUUAAAUCCGAUCCGCGAACACCCCUAGUGAGUACCAUGAGUUCGCAUCAUUUGAUAUCAAAUGAGCAUCAUUACUAACUAAUAUAGGUUCGAUCGAAUUCAUCAUACGAAGUAUAUUAUCGGCUGUAGGUAUGGAAAUAAUUUUGUAUCCACAAACACUAUUUUUCAAAAUAUUUUAAGACUUAACUUAGCAUUUUUUAACCAUACAUGUAUAGGUUGUUUGACCUAUUUUAAAUAAUGGAGAUUACAACAAAUGAACAGAUGUGGAUUAGUAGUGUUGUUGAGUUCAAAAGAUUGAAGUUAAGAAAAGGGUUUCUUGAUCCAGAGAAAAUUCAAAAGAGCGAAGUGUCUUCGAGAUCAGAAGACGAAAUAAGGAAAGGGUAAGGUUUAUACUUUCAAAAUGAAUAUGUUGACAGAUCUUUGAAGAUUAUUUUCAUUAACAGUUGGAUCCCACACUUGAGUCUUUGUAGUCUCAGUCAGUCAGCUAUAAAGAUAAAUUAAUUUUGAGCGUGAAAGGGCUCAAUUGAUCACCAAAUUUUCGAACUUAUGAUCCUUAUUGAAUCUGCAUUCCCAUUUGAAAAACAAAAAAAAGAUUAACAUUAAUUUAACUUCAUCUAGAUUCCCAUUUGAAUCUGCAUUCUCAUUCCGUUCUUUGGGAAUGCGCAUAAUCAAACAAAAUCAUGUCCGCAUUUUCAAACUUGUGACCCUUCAAGCUUUCUAUAACAGCUAUAAUGAAUAAUUACAACAGUGCUACGUAAUAGUGAGCAACUUGUUUGAUGAAAUUAACAGCUUCUGUUCUCUCAUGUAUUUUUAAAAAAUUGAAUUAUCAAAGUUUUUAUUUCAAAAUUAGUGCUAUAGUUCAUUAACUUUUCAAAUUUUCUUUUUUCUUUCCACACAACAAAUUGAUUUUCCCUCCAAAAAAUGUAUUAAAUUGUUUAAUAUUGUAACUUCAAAAACUUAUAAUGAAUUUUUAAAGAGAUAAAUAGAGAAUGUCAAUCUCCCAUCUACUCAAAAUUAAUAUAUAUCAUUAACUCCUGAUUAUUUUUAUAACAACUAAUAACUUUCUGGGUAGCAUAAUUUUACAGUAUCAUCCUUGUUUGUAAGUAUAUUUUUAUUCACAUUUAUUAUAAAUUAAUUAAAUCAUAUCAAUGAAAAUUGAAAUAAAAAUUGAAGUACUAAAAAAAAUGUUUUGGUGUGAAUAAAAAAUUGAAAAUAAAAAUAUUUUUCUUAUAUUUUUUAUUUUUAAAUGUUUUUCUUUUAAUAAAUAUAUAUUUUAUAUUCUCAAAUUGAAUUAUUGAGUAAAUGACUCAUUUAUUCACUUUUUCUUUUAAUUUUUGUUAUUAGGAGGAUUUUUAGAUAUAAUGAAAAUUGUAAGGUAGUAAGUAAUAUAUAAUAAUUUUAAUAGAGAAAAAUAAAAAAUCUGUUAUUUUAAAAUAUAAAGAGAAAAAUAAUUAAUUUCAAAACAUUUUAGAAGAUAUUUCAAUAUGCGGUGGACCACAAACUCGAGUCUUUGUCAUCUCAGUCAACUAAAAGGACAUAUGCUAUAAUGUCCCUCUUCCCUCACAUAUUAAACCAAUGUGAUCUCAGAGUGAGUUUGCAUCGAAGGAGUAUCCUUACUAACUAAUAUAGGCUCGAUCAAUAGAGAUGACAAUAAUUUUUUUUAUCUACGAACAUUAUUUUUUCAAAAUAUUAUAUCUUUAGACUUAACUAAAUAUUUUUUUCACCAUGUAUGUAUAGUUUGUUUGAUCUCUUUUAAAUAGUGGAGAUCACAACAAAACAAAUGCGAAUUAGUAGUGAUGGUGAGUUCAGAAGAUUGAAGUUAAGAAAAUUAAGGGUUUCUUGAUCCGGAGAAAUUUCAAAAGAAUGAAGCGUCUUCGAAAUCAAAAGACAAAAAUAAAGAAAGGGUAAUGGUGUAAUUUUGAAAGUGAAUUUAUUGAGAGAUCUUUGAAGAUUUACUUCCGUUAAGACUUAGAUCCCGCACUCCUAAGCCUUUGUCGGCCCAAUCACUCAACUGUAAAGACAUUUUCUUGUUGAGUGUGAACAGACAUAUUGAUCACUAAAUUUUCAAACUUGUGAUCCUCGUUGAAUCUGAUUCCCCUUUGAAAAAUUAAAAAAAAGUGCAAAUAAUGAAACAAAAUUUUGUUCCUUAACAGCAAGUGUUGUCGGCAUUUUCAGACUUGUAACAAGGGAAUGCGGUCCUCUCCUGAACCCGAAUCUCAUUCCCUGUGACAAGACCCUUGUUACCCUUCAACUCGCUUUCUAAGAUAGCUAUAAUUAAUCGUGACAACAUUACUCUCAGUGAGCAAAAGUUAACAGCAUCUUCUCCCCAUUUUUUAAAAAAUGUAUUAUAUAACCCACCAAAACUAUAAAGAGUCUUUUCUUAUUAAAAUUAAUAAAUUACUCUUUAUAUUAAAUAAUUAAAAUUAAAAUUAAAAUUUAAAAUGAAAAUGAUUUAUUUAUUAAAAUAUAAAUAAAAUAUAUAAAGUUCAUAUGUUUUUUAAAUUAAAAAAUAAGAACUUAAUUUCAUUCCUUAAAUUCUCAAAUUUACCUCACAAAAAUUUCGUAAGCUCACUUUUGUCCUUAAUUAAAAUAUGAUUAUGUUAUUAUUAUGGUUAUUAUUCUUAUUUUUGUAAUAGUUGAUGUUGUUGUUGAUGAUGAUGAUAAUACAUAUAAUAAAAUUAAUAAUAAUAAAAAUAAUAACUAUAAUUUUAACAACAGCAAUAAUAAUCAUUAAUAUUAUUGUUGUUGUUGUUGUUGUUCUUCUUCUUCUUCUUCUUCUUCUUCUUCUUCUUCUUCUUCUUCUUCUUCUUCUUCUUCUUCUUCUUCUUCUUCUUCUUCUUCUUCUUCUUCUUGUUAUUAUUAUUAUUAUUAUUAUUAUUAUUAUUACUAUCCUAUUAUAAUAAUAUUAUUAAAUAAUUAUUUUGAAUAAUAAUAAUCACAAUUAUUAUAACAAACGACAAAAAUCAACUAAAGUAAUUUUAAUAACUUGUAAGAAUUCAUUUUUAUUCAUGGAUAUGUGAUUAUUUGUUAAUGUAUGCAAUUAAUUGUGAUGGUAAACAAAGAAUAUAUGGUAUAUUUUCAAGUUAAAAAAGAAAAACAAAACAAAGUUUUUACCAUUUCUUGCCUUAUCAUCUUUUAAAUUAGAGUUAUUAUUCUUUUUAUUUUUCAAGUUGCCAACUCAUCCGCAUUCUCUUUUAUUGAAUUUGAAGAUCGAUGAUCAUAAAUUUGUGUAAAAAUUUUAAGUAAAAAUUUUAAAUUAAAAUAAUCUUUUAAGUUAUUGGGAAAUAAUAACUUAGUAUAACAAAUAUUAUAUCCUAUACUUUAUUGCUACAAAACUACAAAACCAUAUAUUAUAUUAUGUUUCCAUAUUUCUCUUUUAUAGUGAAGACUCAUACUUCUUCUCUACUAAAUGCUAAAGUAUUGGCUUAAACUUUUUAAUCAGCACAAUAGACCCUAAGCUAUAUAUGUUAUAAUGUCCCUCUUCGCUCACGGAUUAAACCAAUCAGUAGCCUUCUCUCAUAUAGAAAAACUUUUUGCAUAAGACAAAUUAUUAUGUUAUCGGAAAAAUUACAGUAGACGUAAGCUAUAUAUGUUAUAAUGUUCAGAAGAUUGAAGUUAAGAAAAUUAAGGAAAGGGUAAGGAUGUAUUUUCAAAGUGAAUUAUUAAGAGAUCUUUGAAGAUUACUUCCGUCAAGAGUUGGGUCCCAUAGUUUUACCUUUUGCUCGUUCACGUGAAAGUCAGUUUAGAAUUUUUAUCUUAUUUCACAAAGCUAAUUUUUUUUAUCACAAGCAGGAGAGAAACGGCAUUUCUUAGCAGUAGUUCAUCACUGUAGUAGCGAGCGAGUGAGGAACAAAAUUACCAACAAUUAUCAAAAAUAAUUAUACAAAAAAGAUCACAUGCUAUAAUUAAUCAUGACAAUUGACAACAUUACUCCCACCGAGCAAAAGUUAACAGCAUCUUCUCCCACAUUUUUUUAAAAAAAAUUGUAUUAUAUAACCCACCAAAAGUAUAAGGAGUCUUUCCUUAUUAAAAUUAAUAAAUUACUCUUUAUACAGAGAAAUUAAAAUUUAAAAUGAGAAUGAUUGAUGAUGUUCAUUUAUUAAAAUAAAAAUAAAAUUUAUGAAGUCUAUAUAUUUUUAGAAUUAAAGAAUAACAACUUAAUUUUUUAGGGGGAGUGUUGAAAAUCAAAUUCUUAUUCCUUAAAUUCUCAAUUUUACCUUAAAAAAAUUAUAAGUUCACUUUUAUCCUUAAUUAAAAUAUUAUUAUGAUUAUUAUUCUUAUUUUUGUAACAGUUGCAGUUGUUGUUGUUGAUGAUGAUGAUAAUAGUUGAUAAUAAAAUUAAUAAUAAUAAUGAAAAUAAUAACUAUAAUUUUAACAGCUACAAUAAUAAUCAUUAAUAUUAUCGUUGUUGUUGUUGUUGUUAUUAUUAUUAUUAUUAUUAUUAUUAUUAUUAUUAUUAUUAUUAUUUUAAAUAAUAAUAAUCACAAUUAUUAUAACAAACAACGACAAUAAUUAACUAAUGUCAUUUUACUAACUUAUAACAAUUCAUUUUUUUAUUCCAAGACAAACUAACCAUAUCAAUAAUAAUACAGGUCAUUUCAAUUCUAAUUCUUACAGGUAAAGUAAAUAAUUUAUUCUGAUUCUCAUUUUUCAUUUUGAUUUUAUUCUAUUCCGAUUCCAUUUGAUUCUGAUUCCAGCCAAUUCUAAUUACCGAUUAGAAAAUGCAUUGUUACUACUUUAACAAUAACUAAUGAUUCUCCUCACAAUUCUUAUAGGGUUAUCCUUAUUUUAAAAUAUUUUUUAUUCGUAUUUAUUAUUAAUUAAUUAAAUUAUAUCAAUGAAAAUCAAAUAAAAAUUUAAGUAAUAAAAAUGAGAAAAUAUAUGUUUCGGUUUGAAUAAAAAAUUAUAAUAAAAUAUUUUUCUUACAUAUUUUAAAUAUUUUUAUUAUAAUAAAUAUUUUUUUUAUUCUCAAAAUAAAUUAUCAAGUAAACGAUUCAUUAACUCAUUUUUUUCCUUUAAAUUUUUGUUAUUAAGAAGAUUUUUGGGUAUUGACCGUGAAGGGCUCAACUGAUCGCUAAUUUUGCAGCAAUUGCCUUUUCUUUUUCUUUUUUUUAAUUGUUUUGAAAAAAUAUCCAGACUCAUUCUGCAAAGUAUCUGAGGCCAAAGCGCCGAAAGUUAGCAGUUAGUACACCCACAUGUGCUUUUCUUUACAAAAUCUAAAGUUAGCGUGGGUGUCUAUAACUUAAAUUUAAUAUAAUUUAUAAUUAGUAAAAUUCUUUGAUUGACCCAUUAAAUUUUAUUAUUCUAUUACUUAUUUUUAUAUUAAAAAUUUAGUAAUGUAGAAAAAUUCUUAAAAGUUAGAGCGCUGCUAUUCACCCCGAUUUUUAACCCCGAAAAGCGCCCCGAAUUUAAAACGCACCGUUUUGAUUAAAUUGAAAACGGUGCGUUUAACCCAUGUUUCUUCCUUUCCUUUCUUUUGCCAAACCACAGAAACGGACCUUUGCUUCCUUUUCGUUUAAUCCUAUCAUCUUGUGGUCACUGCCGCUGCUGCUUUCUUCAAGACCGAGCUCUCUGCCGCUGCUGCUUCCUUCAAAACCUAACGGCCCGUCCGCAGAGCCCAAUUCAAAGCCGUUCGAUCAAUCGACGAUCCGACACCGAGGCCCAUCAACUGGCGCGUCUGCCUCAGCUUCUUCUUCGUCCUCUCCGGCGUACACGGAAGAGCAAAUCGCGAUCGUGAGACAAAUUAAGAAACGAAAGAUUAUUGCGUGCGUUGAUGGCUCUGAUGGGUUUAAUUUACGUGCGUUGAUUCAGUUGUUGCUUGUGAUUUUGAUAAUUCUCUUGCAGUUUUUGCGUCUUCUAAUCCAAUUUAUGCCAUGUCGAGGUCUUACCCUUAUGAGUACAAGUUUACAACAGAAAGAGGGGUGAAUUUUUAUAUGAAGUCUAGCAAAUUUGAGUAGGACUAUCCGGUGGGUAGUGUUCAGAGAGUAAGGCUCGAAAAGCAAGUUGAAAAGGAUUACUUUACUAUUCUUGCACAGAAUUGCCGGUUAGAGAUUCAACGGCAGCAGUGGGGUUUUAUAAAGGAGACUCCCCAUUGUGACAUGUGGCAGACGUUUCAAUAUUCACCAGCUUGGUAAAUCUGACAAUAAUUUUGUAGUAAUCUACAUAAAGGUUGCUUGAUUGUGCUGCUAUGAUAUUCAUUAUUCAGAUAGGAGUAGCAAUCGUGUUACUGAAAUCUGGUUCAAUGAAACAAGCUGAAGCAAAACUGAAGUAAUUUUCUCCCACAUUCAAUUAAUGCAUCUUCAAAUCUUUCAUAAAGUUGAUCAUUUCCUCGGGAAAUGGAACAUUGCUCUUGUGUAAUGAAGUUUUAAGCAUUGCUGUAAAUGGUUUGUAUAUGAGAAAUUAUUUGUUUUAAUGCCAUAAUUUAUGUGCUGAUUGAUCUUUGAAGAAAUUUUGAGCGCGAUUAACUGUCUCUAGGGUCUGUUGUUGCCCAUGAUGCUCCAACAGCUGGAUGUCUAAUUAUGCAUUAUGAACCUUAACUAUCAGUUUCUAGAGCUGAUGUUCAACUAGCUAUUUGAUGAUGUUUUAGGAAGAUGUAUUUUGGCUGUUUGAGUUUCUAGAGCUGAUGUUAUGUUAGAAAUUAUAUUUAUUUUAAUUGUUGCUGCAGCAACAUAAAUAUAAACUGUUGAUUAACUUGAAUAUCCCAUUUGGAACCAAACAAUGACAAAAAUAAAAUAAUACAUCAAAACACAAGUUAGCAGAUGUUGAUUAACUUGAUACAAAUGCUCACGGUUGAGUAAUUUUAGAUACAAAUACUGAUGGUUCAGCUUACAAAUUAAAAUGAAACAACUCAAGAUUUAUAAAUUUAAAAUCAAACUGCUCAUGAUUCAGCUUACAAUCAUUAAAUAUAGGAACAAUAAUAUACAAACAAAUACUUACGGGUUUUGCAAUGUAGGAAUUCAGCACUCUAACUUUCACGAAUAAGUUGGCGUUUUGCAGUUUGGAAGCUCUGUACUUGGAGUUUUUACAUUUGCAGUUUACAGUUUGCAGUUUCAGUCUGCAAAGCGGAGUGUUGUGGUUCAAGCUUGUGCAAAUAGAAGAAGAAAGAAAAUGUUCACGUGCUGCACGGGUGGAACUAAAUGGGAAAGCAAUCAAAGCAAAAAAGCAAAAAAGCAAAAAAGCAAAGAAGCAAUCAACGCAAAAGGAAAACAGUCAAAGCAAAAAAGAAAUCAAAGCAAAACGCACCGUUUUGACAAUAUUUGGGGUACGGUUUCGGGGUUUAAAAUCGGGGUAAGUAGCUUGCUCUUUCCCUAAAAGUUAAGGAAAAUGAUGUUUGCCCCGGGUCAAACCCCGAAAAUGAAACGCACCGUUUUUAUUAACCCGCAAAACGCACCGUUUUGCCAAGCCCAUUUUCUUUAUCGAUUAAGUGCAGCACAGCCAUUCGAAGUCCUCAAUCCACAAUCAGUAAUAAAUUAUGAUUCUUUUCAAAUCGGAAGGGAGCCCUCCAGAAGGUCAAUUCCAUGAUAUAAUUAGAUGGAUGGAAGAUAUGACAAAGCGGCAAAAAAAUGUGGAGAAGGAAUCAGUUGCAGCUCUACUUUGGGUGAUAUGGAACGCUAGGAAUAAGUGGCUUUUUGAAGGGAAACAAGAGGCUCCAGCCAGAUUAGUAGCAAGAGCUGAAUCAGUUGUGGAGUCUUUUAAAAAUGCCAGCCAGUAUGAUGGGUUAAGGCCAAAUCAGAAAAGGGAGGGUAAGGAAAACCACAGGCAUUCUCUUCCAAAUGGGUGGCUAAAGGUAAAUGUAGAUGCUGCAGUGAACGUUGAGAAACAUGUAGCUGGGCUGGGGGUGGUAAUAACAGACGGGAACCAAAAUUGUAUAAUUGCUGCCAUUAACACUUCUAGAUACUUUGGCAACGUGGCAAUGGCCGAAGCUGCAGCUGUGAAAUGGGGAUUGCAGGUUGCUUUGAGAGUGGGGGGAACCUCUGUGUUGCUUGAAUCGGACUGUCAUGAAGUAGUAGAGAUUAUAAAUAACAGAGACAGUAGUAUGAUGGAAAUCUUUUGGGUGAUCUCUGAAAUUCUGGAAAUUAAGAAGAGUUUUCAGAAUUUCAAGGCUCAACACACACAUAGAUCUUGAGGGGUUUUGCAGUUGGGGUUAUGUAGUUGGGUUGUGUGGUGAAGUGAAAAAUCGAAAGCGAAAGAUGAUUUUUCUGUUUCUUUAUUACAGGAGAAAGAUGAGUUUGAUAAAGAGCUGGAAUGCUCAAGCAAAACGACGUUGUUUUAAGAAAAAUUGAAACGACCCAAAAAACUAAUAAAACGGCGUCGUUUUAUUAAAGCUUCGGGGCUUGACCCGGGGUUUGACCCGGGGCAUCUAUCAGCGCCCAAAAGUUAAUGGAGAAGGAAAAGAAAAAGAAAAAGUGUAAAUGAACUGUAUUCACCUAAGUUUCAAACAUGUGGUUCAAUCUGAAUUUGCUUUUUUCAAAAGUAAAUACAAAAGAAAAUAUAAAGAAAAAGAAAUUAAACGAGACAAAAAUUUGUGGCGUGGGUCAUUCAUAUCUUUUGCCAUUUCUUUUGUAGAGGUACAUAGGGUAGAUAUUUUGAAGUGAAAAGCAGAGCUUUUAUUGUUAUUUGCCUUAUCAUCUUUUAAAAUUAGAGUUAUUAUUCUUUUAUUUUUAAGUAGCCAACGGAUGGUAGCCAACUCAUCCGUGUUCUCUAUUAUUGAAUUUAAAGAUCAAUAAUUUAUGUUAAUAAAUAUUUUGUUAACUAUCAAAGUUUUUAUUUCAAAAUUACUGUUAUAAUUCAUUAAAAUUUCAAUUUUUCCUUUUUCUAUUCACACAACAGAUUGAUUUGCCCUCCAAAAAAAUGUAUUAGAUCGUUUAAUAUUGUAACAUCAAGAAACUUAUAAUAAAUUUUUAAAGAGAUAAAUAGAGAAUGUCAGUCUCGCAUCUACUUAAAAUUAAUAAAUAUACCACUAACUCCUUAUUAUUUUUAUAAUAACUAAUAACUUUCUUAACAAUAUAUUUUUAUAGUAUUAUCCUUGUUUGUAAGUACAUUUUUAUUCAUAUUUAUUAUAAAUUAAUUAAAUCAUAUCAAUAAAAAUUAAAAUAACACAAUAUGUUUUGGAGUGAAUAAAAGAUUGAAAAUAAAAAUAUUUUUCUUAUAUUUUUUGUUAUUUUUAAAUGUUUUUCUUAUAAUAAAUGUACAUUUUAUAUUCUUAAGAUGAAUUUUGAGUAAAUGACUCAUUUACUCACUUUUUCUUUAAAUUUUUUUGUUACUAGGAGGAUUUUUAGAUAUAAUGAAAAUUGUAAGGUAGUAAGUAAUAUGGCCAAAACUACAUUGCGUCAGGGGUUUGGUGCCCCACUCGUUUGUCUGUUAGCAAGGUCAGCGUUGGAUUUGAUCUGACGGCUGCAGAAGAGACACAAAUAUAAAGGGUAGUAACCUGAGGCAAAGGUAACAAGCCAGUCACCUGCAGAAAAUAAGUGUAUGAUAAAAUAACACAUGCAAUGAAUUUUGUAUUUUUUUUUUUUAGAAGACACAUGUAAUGAACUUGCUGGAAGCGUACAUGCAAGUAAUGGUUGGAAACAACCUACUGAAACCGUGCAAGUAUUGGUUGGGCUAAGAUUGACAUGAAAUUUCCCAAAUAGUGUCCGAAACAUUUGCAAAUAGUUAAUUCAAAGCGUCAAUAAAUGCUGGAAAAAAUACAUAUUUUUUAUUUUUUUUAUUAAGAAUACAUUUUUUUUGAUAAAAAAAUAAAUUAUUAAUGGUACAUAGCAACAAAUAUACCCAAAACAAUUAUCCAUAUAUUUGAAAAACAUUUGUUAACAAUACAUAUUUUUAGUAGUACACAUAUUAUAACAUAAACAAAUUGAGUUGUAUCAUGGACAGCCAUAAACUAUGAACAAAGAUUACGAUCUAAACUCCACAUGCAUGUUUAAUUUGUAGAUUCCAUUUUUUUCAUAAUGUGUUUCCCACCAUGGGAUAACAAGGGUUAUUCAGGCAAAACACUACGGCAAUUCAUUAUCAUAGACAGGAAAAAGACAAUGGCAAAGAUCAAUGAUUUAACACACAAGAAUGAGUGAAUAACAACAGCAAGUGAGAACCAUGCAGAAUCCUUUUUAUUAGAGAUCCUUUCUUAAAUCUUAAAUAAGAACAUUAAAUAAGCUUGAAAAAUAUUGGUAACUGGCCCAAUACACAUCCAUCUAACGGAAAACAGCGGACAGUUUGACGCAUGUGUGGAGCACUUGAGGAAACAGAGCAUCCACGGAAUGCCUAAAUUUGAAAAAAAAAAAAAUUGCAUUUGACGAAAAGGACUUUGAGCGUUCAAAUACAAAGUGUCGAUUAACCUUACAAGAUACAUCAACCAUCACAUAUGCUCAACAUGCAAUACCAAAUUAAAUUACCCAUCUCCAGGGUUGGAUUUGUCUUCAAUCAGAUGAAUGCUGGAGAGAAUAUAAUUGAAAGAAUGGCAUCAUCUACCAUGCAAGCUAAGGCUCCUUACAGAUGCUCAACAUGACACCACAAAAGAAAAUACAAUAUCAAAGACACAUCACCAACAUAUAUGCAAACUACCAAUUCUCACAGCAUGCAGUGCAACAACUCAUAAAAUAUGAAAUUUAACAUCAUCUAAGCAUUUUCUCAAGCUUAUUUCUCAUUAAAGAACUUAACUGAAAGUAGUAAACAUAGAGACAUAUAACAGCUUUAUAAGUACAGACCACAAAGUAGAACUUUGUUCGAAUGAUAAUGAUCAUAAUCCACAUUAUAAACGCAGUGAAAUCAUCAAAUGAAAUAAGAACACAGUACACAAUUACACAAAUAUUAGGCUUAAUUAAUUAUUUAGAUUAAAACACCAACUCACACAACUUCCUUGUUGGAAUCUUCUCAUAUCCCAUCUUCUUAGGGCUCAGAUCAUCAUCGUGAUCAUCAACAUCAGUGAAUUCCUCAUACGAAUUGCGAGAAUCGUGACGAUUAGCAAAGAGGCUCCACACCAAAUACAUGGUAACGGCAGUAAGCGAAUCACACCCAACGCCGAAAAGCAAAGCGACUGGUCCGGUCGCAUAGAGAGGAGAAGUCGUGCUCGAAGGGCAAAACACGACGUUUUGGCUCAUGGAUGAGGUGCUGCUCCCGAUCAUCGAUUGAAGGGAGAAUUGGACAAUCGAAGAAGAUUAAGGGACGGUGGGGACUGAAUUGGCGAAUUUCGGUGAAGAUUGUGACGAAUCCAACGGGGUUCUCGGAGUUUGGGUUAGGGUUACGGGGAUUGAAAUGGAUCGAGUAAGAGGAAAUGAAGAGGGUUUUGCAUGGCCUUCCGGAGGCUGAAAUUGAGAGGACACCAUGAAUAUUGUGAGAGCUAAGAGGAGAUGCUGAGUCGAUGACGCCAUUGAUUCGUACCACAUAGCUUCGAUUGGAAAUGAAGCCUCUAAUAGCUUUAGCCGGUUACCCAUUUUUCAAGUGUUAAAUCUCAACCGUUGACUGCCUUUCUUUAUGAUUUCAAGGGUCAUUCACAAAAGGACAAAGGUCAAUAUGCGGUGGACCACACCCUUGAGUUUUCCUCGUCGUCUCAGUCAACUAAAAGGACAAAAUAUUGAGUCUUUAAGGACUCAACUGAUUGUUAAUUUCACAGCAAUUACCUUUUUUCUUUCUUUUUUUUCUAAUUAUUUUGAAAUGGUAGGUAGCAAUUGCUUACAUCAAAAUAUCUAAACUCACUCGGCAAAGUAUCCGAGGCCAAAAUGCCAAAAGAUGGGACACCCACAUGUGCAUCUAAUUACAAAGUCUAAAGUUAAUGAAAAGAAAAAGAAAAAGAAAAAGUAUAAAUGAACGGUAUUCACCUCACUUUCAAACAUCUAGUUCAACAUGAAUUUCCUUUUACCAAAAGUAAAUUUCCUCUCGAAUUGUCCUCAUUACAUCAAACGAAUGAUGACGACGCUCUGUCCGUUUCUGGCUCUCUGCUUUUCUCUCUCACAUCACGAGACACCUCGUUUCUAACUGGGGUACCACCAUCAUAUUUAACUGUUAGGUCUUCCUACUAUGCACCUGAUGUAUGCAUGAUUCCUUAUGACAUGACAUACAGCCAAUUAAAUUCUGACAUGUUUGCAAUAAAGACUGUUAAACCGGUUGAAUUCACAAGAUCUCUUGUUUGUGUGUUUAUGUUCCAAGUUGUGUACUCUGUGUUAUGAGUUCUCUAAUUAGUCUGAUAUUAUCGCAACUGUUGCUCAAUAAUGUUAUAGGUUUUAUAAUAUAUGUCACCGGUACGAUCGCUGUCUCAAGUGGUAAACUUUGAGGCACAAAUUUAGAACGAAAAGUUCCUAAUAAAAUAAAUUAUUUAAUUAAUUAAAUAAGAAUAAAAUGAAUUUGUGAAAAAAAUUUAAAUUUAAUUUUGAAUUAUUUUGACCAAAAUUUAAGUUUUUUUUUAAUUUGUUUAAGAAAAUGCGUUGUAAUUGUCUUGUUUUAAUUGGAAAAUCAAUGAAAAAAUUAUGUAAAAGAAAAAAAAAAAAAAGCAAAACGGUUUGUUUUGGAUGGAGGCCAUAGAUUCCAAUAUUUCCUUCACGAAAACUACAAAAAAUUAUCAAAGGCAUCAAUUUCUACACUCUCACGGAGCAAUACUCUUAACCCAGAAGAAAGUGUAUAAACCAACCCCAAUUAGUCCAUCAAUGUCGUCAACCUCAUACAGCAUAAAAAAAAUCUGUGUCCAUUAAACCGCCAUUUAAACCGUCUUGAUUGAGCCAUUAGACUAUUCGUGUCAUCUUCCCAUCUCGUUGUAGUAUUUUGCCGUUCAAAUCUAGCUAUCAAUUGGGGAAAAUGGGGACCAAUCUGCAAGUCUUUAAAAUAGAAAGAAACUUUUAUUGGGCACUAUGUUCACGGUGGACCCAGCAGCAUUAAUAUUUAAGAUGGAGUUAUUUGUAUUUUAAAAAUUAUUUUAAACAUUCUAAUUUUAAUAAGAAUAUAUAUUAUAAAAAUAUUUAUCAUAUAAGUUAUUGGACAAUAUAUUAUAAGUCAACAUUAUAUAAUUACUUUGAACACUUAUAUAGCACAAUCCUAAUUCAAUUUAUUAUUCUCAUGACUUAAAUAUAAAAAUUUUUAUUUCCAACAUCUUAAUUAAUAUGUAGAUGAAUAAUAAGGAAAUUAACUUUGAGAAAAAAUUAAAUACAAAAUAUGUGUAAAGCUUUUAAAAAAUAAAAUAAAACAAAAGUAUUGCACAAGAUUUUGGGGGGGGGGGGGGGGGGGGGUUUGGCCAUUCUUCUUCUCCUCCUCUCUCUCUCUUUUGUUUGGGUAGUAUUUAUGGAACAUUUUCUAUUGUUAUGUUCUCAUCGCAAGUUAUUUUAGGUGUAAAAUUCAAUAUUGAAAAUAAAUUAAAUAAAAAAAUAGUAACUAAAAUUAUGUUAAAUUAUUUUUUUAUAAAUUAAUUUUUAAUUAUAUUAUUGUGAGUAUAUGCUAAAUCUCUUAAAAAUAGAGUGUUGAAUAAUUUUAUUAGUUUUUUAAAUAAAUAAAGUUAAGUAACUUAAAAAGUUUAAGUAAGGAUAUUUUUAAAUUUUAAACAGUAUACAAAGUAAAAUUUAAUUUUUUUAUAAUUAAGCUAUGAGCGUGCAAAGUAAUAUUUAGAAUACUAAUAAUCCUACCUUAAUCUUUAUCAUCACAUUAUUUUCCAUAAAAAGUUUACAAUUACCUCUUUAUUGGAUAAUUUUGUUCCCUCUCUUACCUUAUGUUCCCUUACAUUCUCAUUUCUGCAUCACCAUUUAAAUUAUAAUCAUAACGUUAAUCUUUAUCUAUCACAUAUUUUGCCAAAUUUAUUCGCACCGCAAAGCUCUUUCCUUUUUUUUUCCCCGUUAAGUUUGCUAUAAUGUACGUGAAGAAUUUAAAGAGAUCUUUCGUGUCCUUACCCUUUUUUUCGGGUGCACUUUUGCUGCUUUUUUACGUUUCUCCAGAAUUCACUUCAACAUGACUGGCGCAUUUUCUUCUUUCUCGCUGCAACAUCAACUAGGCCACCACCUCUUGCCUCUCCCGGUUCCCCUCAAUUUUCGUAUUCAAUGUCCACCGUUGAUUGUACAUUUAUUAAAAUUCUGUGGUUAUUAUUUUUUUGCAUAUAUUUAAUUCCACACGGUCUAUCGAUAGAGCAGGUGCAUCGUAGUUGUGGCCUUAACCCUGUUAUUGGUAACUCAAUAGCUAAUUCUAAUGUUUCAUCAAGCAGUUUAGAGAUAACCUCUCUCGCUGAACACCCUGGAGUAACGCAAUCCAGUUUUCCAGUGCAAUCAUCAGACAGUUGAACAGCUUCUGAAUUCCCUUUGCUUUUCUUGUUUUCUUUUCCAUGAAAAGGGAGCUCAGGCUUCAAUAUAUCUGGGGAUUGAGUACUAAUGAUAAAGACAACAUACGGUAGAGGACACAAAUUGUUAUCAAAGAAUGAUGCACUUUUCAACUGAGUACAGUAAAGCAGUACAGUAAAGCGAGAAUGGGUAAUUAGUUUUACCUGCUAAGCGAAAAUCUAGACUCCUGAAGGUAACCGAUCUUGGGUGAAGCAAAUAAAGAAGAAGGCGAAGUAAAAUUCACUGAGUUGAAUGAGCGAUCAUUGCGUAUGGACUUGAUUUGUUCAAUGGGUGAAAGACCGCUGAUAUAAUUAAAGACUGGAGAAUCCUGUACGUUGACAAGCAUCAUUUUUAAUCGAACAGAGAGUCUUAAAAACCUUGUCAGUGGCAAAUGAUCACGACAAGAAAUCUGAAGUAGAAACAGCAUAGCUCAACAAAUCACUAAGAGAAUAAGACCAAUAACCAAGCAGAUAAAAGAAAAGCAAAAUAACCCAUCUCAAAAUCACCACAUGCACAAUUUAAGGGGUUUGUGACAUGGGUUUAAACAUGAUUUAACAAGUGCCACCUGUGAAUUGUCAGAGAUUGUAUUUUCAUACACGUGUCAAAUUUUCAAAUCCAACAAAUUGUUAUCUUUCUAAAGAGGCUAAUAUUAUUAUUAUCUAUGCAUAGCAUGCUAUAAACAAUUCAUAUUACUAGGGCCUUUGUUUUCUGUGCACAACAUAUGGACAGAGGAACAAAUCCCUGAGCUAAAAUCAUCAUAUUCCAAAAUAUUCUAUUAAAUCAACACCACAAAACGCGAACGCUAAACAGAAUUGGAGCAAUUUACCAAAGCUAUUUGUCACGCAAAGCACUAGUACCUCAGAACCCAAUUUGCAAAAAAGCACCAAAAAUGAAAAAUAACAAAUGCCCAGAUGAAAAAUCAGGAAAAAAAAAUGCUCAAAUCCAAAUUACAACCCCAUAAGUUGAGUCGUUCUCUUCGAACUGAAUUAAAAAAGAUUAAAAAAAUAAAAUAGGGAGAUUGACCUCAAACUUUGGAAACAGAAGCGACAGCGAUCUGUUUCUUGUCUGGAGUGUCCAUUUCUAUAAUCUACUUUGUCCGUUUUCAGUCGCUCUGCUACAGAGCUUCUUCCCUCUGAAGCUGAAGCUCACACACUCUGCAAAACGAAAGCAUUUCUUUUUGAUUGAGAGGCGGGAAGGCGGGAAAAUGAGAGAAAUUUGCAUUUGUUUUCUCUUGGUUUGGUCAUACCUGUGCGGGCCCCAGCUUGACAAGCGGUAUUUUUACUAUUUGUAUAAUUUGCAUGACGCGUGUCACGCAAUGACGAUAAAAUAUAUAUAUAUAUAUAUAUAUUGUUAAUUUUUCACUUAACAUUGAAAUAUCAUAUAAUUUUUCCAAUUUUAUGGUUAUUUUCUCGCCCUUAUGCCACAUUCUUUUGAUCAAAUAAUACAGUAAAACUUUUCUAUAAUCGUAAUAUUAGAGCCAAAUUAACUUUGUUUCUGUAAAGAGGCUAUAGCUUAAUAAAGGUAAAAUUAUAAAAAUUAUUAUUUUGACUCAGUUAUCUUUAGUGCAAGUGAUAUAAAGUACAAAUAUAUGAUAAUUAAUUAAUGAACUAUGUCAAAUACAAUAUGCUGACAAUUAGGGGUGGGCAAAAUCGGGUUCGGGUCGGGUUCGGGUCAACCCGAUCGGGUUUCGGGUUGUUCGGGUUAGACAAGGAGCAAUCCGAACAUAACCCGAAUUAAUGAUCCGACCCGAACCGACCCGAACUAUCUUCGGGUCGGUUCGGGUCGGGUCAUUAAUUCGGGUUAUGUUCGGGUUGGAUUUAAAAUGGGUAGGAUUGAGUUCGGGUCAAUUUGGGUCAGUUCGGGUCAAUUCGGGUCGGUUGAAAUCGGGUCAGUUCGGGUCAAUUCGGGUCAGUUCGGGUCAGUUCGGGUCAAUUCGGGUCGGUUGAAAUCAGGUCAGUUCGGGUCAAUUCGGGUCAGUACGUUUUUUUUUUUUUUUUUUUUUAAGAACCCGAUCGGGUAUUCGGAUCGGGUCGGGUUUGACCCGAACCGAUCACAACCCGAUCGGGUUUGUAAAUUUCAAACCGAUCGGGUUUCGAUCCCGACCCGAUCCGACCCGAACCCGAAAUUUAUCGGGUCUGGUUGGGUCGGGUCGGGUCGGGUCGGAUCGGGUAAAAUGCCCACCCCUACUGACAAUGAUAAAAAAGAUAGAUAAUUUCAAGAAACUAAUGCAUAUAUUUAUGUAGUGUUGGGAUUAUACAAAAUUAUCUUAAAAGUGUAAAGAGUAAAGUAAUAUUCUGAUUAAUUUAAAAAAAAUUAUUUUAUCUUAAUCUUUAAUGCAACAUAGCUUUUUUUUUUUUUUUCUUAGCAACAAAGCAUUGUUCCAAAUAAUUAUUAUUGGAUUCAAAUCAUGUCCUAGGCAUUUUUUCUUCUAGUCGUCUUAAACUUUUAAGGAUUUAUUGGCAUGUGUCAAUCAUUAAUGAAAUUAAAUAACUAAGACUUUGUUUUAAUUAACGUUUACAUAAAUAGACAUCAAAACUCACGUGUGAUUCUUAUCAAAUUUUUUCCUGCAAAUUCUUUUCCUCUCAACUAUUCAUAUUUUGACAUUAAUUUCCAGCAAAUUAUUAAAAAAAAGAAGCGUAAAAUGGAGAAAAGUGAUUGACAACAAGGUUUGCAUCUUAAUUUCAAAAUUUCCCUUUCUUUGCUAUUUUUGUGGGUUCUACAAUUGUUGUUUUCACUCUCAGACAUGGCAAGUCCUUUGACAAAUGUUUCCCCGUUAGCAGAUUUAUCAUAAUGCAUCUCUCUGCAUCCCCACCUAAGAUGGAACCUGUUCUCACAAGAACAGACUCCAAGGUUGGGAAAAUCAAUUGAUCAUCGGAGAAAACAAACAGGAUUAACAAAUCACUACAAUGGUGUGAACCCGUAUAUACAAACGUACCUGCCCCCUUUGUCUGUGAUAUAUUUUCUUAUUGGCCCACUCAAAUAAACAUCCGGAGAAUCCUUGAGCAUCUGCAAUAGGGAAGCCUCGGUCUUAGUUGCAAACAGUGCAAAUAUAGUAUGCAUACAACGAGCAAUGAUGUUAUCACAAUCAAUAAACCCAAGGGCAAACGCAACAGGAUCUUACAUUCUUUGGAUACUCAUCCAUGUACCACCCUUGGACAAAAACCAAUCAGAGAAGCUUAUCUGUAAGAAGAAAUGAAGUUUGAGGUAAAAUAAAAAUUUGUAGGAACAGGGAUUGAAAUUCAACAAACAAGAAAAUAUGUUGUUUGUUGAAAUUCAACAAACAACAAACAAGGCUCCAUCAGGAUCAAGAAGUGCCUUUACAACAGGACUCACCGCAAGAGCAAUAGCAUUUCUUGAUUUAUCAUAAGUCUGCACUUGAGCAAUAUACGAGGCAAAGUACAUCAAAAGAGAAUCCAAAAGAGGCAAGAAGCUUCAACAUGAAAAAAGGGAGUACUGCCUCGUCAUACUGCUUUGCAAUCACAGUGCAAAAGAUAACAUCAACAAAAUCAAAAUCGAGCAUAAAUCUGUAUGCACUACCUUAAGCUGAUUUGUAGACAAAAAUGCACGAAUCCCAUGUAAUGGAGCUCCAAUCGGAAACCGGAAAUCAAGUUCUGGAGUUGAAAAUCAAAAUCAUGAAUCAAAUCAGAGUUAUUAUUGAAUUAGACAAUCCAUAAACCAAUAGAAGGUGAUGUCAAACCAUCAAGCAUAACUAUUAGUUGUUUUAAGUGAUCAAGAAAUAACUAUACCACCAAUUUCCCCACCCUUAUUUACAAAUUUAUGAGUAUGAUCCUUCAUGAGUAAAUUUUCGUCCGCACCGACCUGUCGACAUCCAUGAAAAACUAUCAGAUCAUAAACACAGGUUCCAGUUAAAGAGGAUCUAUGAUUCUGAUCCAUCAUGUUAUUUGAACAACAUUUUCGGAUUUUCUUACAACCCUAAGCUAUUAUCAGUUAUCAUCGCUACAAAUGAUAUGGUCAAGAGGAAUGAUAGUUCUUGUUUCAAGAAUCUCAAAUCGUAAUUCUUUUGCAUGGCUUCUGUGCUUUUAUAAUCAUUCAAACACGCAUAUCCACAACUAAGCAAGCUUUACCUUUUUUGUCAAUCGGAACAGAUUAUUGUAGCAUCCAAAGAAAACGUGCAGGCUGAUUUCAAUAUGGUUUCCACGUUUACGGACAAAUGAAGCCACUUUACCACCAAUAAAAGACCUCAACUCAUAUAUAUCCACCUGGAAGAAAGGAAAAGUUAAAAAAAAAGGAAUAAAAAUUCUUCUAAUUUCUUUCACCAUCAACAAAAUCAGAAAAACACAUACUAAUUCAAAAUGAAAUAAAGUUUGUGAAUUGAAAUAAUGCCAACUCCUAAGAAAAAUUAUGACUGCUGAUAUUUUUUCCAAAAUGCUGAUAAAAGCUUCUGCUAUUUACUUUGAAAAAAUUGAGGUUAGAAGCCUAUUUACUUGAAAUUUUGAGUUUAGGCAAGAGGAUGAAUGGUAAAAGUGAAACAUUUUAGGGAAAAAUGUACGUCAGAGGCCAAUGAAAGCAUUCAGAAGAUUGAAAUCUAAAUGAGCAAAACCCCGUGGCCUUGAUCCAACAAAUCCACUGCUGUUGACAUGCCUGCAAGCCCAGCUCCAAUAAUAGCGACUUUCAGCUUUGGUCCUCUAUAAUGUUCCGGUUCUGGUAGAAACAAACCCUUGGGAGCUGCCAAGUAUACCAUCCAAUUAUCCACAGCGAUCAUGGAAAUAUAUAUGUGUUUAAAGGUACUAAAUUCCUAAACAUGAAAUGUAUCCAAAGAGAGACACAAAGCAGAAUUGUGAAAGCAUUUCAAUUCCCAAUAAAUUUUAAGAAUACAAAAUACUCGGUCUGUUCCUCAAUUCCUUUAAUAAAAUUUCCACUAGAGGCUACGGAAGCCACUCAAUAACACUCCAAAGCCAGAUUUUAAACGUUAUCUUUAUCUUUAACUCCAAUCCAUAAACAAUUCUGCCACAAAUUCAAUCCAAAAUUGUUCAAGUGCACCGCCAAUUCUCCGUCAAUUCCCUCAAAAAUUCAUAAUUGGCAAACACUACAAACCAAAAAGAGCUUCCAGCAAUAAACGCAUAAAAAUCCACCAAGCAACAGAAAACAAAAUACCCAGAAACCAGAAAAGCCAAAAGAUCAAUGCUUGGCAAACAAGCAAAUCAAAUAAAACAAAAAGAAGAGGAAUUUACCCUUAACGCUCAUAUCAGAAACAUUAGUGUCCAAAGAAGCCCGUACACGGAAUCUUGGACCCUUCACUUGAACCCGAGACCAUGUAACGCCAGUAACUGAAGUUGCAGGAAACAGAACUGGAGAACCCAUAUUGCAAAUCCUGAGCUGAAAUCAAAGAAAUUCAAUUGGAACUCAAUUCAGCUCAACCGAGCGGAGCUCUCUUUUGCUUCAAUAACAAAGUGUUUUUCUUUCAUAUCAACAAAGAUUUGUCAACAUCAACAAAAUUUAACUAAGAAACUAAAAUAAUGCGGUAUCUUUGAGUUUAAGAAUCUAACAAGAUGCUAAGGAAGAGAGUUUUGUCAGGGAACUGUUUCGGAGAGGUUGGCCAAGUGCUUCUUUGUUAUUUUUUUUUUUUCUUUUUUUGCCCUUUUCAUUAAUACACAACAGUAGUACUCGCGAAGAGCACAAAAUGUUGGUGACUUUGUCACUAAGGAUACGAAAGUGGAGUGACCAGAGCAACCAACUAAAUUUUCUUUGGGUGAUUAAUUAAUUUAUUAUCAAAUAAUUUUAUUUAUUUAUUUAAACGACAUCCUUAUCUUUGUACAAGGCUGAUGAAAGACGACGAUGUUGCGUUGUCACAUAUUUUUGGGCCGACCGUUUCUUGUUUCGGCUUAAAUGAGGCUUUUGUAAUUUUGUGCUGUUUUUUUACUGAGUAUUUUGUGCUAAAUUACGCCAAAGAAAAAGUGUAAUUGUUAAAAGAUCUGCUGACACUCAUAACCUCUUAAGCGGAAUUUAUAAUGUGACAGUAUUGAUAUCUAAGUUCAUAAUAUCUAUAGGAGUGAUAAAACGAAUAAAUGAAUCGAACCGUAAAUGAAUUUAGUCAAAAUUUAAUGGAUUCGAAUUCGAUGUAUUAUCAAGCGAAUCAUAAUUUAAUAUUCAAAUUCAAUUCAUUUAUUAAAUGGAUAUCCAUUUAAUUCGUUUAUUGUAAAAAAUUUAAACAAAUUGAAUUAAAUUUGGAUUCGUUUACAAUUUGUUUAAUUUAUUUAUGCAAAAUUAAUAAUAAAUCAAUCAAAUGUGGAUUUGUUUAAAUAAUAAUAAUAAUAAUUAAUAACAAAAAUAAAGUAAAAUAAAAUAUAAAAAAUCAUAAAAUUAACAACCUACAAAAUACAAACGAAUUAGUGACCCCAAACUCGGAUUCGAUUCAUUUAUUAAUGAAUUGAAUUGAAUUCACCUAUUUGUUAAUGAAUUAUUUUUUUUUAAAUUCAGACCUAUUUAAUUUGAAUCUAAUAAACAAAUCCUAACCUAAAUUGCCACCUCUAAAUAUGAUGGACCUACUUAAAAUAUAUGAAUACCAAAAUGUGUGGGCUAAAAAGUGGUUUACCAUGCAGCAAUAUGAAUUUUAAGCUCUCUUUUCUUAUGUCACCCAAGGCAUUGGCUGGAUGGCCAAACAGCAGAGUUCAAGUCUACAAUAGAGAAUCGAAAUUUUCCUUUGUAAAUGUUCAUAAGUAUUUGCCAUAGAUUUUUAAGUUAUUCUUGAUAGAUCCCCUACCACAUACGCUAUAAUAUUUCUCUGCUUUUAAUUUAAAAAGUAAAUCAUGCAUAAUAACGGACUUGUAAGGAAAUGAAAUUUCUGGUAAUUAACUAACAAAAUAAAAAAAAGAUGGAUUAUGCCAAAGAAGUUAAUAUAGAGUAAGUCGAGUACUUGACAAUCAAAGUAAUUUUACUCGAGGUUGAUUAAGGAUAGUAUGAUACUUUCUCAAGUUUUAUGAGGACAUUCAUGUAACAUUGGACUAUUGACUAUAGUUAGAGAGAAGUCCAAGGAUGUAAGUGAUGAUGAUAGAUUCACAAUUCUUUUGAAGAAAAUAUUUUAUAUAAACUUAAUUAUAUGGUAUAAAAUGAUUGGCCUUAAUAAAAUUAAAAAAUAAUACACGCCUGGGUCAUGCAAUAUUUUCAACCAACUAAUUUACACGCAAAAUUAAACCUCAUGAGUGAGAACAUUAUGGUACAUUUAUUUGCUAGCAAAAUUAAACCUUAUGAGUGAGAACAUUAUCACGGCACAAAAUGCCUGUGAUAAUGAAACAAUGUGCCAUUCUUAAACUAAUAUUAUUAGAAACUAUAAGUGAAAGUUUUCAGAAAACAUGUGAUAAGUUUUUCUCGGAAUUUAUUUUCUCCUUUGUUUUGAUUUACGCGAGAGAUAAUUGUAAAGAUUGUUUUGAUAAGUUUUCAGAAAACAUGUGACGAAUCGUAGUAAAAAAAAUAUAUAUAAUAAUUGAAUGAGAUCCACGGUUCACAAUUGCAAAUUAAAGGUUGGUUUUAUAAUAAAAUCGUUUUGUGCAUACCAAAUUAGAAAAGAUUAUAAGUAAAUUAAGAUUUUCAAAAUUUGACUAGUAUUAUAUUACGUACAUCAAUAUAAUAUAAAUUUCUUAUAUAUAUAUUUUACUCUGUAACCAAUGCUUUCAAAAACUUUGUACUUGUAUGUUUGAACAACUUUUUUCGCUUUCUAUUUAUAUACGAUCUCAUUUAUGUUUACAUAAAUUUUCAUAUGUACCCAAAUUAAGCACUAAAUAAACACACUUUGGUAAGACACAUUAAUUUCUAGUAUCAGACAAUGAUAUUAUAUUGAAUGUAAUGCUUCCAUGAAUUUUAUUACUAUAUACUAAAAUACUCAACGAUCUCCAUUAAAAAAAAAUAUGCAUGAUUAGAAUUAUUAAAGAUCAUUUGAUGAGGAGUUUCAUCAUUAACUGUGUCGAAACACAGCAGCAAUCCACAAUACACUUAACACGAGAGGGGCACACAAGCAUGCAUGAAUCUUCCACCAUUAAACCUGAAAUCGCAAAUAAAAGAAACAAGAUGAGUGUUGUUUUACGGUCUGAAAGCCGAUUCCAAAUAAUAAUAAUAAUAAUAGUAAUAGUAAUAGACCUUUGUUAAUAAUUACUACUAGUUGUCUCUGCCUUUUACAUCUUCCUCCUCUGUAUCAUCGCCCUCUUCCAAUCACACGGCUAGACCAGUAUGUCUCGAGAAUCUCUACUGCCUUCUCAGAGAUCCCGUUGUCGUCAUGACUUCGUAGAUUUUCAAUCUUUUCUAAUCCCUCAGCCUCCUCAACCAACUGGGCAUAUUGAUUAAAAUCUCCAACGGCGGUACCCGUAUUCAUUUCAGCUACCCCGACCUUCAAAAUGUCCUCUAAUCCUUCUAAGCAAACAGUGACGAUCUUUGGAUCAGCGCAUAGAAGCAGAUCACACAAUGGUUUUACACACCCCUCUCUCACAAGGUGCUUGAUUUGCUCAUGAGUGCCAAACUUGGUGGCAUUUGAAAUUGCCCAAGCGGCCUCCUUCUUUGCAUCAAAUUCAGCAUUUUGAAGUAGAUUGACAAUGGGACCAAUUAAGCCGGAAUCAAUUACCGCCUGAAUCUGCUCCCCGUUUCCAGCUGUAAUAUUUGAAAUAGUCCGGCAUGCAUCCUUCUUAAGGCUCUCUUCAUGAUCAUGGAUCAACAGGCCCAAAAAGUAUGGCAGUGGAUCACAGUUAAUUAUAUACUGAGUCUGGAAAUCAUCUCCCAUCACAAUAUUUCCAACAGUCCGCAGGGCAGGGGCAAGCACUGAGGAUGAUGGAUGGCCAAGGAGCUCAACAAGUCGUGGACAGACACCUGCCUCGAUCACAGCUUGAAUUUUGUCAUUCGUACCAUCAGAAAGAUAGGAGAGUGUCCAACAGGCGUCACUCAACACCUCUUCAUCAUCUAAAUGAAUAAGCUGUGCAAGUGCCGGAAGAGCUGCCCUUACCUGAUCAAAUGGUGGUCCUGGCUUGCCCUUGCAUAAAUUAUACAAUGUCCUUGCGGCAAUUCUCAGCAUUGAAAGCUUGGCAUGCUCAUUUAACUCUGCCAGCAAUGGAAUCAAAGCUCCUUCACUAAGCACAAGAUCACGGCAUCCAGAUGAGUCACCAGCAACAUUUCCCAAUGCCCAAACAGCCUGCUCGCGGACAUCAUCACUUGGGGAAGCAAGCAGCUUCACAAAUAUUGGAACGGCACCGUGGUCAAUCACCACCUUAAUGUUCUCUGAAGUUCCAGAAGCAAUGUUUGAAAGAGCCCAAGCAGCCUCAUACUGAAGUUGCGGAUAGUCUUCCCUCAUAAGAAACUCAACAAAGCGCUGGACAACGCCAGAUUGUAUGACUUUAUCAAUUUGUGGACUCCUCGCAAUCGAAAGCAGUUUGCUGAACUGAGUAGUUGCUUCCAGCUGUAGGCCGCUGUCAUCUGACCAAACCCCAGCAACCAUCCCGGGUAAACUCGCCUACUUAUUUAUUUUAGGAGCAGGAGCAAGAGGAGGAAAUUAAGUUAGGGAUUUGGAGUGAGAGUGAAAGUGGAGAAAAAGCAAGAGAGGGAAAAAGCUGAUUGUUGAGAAAUAUAUACCUUUCGUAUGGUUGUGUUAAGGUCGUCCUUCCAAGCCCAACAUGCUUUACCCCGCCCCUGCACUUUGUGUAAUUUGGGCGUACUUAAUUUUCCUUCAGAGAAAAUCUUCAUAUCGGGGCAAUCAUCCACCACUAAUCUUUCCAAAGAUGGGAACUUGAAAGCACAAUUGCCAGAGCAGAAGCUUGUUAGUCCUUGUAAGCCUAAAAGCUUCAACUUCUUCAAUUCUCUGAAAGUAAUAACCUCAUCUUUUGCUACAACAUCAUCCACCAGUACUAUUUCUGUUAUCCUAUCGCAUGAUUGUAUCUCCAUAUAUCUAAGUCGCACCAGAGUCUUUGCAAUUGAGGAUGUUAAUACGAUUUUCAAUCGUUUACAACACGAUACCACCAGAUUUGUAAGAUUCUGAAAGGAUGUCGACGGUGGCACUAGAUCGACCAAAUGGUCACACCACUUUACAUGUAGAAUAACCAAGUUGUUCGUAACAGAGGACUCCUGUAUCAAAAUGUGCUCCAGAUGAUAACAAUCAUUUGCUUCUCUCACAUUAACCCCCAUCCCAUUUUCAACCUUCUCUUUCGGCAACCAAGUAUAAGAUCCUCCUCCUAUUUGCAGGACUUUCAUUGUGUGAAGUCUCUGGAGGAAGUCACCAAGUGAUAAAAUAGUCCGCUCAUCAACCAACUCCACGUAAAGAUAUUUUAGUUUGCAAAGCAAGUCUUCAGAAAAUAGAUAUUUAUUUGUUCCUAUGUACUUUGCAUCAACUUUCAACUCUUCCAACAUAGGGAAUACCUGGGAGAUCGAUCAGAACCCAAAAAAGAAAAAAAAUAAAUACAAGAUGAAUCAGUUGAUGAGAAUUAUAAGUUACCACUAAUUUAUAAAAUAUAUUUUAUUCAAUAAAUCUUAACCUUUAAAAAAAUUAGUAAUAAUAGUACGCCUAACAUCUAGAAUAAUUAUGAAUGAAUACUAUACACUAAUCUGUAAGAGAGUUACGUUGCUGACAAUUUGAGUUUUAGUAAGAAACCAAGCGAUGAAGGCAAAGGCAAUAUAACUCUAAACUCUAUGAUAUAAACUCUCACAGUACAUACAUAAGAAUUGAAAAAUUGAUUAUAAAAUUCUUGUACGUACCCUUUCCGUGAAGAUACUAGUAGUUCUUUUGUAUCUCAUCAUGAAUUCAGGACAAUGGAAUAUCCUUAAUUCUUUCAAGGAUGGAAAUUCAAGAAUAUCAAGAUCUCCAGUGCAGAAGCUUGUGAACUUUUUAAGAUCAUACAUCUUCAGAUAUUGCAACUGGGGAAACGUUACAAUAUUAUUCUUCAUUUCUUCUUGGUUGUCCACGACUAUUAACUCUUCCAGGACAGGACAUACACUUAUAUCAAUGCGUUGGAGUCGAACAAAGCUACUAACGGUAGAAGAUGAAAAUAGACAUCUUAAAUUCAUACAGCCGAACAGGGUCAAGUGCGUUAAAUUCUGAAUACCACAAGACUUGACUGUAACUUGGUUCAGCCAAAUCCUCUCAACAUUUAUUGAACCCAACGUCAACUUCUCUAACUCUGGUAAUCGAACCUGCUCGAUCAAAAAAUCAACUCGUUAAUUACAAGCAACAAUGAUUUCUGUUGAUGGACAAAUCAAUAAAAUUACUCUUUCUCUGUUUAUAGUUCUUUUCAGUUUUUCAUACAAACAACCGUUAAUCAAGUUUUCCAAAUUAUUCCUUACUAAAUGUAUAGAUUUAGAGGGCGGCUAAUAUAAUUCAUAUUGCAAAUAUUCUUUGAUUGUAACGAAUUUUGUAAUAUUAAAUUUUGUUUGAUUCGCAAUAGGACCUACCAUCCAGCGCGAGCAGUUCUCGGGGAUUUAACUACUGGCACCUCGAUUAUAUAAAAAUUUGGAAUAUUUUCAAAGGAAAUCAAAUAAUUCCCCCUUGCCAAUAGUAAUUAUCAUUAAUUGCCGCGGGUUCACAUAUAAUUCUAAGAAAUUAGGCGAGAAGAGUCUCAUCAACAAUCAAUCAGCAGAUAUCACGUUCGGCAGAUCAUCAUGAUUUCCUCAGAUGCUAGAGAAUCAACGUGAUUUCCGCUCAUGCAGGAGUGGACACAUUAUCUUAGAGCAUCCCUUACUGAGAUCUUUUAAAAAAUUUAUAUUAUAAAGUGAACAACAUAUUUAGUAUAGAUUUAGACGGCGGCUAGUAUAAUUUAUCUGUAUUCUAAUGACGUAUAUUAAAGAAAAUGACUAACCAUAAUUUCAAUCAACUUAUUAGUCUAUAUAUAUAUAUAUAUAUAUAAAAUAUUCAGUGAUUACAACAUAUUUAGUAUUCCAUAACAUGAUGUUUAUAAUAAUAAUUAUUAUUAAUUCACUUAUUGUGUCAAGAACCUUUUCUUUCUCUAAGAAUGAAUUUGUUACACCCUACUAUACUACGGAUGAAAAAUUUAGAAUCAUUGUGAAAUGUGAUUAUUAAUCACUCUUUGCCAUAUUUGCUACCAAACAAGAAUGCAACAAAGAAAAAAAAAACAAAAAUUAUAGAGCAUUAAUAAGACCAUUGACUUAUCAAUAACUGACCUUCUCAGCGAAAAGUGUAUUAGAAAUUUGGACAUUGUCCUCCAAAAUGAUUUCAUGUGACCGCAAAUUAUUUGUUGAUUCCUCCUGUCUCUGCUAACAUUGCAGGUGUAUUGAUUUUAGAGUGUAAGCUUAAUUGUGAGCACAACCUUAAUGCAUAGAUACAAGAUCUUUAAAAAUUAGUACAAUAAACUUAGCACUAAAUCUAAAUUUGAUAUUUUGGAUUCCAUGAUUAAGAUUUUUUUUAAAUGAAAAUUUAAUAGGGUUAAUUUAAAAAUAAAAAUUAAAUAUGAAAAAUUAGACUUGCAAUUAUGGAUUUAAUUUUGAUAAAUAAUGAAUGUUCUCUUAAUAUUUUUUUUAAAAGGUAAAAGUGCGUGCAAAGCCCAAAUUCAUUUUUUUAGUCCCUUACUCUCCCAUGAUUCAAACUUGGGUGGUUGUGGGAGGACUGAAAAUAUAUAAGACCGUUAACUUCACUUUUUUUUUCUUUUUUUUUUUUUUUGUUGAGAGAAAAGAGAAGAAGGAUAUUACAAAGCAUGAAGCUCGUGCAAUAUAAGGACAAUUAUGGUUUUUUCUUUAAAUUAAAAUGGUAAGAUUUUGAAGCUAAAAGAUUAAAAUAUUAAUUAAAUUGCAACCAUUAAAGAUUUUUUUUUUCAAAUGGUUGCUUUGAAAAUGAGAAUAAUAUAAUAUUUGAAGACUUUUCAAAAUUAAUUACUGUGAUAGAUGCACUAGAAAUUUCUAGCUUUAGUCUAAUGUAUAAAUUGACAAAACGAUAUUAGAAUUCCAGGUGAAAAGAACCCUCUCAUACCAUUUUCUUAAAUUAGGAAUGAUCAUACCUCUGACUCUGCCGGACUGAGGGUGAGGUCUGAACCCCACAUCUCGAGACGCUUGAGAUGGGAAGAGCCCACAUUACGAAAAUAAUCGACAUCUUGCUCUUGCAAUCCACGUAAUUCAAGGUCUUCAAUUCUCUGCAGUUGCACGAUCAGCGAAUCCUUCAAGCAAAUGUUGUUAUUUAGCUGGAGACUGAAUUCACGAUACCAAAUGCCGGUGCUCUCCCAAUAGCCAACAUCUCCAAUGCGUAUGAUGUACCUUUCCAGCUUCUCCAAGAGCAGGCCUCUGGGCAGAGUGCUGACGUCAUAGACGUGUAAUUCCAAAGAGGUCAAGUUGGGCAAAUGCUUCAACUCCUCAAGGCUUGCAUUCUUAACCCCUUCUUCCACCUCCACCUCCCAUUUAUCAAAGCUUUCACCUAUAUAUAGUUCUUCUAAACGGGAUAAUUUUGACAGUAUAUUUGGUGGAAUAACUUCUAGUUCCUCACAAUCUCUCAAAUCAAGCAAAUUUAGCCAAGUCAAUUCACCUACUUCUGUUGGCAUCUGCUUAAUAUCGGAGCCUCUUAAGCAAAGGAUUUCUAGAUUCUUCUUCAAGUCUACUACAAAACUUAUAUCAGGCAAGCUGCAGCGACACAAACUCAGUGUUCGAAGGUUUGACAGGAGACCAAGUGAUGAAGGCAGUACCAUGUCAGUCAAGUUUACAACUCUGACCUCGAUCAUGCUCUUGAAAAAGUUGUCUGGAAUUGUUACUCGUGAAGAUUCCCAAGGAUCAUUACUUAGAAAAAGAAGUUCGAGUUGAGGACAUUCCAGUACUUCAGGAAGCAAAUUAGGCUUGAUAUCAUGUAAGACGAUUGAAGUGCAAUGCUUUAUUGCACUUCCGUCUGACCAUUCCCUGCAACCAUCAACCUGCUCAUUUGUAGCAGUAAACACAUUUCGUUCAGUAGAUGCAAUUGAUACGGCGACAUCGCGAACUACAUCAUGCAUAGAAAACAACUCUUUCUCCUGGCUUAUAUGGUCAAGCAACAUACAAGAAGCUUUGAGUGUGCGCACCAAUGUAUGUACUCGAUUUCGUGCUACUUCAAUCUUAUUCACACCUUGAAAUAAACCCAAUCCCAUACCACACAUUAACAAGUCAUCAAUAGAUGAUAUGGCUGUAUAUCCUAUUAGCAAAAAGAUGUUCUUGAGAUCAUCCCUUCCUAGUUUAUUGUAGCUCAACUCGAUAGCUUUAAAUGCGGCUGGCUGUACAUCCUUAAAAUUCGAUGAAGAAGGCCUUCUUAGCUGUUCCAAUGCAUCCUUCCAUUCACGUAUGCUGUUGCUCCUUAAUGCCCUUGCAACCGUCACAAUGGAAACUGGUAGACCUGCACAUUCCUCUGCCACAUUCCUUGCCACCUCUUCCAAUUCACUACCUUCAACAUAAUCACCUGCCAUCUUCUUGAAUAGACUCCAAGCUUCUUCUUCGUUUAAAACACCAACUGGGAAAUUUGUUCGACAAUCCAUCUUCUCAGACAAUACAUUUAGACUUCUGGCCGUCAACAAUACUUUACAACCAUCUCCAAGAGGAAUUCGGACAUUCCCCAAAUUAAGAUUCUCCCAAAUGUUGUCUAAAACUAUCAGGAUCUUCUUCACUUUUUUUAUACCUUCACAUAACCUGCCUGCCCUUCCUUCAUCACUUUCCUCAUGCAACUUCAGGCCUAAUUUAUCUGCAAUUACUCCUUGAAUCUUUCGUAUGUCUUGAUUCUGAGACACCUCAACAAAAACCACCUGAUCAAAGAGUUUGUCACUCUUGACUUUCCUAGCAACUUCUUCGGCCAGCGUCGUCUUUCCGAUUCCGCCCAUUCCAUAGAUCCCAAGCAUGUUGACAUCGCGAUCUUCUAGUGCACUGAGUAUACUCAUCAAAGUGGACAUUCUUGAUUCAAAGGGCUCGUAGUCUUUGCUAGGGAUAAGCCGAAUAUCCUCUGGAGCAGUACGGUAGGAAAUUCUAUCAAAUCUUCGAUCUUCUCGGACUUUGACAACAGCCUCCUUCUUCCUCUCUGCUUCCUUGCUAAGUCGACGGCGGGUCUUCAAAUUAGGACACAACCCCUUGAAACAACGUUUAGUUGCAGCGGCUUCAUCUUCUGUAAAUUUAUCUGCCUCUUCAAUGACUUUGUUGGCCCCUUCAAGCCAACUCCUAACGUUCUCUUCAAUUUCUUCCCCGUUUCGUUCAGCCUCAUCAACCUGGUGCUCUGUACGCACCCUCUCAGACUUUAGUUUCUCAACUUCAGUCUUGAGAUUCUGUAAGUUGCUCGUGUACUUACUCUCACGCAAAUAGCUAAUUUGGCGAUAUGCGGGAGGAGCCAAGCACUUCACAACUUCUACAACAAUAGUAAGAAUGAAAUCAGCCAUCUUCAGUCCUUUGUCCCUGUCUCUCGAUCUCUCUUUUUCUGAAUUUUUGAAAAACAAUUGACUAUUUAGGAAGCACACUGAGUGAUUGAACACAAGUGACUACAACAAGAUGGAACAAAAUAAAAAGGAAAAAAAUACAAAGAGUGGAUGGAGAAUAAAACAGAGACAGCGGCACAGCUGGACACAACUAGAUAGAGAACAGAGGAAAACCAAAUAACAAGACUGAAGAUUACAACAAACAGAGGCCAAGUAUUGUUGAGAUCAGAAGAUGGAAAAUUCAAAAGAGUUGAUGGCAGAUGCUGAAUAACAGAACAACAAUGAACGCAAUAAACAGAAGCAAAGUGUGUUUGCGAUCGACAGACGGAAGUAAGGAAAGCGGUUGUUGAUUGAAAAUGAAUGAAUGCAAAGAAAGACUGAUGUUGAAAAUUGAUGUCAAUAGCGAAGGAAUAAUUGAACUUUCGCUGAAUUAUUGUUUGUGGCCUUCUUUUACUUUUUAUUUGUGGGUCAUGUCUUUUGGAACUAAUCAUCUUAGCUUAUGCCUUACAGCUUUAAGGCCAGUAACCGGUGUCCGUUGGAUAAGCAUAUAGAAAUCCAACGGUGGAUAUAUAUCCUUGCAGAACAAAAUUCAACAGCAACACCCCAACUUUAAAUAUGAUUAUCUGUUGGGGAGUGCUGGGCUGCAGUUUCUUAAGGAGAUUUAUAUAUCCUCCUCAAAAAUAAAUGUUUUAAGAUAGAUAUUUAGACUAUUUCAUCAUAAAAUAAAUGUAAUUAAUUUUUUUUAUAAAUAUUUAUUUAUUUUUUUAAUUACUAAUGACCUUUGAAUAUACAUAUCACUAAUUCAAAAAAUAAAUUGUGAUUAUUUGUUAAUGUAUGCGAUUACUUGUGAUGGUAAACUUUUGAAGUUAAAUUAAAAAAAAAAAACAGAGCUUUUACCAUUACUUGCUUUAUCAUCUUUUAAAUUAGAAUUAUUAUUCUUUUAUUUUUUUCAAGUUGCCAACUCAUCCGCAUUCUUUUUUAUUGAAUUUGAAGAUCAAUGAUUAUAAAUUUGUGUAAAAAUUUUAAGCCAAAAUUUUAAAUUAAAAUAAUCAUUAACUUAUUGGAAAAUAAUAACUUGGUAUAACAAAUAUUAUAUCCUAUACUUUAUUGCUACAAGAUUACAAAACCUUAUAUUAUAUUAUGUUUCCAUAUUUCUCCUUUAUAGUAAAGACUCAUACUUCUUCUCUAGUAGAUGUUAAAGUAUUGGCUUAAACUUUUUAACCAGCACAGUAGACUAUUAAGCUAUAUAUGCUAUAAUGUCCCUCUUUCCUCACAGAUUAAACCAAUCUAAUCUCAGAGUGAGUUGAUACCAUGAGUUUGCAUUUGUCAUCAAAGGAGCAUCAUUAUUAAUUAAUAUAGGUUCGAUCAAUAGGUAUGAUAAUAAAUUUUUUUAUCUACAAAUACUAUUUUUCAAAAUAUUAUAUCUUUAGACUUAACUAAAUAUCUUCUAACCAUAUAUGUACAGUUUGUUUGAUCUCUUUUAAAUAUUGGAGAUUACAACAGAACAGAUGCGAAUUAGCAGUGACGCUGAGUUUAGAAGAUUGAAAUUAAGAAAAUUAAGGAAAGGAUAAGGAUGUAUUUUCAAAGUGAAUUAUUGAGAGAUCUUUGAAGAUUACUUCCGUCAAGAGCUGGGUCCCAUACUCUUUCGCCUUUGUCCUCCAGUCAACCAUAAGACAAAUUAUUAUUGAGUGUAAACGGACUUAUUAACCACCAAAUUUUCAAACUUGUGAUCCUUAUUGAAUCUGCAUUCCCCUUUACAAAAGUAAAAAAAAAAAAGUGCAAAUAACGAAAAAAAAUUUUGUUCCUUGACUGCAAGUGCUGUCGACAUUUUCAGACUUGUAAGACCCUUCUACUUGCAAGAUGCCACUGAAUUUGUCUUUUUUUUUUUUUAAAUUACACUAUACUAUUUUAUAUUUUAUAAAAAAAUUUAAUAGAUAUUAUAAGUUACAAAUUUUUAUAUUUAAUAUUCUCAAAAUAAAUUAUUAAAUAAAUGAUUCAUUUACUAUUUUUUCCUUUAAAUUUUUGUUAUUAAAAAGAUUUUUGGAUAUUGAACGUGAAGGGCUCAACUGAUCGCUAAUUUUGCAGCAAUUGCCCUUUUCUUUCUCCCCCAAUUGUUUUGAAAAAUAUCCAGACUCAUUCAGCGAAGUAUCCGAGGCCAAAGGGCUAAAAGAUGGGACACCCGCAUGUGCUUCUAAUUACAAAAUCUAAAGUUAGGGGGACCAUAACUUACAUUUAAUAUAAUUUAUGAUAGGGGUCCGCCUAUGUUACCACUGUACAAUAAGUUUGGUCUUUUCUGACUCAGUUGUGAUGAGCCCCUUGUACUCGAUAUUAUUUACUAUUUAUUUAUAAGUAUUAUAAAAAUUUUUGCUUACUUAUUAUAUAAAAAUUUAAUUGGUUCCCUUACACUCUUAUUCAUUUACUAUUUUUUUGUAGUAUCAAAAGAAUUUAUAUUUACAACCACGAUACAUUAAUUAUCAUAACACUCUAAUAUUAAUAAAAAGACAAAGACAUCCUUAAAUUAAAACAAAAAAAAUACUUUCUUCUUUUGAGGAAUUACGGUAUCUCAUUUUCCACCACUCAUUAUCAACAAAAUUUUUAAGGAUAUAACCAUUCAUCUUCUUUAUAAUAUCAUCUCGCAAUAAUUAAUACUUUCAUGAAAAAAUAAUUAACAAAAUAAAAAAAUAAAUUCCCAUUGAAUACAUCCCUCUCCACUAUUAAUUUCUCUUCAUCAAUAACCUUUAUCGACAAUUAAAACCACCAUUAGACUCAUCAUAAAGAGAGAGUAAGAGAAAGAAAGAAGAAACGAGAAAAAAUAUAUGAACCUUUUAUAAUUUUAUAGUGCGUUCACUAAACGAGAAUCGAAAUGAGGUGAAAUCAAAACGAGAAAUUAAGGGCCCGUUUGGUAUUGUUUUUGAAUCUGUAUUUUCUGAGAAUAAAAAUGAAAAUGAAAAUGGUGUUUUGCAGUUGCUGUAUUUUGAAUUUAAGUAUGCGUCUGGUAUUAUUUUCUGUAUCCUGUAUUUUAAAACUGAAAACAGUAACAUGCGUUCGGUAGACACAGUCGAAAAUGAUAAAAACAGAGAAUAUGCGUUCGGUAAUACUUUUUUCAAAAACAGUUUUUACUAUUAACCAUUUACAUCAUAUUUAUAGUUAUAAAAUAAUUAUUUAGCUAAUACAUACACAAAUACAACAUAAUAAUUUAAAACAAAAUUAUUAUAAAAAAUUUACAUGAUGAUAAAGUUUUAGAAUUAACAUUAAUUAAAAAAAAUUACAUUGUCAUUGUUUUUACAUCAUAAUUAAGAUAUAUAUUACAACACAUGAUUUAAACAAAAUAAUUAUAAAAAAAAUACAUGAUAGACAUUAUACAUUACGUAUGUAAUUAUGCCACAUAGAAGUUGCAAUUCUAUCUCUUGUAGCACUCAUCUCGGCGACACUUGCUGGAGAUAAAUCAAUAUUAGUAAGUGGCCUACUAGUGUCUCCUUCUUCGAUGGUAACCAAAUCUUGUACAUCAAAGUCCCCAAAUAACCUAUCACUUGCAUUUUCUCGUCGAAUAAAGUUAUGUAAAGCGCAACAUGCAAUUGGAAUUAGACGUUGCUUACGUAAACUAUAAUUAUGCAUAUCCCUUAAAAUUGAAAAUCGCGCUUUUAAAACACCAAAGCAUCGCUCAAUUACAUUACGCAAUGAUGAAUGUCUGUAAUUAAACAAUUCUUGGGGACCUCUAGGUGCUCGACCUGAUCCUCUAUAAUCACGUAAAUGAUAUCUCUCACCUCUAUAUGGUGUCAAAAAUCCUUUCAUAUUUAUGUAUCCAGAAUCCACAACGUAGUAAUAUCCUAAAAUAUAGAAACAAUAAAACAUAACUUAAUUAAAAAAUAAAGGCCAAAGAUAUUAACACACACACACACACACACACAAACAUAUAUAUAUAUAUCUCAAUAUUCUUACCUUCUUCCGGACGUGGAAACCCAGAUUCUGGUCUAUUUAAGGCAUCCAUAAACACCCUUGAGUCAUUGGCGGUACCUUCCCAACCCGUAUAUACAAAUGUGAACAUCAUGUCAAAAGAACAUGCACACAUGAUAUUUUGAGUCACCUGAGUCUUUCUAUCUCGAUAUGAUAUCUGUUUAUGUGCAGGUGACCAUGCAGCAAUGUGGGUUCCAUCAAUUGCACCGAUACACUUCUGUGAAAAUAUGUCAAAAUUAUUAAUUUAUUAACCAAAUGUUAAUGUCACAUAAACUUUGAAGUAACAUGUAUUGAAUUUCUUACCUCAAAAUAUGGAAAAAAAUUUGGAUUGUUACUAAUCUCUGAUGGCGUUUCCCCUUGAGGUUUUGGUUUUAUAAUGUGAUUUGCCAAUUGACAAAGUGCUUUUAAAACACGCUUAAAGUGUGAAAAAACAGUAUCCCCUGAACGUUGAAAACGCUCAGAUACAACCCUCACAACAGCACCAUGGGACAAUACAUACAAGCACAUUGCUACAGCCUCCUUGAUACAAACAUGUCUAUCAUUCUCUAAUAACUGUAGAUGUUCAAGUGUAUAACAUAAUCAAAUAAGUGUAUAAAUAAAACCAAAAAAUAUUAUUUUAAUUUAAUACGAAACUAUUUAAUAUACUACAAAUAUAGUUUUACCUUAAUAUAUUCAGCCCAAACAGCUUCCGAUGCUGUGACCGUAUUUGAAACAUGAUCCCAACCAAACCCGGUAUGAGCUACUAAGUCAGAAAACUCUCGAUGUUUUUUGCGCAACCUAUUAAACUUGGACUUAAGUUGCCCUACAUUGAAUCUUUUUUGGCAUUGUUCUAACAUCUCAUCACUUAUAGUGUUCCAAAUUUUCUUAGUGAAAGUUGAUGUUUGUAAAUCACCCUUUUUAACAUGGUCAUGUACAAUACGAAUAAAAACGGUUUCGGUCCGGCUAGACCAAUCAGCCUUAUCCUCAACAUCAACAUCAUGUGAAUCCAUAUCUUGAAAAAUUAGAAAAAAUAACACAUAUCAAAUAAUGAUCAAAUUCAACAUAACAUAUACAUAUUUCAGCAACAUGUCAUACAUUAAAAACUGAAUGGUACCAAAAAAAAAUAAAAAAUAAAACAUAUAUCAAAUAUUAAUCAAAUUAAAAACACUGCUAUUAAAUUUUUAGAUAUAAACAUACAAUUUUCAGUACAUGCUAUUAAUCCCCCACUAAAUUUCAGUAAUGUAAUCAACAUAAAGGUUGCAUUGCUAUGACUUUUUGCAUUAAUAUUGAUAACUAAAAGCCUUAACUUGCUUUUUGAACUUGGUUAUUUGUUACUCAAUGCAGACAGCUUACAACUUGAAGAUUUGGGAAUCAUUUACCACGGAAAUACCCACCCAGGUAUUUGGUAUGCUAGUGUAGUGUUUUUGGGAACAAUUUAGUCAUCAAGAUGUCUGGUUAUGGUGUAGCUAAUACCAAAAUUUGUAGAAGUAUCUAAAUAAAAAUAAAAUGUGCUCUUUAUUUUGCUAAUAUUUUUUGUUCUAGUAAUUUCAUAGAAUUUAUAUUGGUACAGAGAUAGCUAUGUCUCAAGCCUAUAGUAAUUGCAAUUUUCUAAAUGGCUCAGCGUCUUUCCUUGGUCUGAGGAACAAACAUGGGGAUGAAACAAAAAUCUGGCAUCAGAAUCCAUAUGCUGGCUAUUUUUAACAUUGCUUUUUUGGGUUUCAGCUAUCAUAGUCUAGAGUACUUUUGCACGGUUAAUUAAGUUAAUAACAGUGGAAAGUUUUCCAAUCAGCAUAAAGGAAUUCCCACAAGAAAUUGUUUGUUUUAAUAGAUUUAAUCUCUAAAAUAAAUGAGGAAAAAUUUCAGCUCAUAAAUAAACAAUUUGUCACUACAUAUGAACAACCUCAGAAAUUUCCAGAAUUAAAAAUCACUCAAAUCAUCUCUAAAAAUUUUCAGUUCAUAAACAAAAUAAAUACCAGCAAGUGACAGAUCCGGGAGAGCAACAAUGGUUGGGCAAGUGCAGAUCCGAGAGAGCAAGUGCACCGAGAGAGCAAGUGCAGAUCCGAGAGAGCAAAGACGAAGUAGCAGCAGCUGGACGGAGUCGGAGUAGCAGCAGCUGGACGGAGUCGGAGCAGCAGCGGUUACAGCGGAGAAAGAGCAGCGGCAGUGGCUAGCACACCAAGAGCGACCAAGAGAGAGAUUUGCUGCAACUGGAUUGAGAAAAUUGAGGGGAAAGAGGGUGCUGCAGUGAACUGGAUUGAGAGUGAGGGUUGCAGUGAAGAGAAAAGUGAGGGCUGCAGGGUCACGAUUUUUUUGUUGUUUUUUAAUUCAUUUUUAGGUUUAGUUUGUAAAAUUUGGAAAACAUGUUUAACUUGUUUUCAGUUGUAUAGUUAUAAUAAUGAAUCCGGAUUUUAUGUUUUGUAAUUUAUUUUGUGAAACAAAUCUACCGAACAUGUUUUAUGUGUGUAUUAUAAAAAUGAAAACGAAAACAUGGCUUGCAAAACGGUACCGAACGGGCCCUAAGUUAUCUGACAUCAGAUGACCGCUGUCAUCUGACCAAACCCCAGCAACCAUGGGAAAAAUCACCUACUUGUUUUAGGAGCAGGAGCAGGAGCAGGAGGAGGAAAUUAAGUUAGGGAUUUGGAGUGAUAGGGAAAAAGCUGAUUGUUGAGAAAUAUAUAUACCUUUUGUAUGGUUGUGUUAAGGUCGCCCUUCCAAGCCCAACUUGCUUCACUCCGCCGCUGCACUUCGUGUAAUUUGGGUGUACUUAAAUUUCCUUCAGAGAAAAUCUUCAUAUCGGGGCAAUCAUCCACCACUAAUCUUUCCAAAGAUGGGAACUUGAAAGCACAAUUGCCAGAGCAGAAGCUUGUCAAACUUUUUAAGUCUAAAAGCUUCAACUCCUUCAAUUCUCUGAAAGUAAUAACCUCAUCUUUUGCCACAACAUCAUCCACCAGUACUAUUUCUGUUAUCAUAACGCAUGAUUUUAUCUUCAUAUAUCUAAGUCGCACCAGAGACUUUGCAAUUGAGGAUGUUAAUACGAUUUUCAAUCUUUCGCAACUGAAUACCACCAGAUUUGUAAGAUUCUGAAAGGAUGUCGACGAUGGCACUAGAUUGACCAAACGGUCACACCCCUUUACACGUAGAAUAACCAAGUUGUUCGUAACAGAGGACUCCCUUAUCAAAAUGUUCUCCAGAUGAUAACAAUUAUUUGCUUCACUUAUUUCUACUGCCAUACCAUUUUCAACCUUCUCUUUCGGCGACCGGCCACCAUAUCCUUGUAUUUGGAGGACUUUCAUUGUGUGAAGUCUCUGGAGGAAGUCAUCAAGUGAUACAAUAGUCGGCUCAUCAACCAACUCCACAAAAAGAUAUUUUAGUUUGCAAAGCAAGUCUUCAAAAAAUAGAUAUUUAUUUGUUCCUAUGUACUUUGCAUCAACUUUCAACUCUUCCAAAUUAGGGAAUACCUGGGAGAUCGAUCAGAACCAAAAAAAAAAAAAAUACAAGAUGAAUCAGUUGAUGAGAAUUAUAAGUUACCACUAAUUUAUACAAUAUAUUUUAUUCAAUAAAUCAAUAAAUACAAGAUAAACUUUCACAGUACGUACAUAAGAAUUGAAAAUUUGAUUAUAAAAUUCUUGUACGUACCCUUUCUGUCGAGAUAUUAGUAGUUUUUUCGUAUCUCACCAUGAAUUCAGGACAUGCAGAUAUCCAUAAUUCUUCCAAGGAUGGAAAUUCAAGAAUAUCAAGAUCUCCAGUGCAGAAGCUUGUGAACUUUUCAAGAUCAGACAUCCUCAGAGAUUGCAACUGGGGAAACGUUACAAUAUUAUUCUUCAUUUCUUCUUGGUUGUCCACGACUAUUAACUCUUCCAGGACAGGACAUUUGACUAUCAUAACGUGUUGGAGUCGAACAAAGCUACUAACUGUAGAAGAUGAAAAUAGACAUCUUAAAUUCAUACAGCUGUACAGGGUCAAGCGCGUUAAAUUUUGAAUACCACAAGACAUGACUGCAACUUGGUUCAGCCAAAUCCUCUCAACAUUUAUUGAAUACAACAUCAACUCCUCCAAAUUUGGUAAUGCAACCUGCACGAUCAAAAAAUUAACUUGUUAAUUACAAGCAACAAUUAUUAAUCACUCUUUGCCAUAUUUGUUACCAAACAGGAAUAUAACAAAGAAAAAAAAACAAAAAUUAUAGAGAAUUAAUAAGACGAUUGACUUAUUAAUAACUGACCUUCUCAGGGAAAAGCGUAUUAUAAAUUUGGACAUUGUCCUCCAAAAUGAUUUCAUGUGACUGCAAAUCAUUAUCUGAUUCCUGUUGUCUCUGUUGACGUUGCAGGUGUCUUGAUUUUAGAGCGUAAGCCUAAUUGUGAGCACAAUCUUAAUGCAUAGAUACAAGAUCUUUAAAAAUUAGUAUAAUAAACUUAGCACUAAAUUCAAAUUUCAUAUUUCGGAUUCCAUGAUUAAGAUUUUUUAAAUAAAAAUUUAAUAGAGUUAAUUUAAAAAUAAAAAUUAAAUAUGAAAAAUAAACUUGCAAUUAUGGAUUUAAUUUUGAUAAAUAAUGAAUGUUCUCUUUAUAUUUUUUUUAAAAGGUAAAAGAGCAUACAAAGCCCAAAUUCAUUUUUUUAGUCCCUUACUCUCCCUUGAUUCAAACUUGGGUGGUUGUAGGAGGACUGAAAAUAUAUAAGACAGUUAACUUCACUUUUUUUUUUCUUUUUUUUUUGUUGAGAGAAAAGAGAAGAAGGAUAUUACAAAGCAUGAAGCUCGUGCAAUAUAAGGGCAAUUGUGGUUUUUUCUUUAAAUUAAAAUGGUAAGAUUCUGAAGCUAAAAGAUUAAAAUAUUAAUUAAAUUGCAAACAUUAAAGAUUUUUUUUUUCCAAAAUUGGUUGCUUUGAAAAUGAGAAUAAUAUAAUAUUUGAAGACUUUUCAAAAUUAAUUACUGUGAUGCACUAGAAAUUUCUAGCUUUAGUCUAAUGUAUAAAUUGACAAAACGAUAUUAGAAUCCCAGGUGAAAAGAACCCUCUCAUACCAAUUAUUUAAAUUAGGAAUGAUCAUACCUCUGACUCUGCCGGAUUGAGGGCGAGCCAGAGACGCUUGAGAUGGGAAGAGCCCACUUUGACUAAUUCAUUACGAAAAUAAUCGACAUCUUGCUCUUGCAAUCCACAUAAUUGAAGGUCUUCAAUUCUCUGCAGUUGCACGAUCAGCGAAUCCUUCAAGCAAAUCUUGUUAUUUAGCUCGAGACUGAAUUCACGACACCCAAUGCCGGUGCUCUCCCAAUAGCCAUCAUCUCCAAUGCGUAUGCUGUACCUUUCCAGCUUCUCCAAGAGCAGGCCUCUGGGCAGAGUGCUGACGUCACGGGCGCGUAAUUCCAAAGAGGUCAAGUUGGGCAAAUGCUUCGACUCCUCAAGGCUUGCAUUCUUAAUCCCUUCUUCCACCUCCACCUCCCAUUUAUCAAAGCUUAUACGACCUAUAUAUAGUUCUUCUAAACGGGAUAAUUUUGACAGUAUAUUUGGUGGAAUAACUUCUAGGUCCUCACAAUCUCUCAAAUCAAGCAACUUUAGCCAAGUCAAUUCACCUACUUCUACCGGCAACUUCUUAAUAUCAGAAUCUCUUAGGCAAAGGAUUUCUAGUUUCUUCAAGUCUCCUACAACACUUAGAUCAGGCAGGUAGCACCAACACAAACUCAGUGUUCGAAGGUUUGACAGGAGACCAAGUGAUGAAGGCAGUGACCGUAGAUCCAUGUCAGUCAAGUUUACAACUCUGACCUGUAUCAUCCUCUCGAAAAAGUUGCUUGGAAUUGUUAAUGAUGAAGAUUCCCAACGACCAGCACUUAGAAACAGAAGUUCGAGUUGAGGACAUUCCAGUACUUCAGGAAGCAAAUUAGUCUUGAUACCAUGCAAGACGAUUGAAGUGCAAUGCUUUAUUGCACUUCCGUCCGACCAUUCCCUGCAACCAUCAACCUGCUCAUUUGUAGCAGUAAACACAUUUCGUUCAGUAGAUGCAAUUGAUAUGGCGACAUCGCGAACUACAUCAUGCAUAGAAAACAACUCUUCAUCCUUGCUUUCAUGGUCAAGCAACAUACAAGAAGCUUUGAGUGUGCGCACCAAUGUAUGUACUCGAUUUCGUGCUUCUUCAAUCUUAUUCACGCCUUGAAAUAAACCCAAUCCCAUACCACACAUUAACAAGUCAUCAAUAGAUGCUAUGGCUGUAUAUCCUAUUAGCAAAAAGAUGUUCUUGAGAUCAUCCCUUCCUAGUUUAUUGUAGCUCAACUCGAUAGCUUUAAAUGCGGCUGGCUGAACAUCCUUAAAAUUCGAUGAAGAAGGCCUUCUUAGCUGUUCCAAUGCAUCCUUCCAUUCACGUAUGCUGUUGCUCCUUAAUGCCCUUGCAACCGUCACAAUGGAAACUGGUAGACCUGCACAUUCCUUUGCCACAUCCCUUGCUACCUCUUUCAAUUCAUUACCUUCAACAUAAUCACCUGCCAUCUUCGUGAAUAGACUCCAAGCUUCAUCUUCUUUUAAAAAUCCAACUGGGAAAUUUUUUCGAGACUCCAUCUCUCCAGACAAUGCUUGUUCACUCCUUGCCGUGAACAGCACUUUAAUUCCAACAUCCAACAAAUCAAGAUUUUCCCAAAUAUUAUCCAAGAUUACAAGGAUCCUCUUCUCUUUCUUCAGUCGAUCAUAGAGUCUUCUUGCCCUACCCGAUUCACUCUCCUCAUCAAAUUUUAGACCUAGUUUAUCCGCGAUUUCUCCUUGAAUCUUUCUUACGUCUCGACUCUCAGACACCUCAGAAAAAACCACCUGAUCGAAAAGCUUGUCACACUCUGCUUUUCUGGCAACUUCUUUAGCUAGCGUCGUCUUUCCGAUUCCGCCCAUUCCAUAAAUCAAAAGCAUGUUGACAUUGGGAUUUUUUAAUGCAUCAAUUAUUUCAUUCAGAAUGGACGUUCUUGAUUCAAAGGCCUCGAAGUCUUUGUUAGGCAUAAGCAAGGUAUCCUCCGGAAUGAUGCUGUAGGAAAUACUAUUAACUGGUCUAGCGUCCAGGACUUUGACAACAGCCUCCUUCUGCCUCUCUGCUUCCUUGCUAAGUCGAGGGCGGGUCUUCAAAUUAGGACAUAACCCCUUGAAACAACGCUUAUUUGCAGUGGCUUCAUCUUCUGUAAAUUUAUCUGCCUCUUCAAUGACACUGUUGGCCGUUGCAAGCCAAUUCUCAACGUUCUCUUCAAUCUCUUCUCCUUUUCUUUUAGCCUCAUCAACCUGGUGCUCUGUACUCACCCUCUCAGACUUUAGUUUCGCAACUUCAGUGUUGAGAUUCUGUAAGUUGCUCGUGUACUUACUCUCACGCAAAUAGCUAAUUUGGCGAUAUGCGGGAGGAGCCAAGCACUUUACAACUUCUAAAACAAUAGUAAGAAUGAUUUCAGCCAUCUUCAGUCCUUUGUCCUUGUCUCUCUAUCUCUUUUUUUCUGAAUUUUGGAAAAACAAUUCAACAAGUGACCACAACAAGAUGGAACAAAAUAAAAAGGAAAAAAAAUACAAAGAGUGGAUGGAGAAUAAAACAGAGACAGCGGCACAGCUAGACGCAACUAGAUAGAGAACAGAGGAAAACCAAAUAACAAGACUUAAGAUUACAACAAACAGAGGCCAAGUAUUGUUGAGAUCAGAAGAUGGAAAAUUCAAAAGAGUUGAUGGCAGAUGCUGAAUAACAAAACAACAAUGAACGCAACAAACUGAAGCAAAGUGUGUUUGUGAUCGACAGACGAAAGUAAGGAAAGUGGUUGUUGAUUGAAAAUGAAUGAAUGCAAAGAAAGACUGAUAUUGAAAAUUGAUGUCCAUAGCGAAGGAAUAAUUGAACUUUCGCUGAAUUAUUGUUUGUGCCUUCUUUUACUGUUUAUUUGUGGGUCAUGUCUUUUGGAACUAAUCAUCUUAGGUUAUGCCUUAUAGCUUUAAGGCCGGUAAACCGGUGUCCGUUGGAUUAGCAUAUAGAAAUCCAACGGUGGAUAUAUAUACUUGGAGAAUAAAAUUCAAGAGCAAAGGGAGUGCUGGGCUGCAGUUUCUUAAGGAGAUUUAUAUAUCCUCCUCAAAAAUAAAUAUUUUAAGGUAGGUAUUUAGACUAUUUCAUCAUAAAAUAAAUGUAAUUAAUUUUCAUAAAUAUUUGAUAUCAAUAUUUAUUUAUUUUUUUAAUUACUGAUGACCUUUGAAUAUUCGAUACAUAUUAUUAAUUCAAAAAAAAAAUUGUGAUUAUUUAUUAAUGUUUGCGAUUACUUGUGAUGGUAAACAAAGUAGAUAUGGUAUAUUUUGAAGUUAAAUUAAAAAAAACAGAGCUUUUACCAUUACUUGCCUUAUCAUCUUUUAAAUUAGAAUUAUUAUUCUUCUAUUUUUCAAGUUGCCAACUCAUUGUCUUUUAUUGAAUUUAACGAUCAAUGAUCAUAAAAUUGUGUAAAAAUUUUAAGUCAAAACUUUAAAUUAAAAUAAUCUUUAAGUUAUUGAGAAAUAAUAACUUAAUAUAACAAAUAUUAUAUCCUAUACUUUAUUGCUACAAAAUUACGAAACUUUAUAUUAUGUUUUCAUAUUUCACCUUUAUAGUGACGACUCAUGCUUCUUCUCUAAUAAAUGCUAAAGUAUUGGCUUGAAUUUUUUAAUUAGUACAGUAGAACCUUAAGCUAUAUAUACUAUAAUGUCCCUCUUCUCUCACAGAUUAAACCAAUCAGAUCUCAGAGUGAGUUGAUACCAUGACUUUGCAUCAUUCAUGAUCAAAGGAGCAUCAUUACUAACUAAUAUAGGCUCGAACAAUAGGCAUGAUAAUAAUUUUGUUUAUCUACAAACACUAUUUAACUCUAUCUCUUUUCUCUCCCCCACGCGAAGACUACUCCUUUCUCUUUGGCUAAUUUUUAAAAACCUCCCCUGAGGUUUGGACUUGUUGCAAGUAGAUGGCGAGAAUUUGUUUAUUUGUAAAAAACCCCCUACCGUCAAUUAACUUUAACAUUGACCGUUAGUUGACUGUGCAAAGAUAAUAUUACCCUUAACAAUAGUUUGUAGACGGAAAUAACUAAAAAAAAAUUUAAAAUUAUUGGCUAUUUUAUCCUCUUUAAAUUAUUGAUAUUUUCUUAAAGUUCCUACAAGAAAGAUAAAAUUUAAAAUUUAAAAUUUAAAAAAUCCUCUUUAAAUUAUUGAUAUUUUCUUAAAGUUCCUACAAAAAAGAUAAAAUUAAAAACUUGAAAAUGAAAUAGUUAUAAUCUUUACCCAUAAUAUUGUAAAUCUUUAGAAUUGACAAAGAUAAAAUUGUCAAAAAAUAGGGUUUGUGCUUUUCGCGCCAAUAAUUUUAAUUUUUUUUUAGUUAUUUCCGUCUAUAAACUGUUGUUAAGGGUAAUAUUAUCUUUACACAGUCAACUAACGGUCAAUAUUAAAGUUAACUGACGAUAGAGGGUUUUUUUAUAAAUAAAUAAAUUUUCGCCAUCUACUUGCAACAAGCCCAAACCUAAAGGACGUUUUUAAAAAUUACCCUUUCUCUUUUGACAUUUUUUACGCGUUUCUCUUUUCUCUUCCCCCACGUGAACACUUUUGCCUUUUGCUCGUUCACGUGAAAGUCGGUUUAGAAUUUUGAUCUUAUUUCACAAAGCUAAUUUUUUAUCACAAGCAGGAGAGAAACGGCAUUUCUUAGCAGUAGUUCAUCACUGUAGUGGCGAGCUAGUGAGGAACAAAAUUACCAACAAUUAUAAAAAAAUAAUUAUAAAAAAAGAUCACAUGCUAUAAUUAAUCAUGACCAUUGACAACAUUACUCCCACCGAGCAAAAGUUAACAGCAUCUUCUCCCACAUUUAAAAAAAAAAUAGUAUUAUAUAACCCACCAAAAGUAUAAAGAGUCUUUCUUUAUUAAAAUUAAUAAAUUACUCUUUAUAUUGAGAAAUUAAAAUUUAAAAUAAAAAUAAUUGAUAUGUUUAUUAUUUAAAAUAAAAAUAAAAAUAAAAUUUACAAAAUCAUAUAUUUUUAAAAUUAAAGAAUAAGAAUUUAAUUUCUUAUGGAGAGUGUUGGAAAUCAAGUUCUUAUUGCUUAAACUCCUAAUUUUACCUCACAAAAAUUUUAUAAGUUCACUUUUAUCCUUAAUUAAAAUAUUAUUAUGUUAUUAUUAUGGUUAUUAUUCUUAUUUUUGUAGUAGUUGCUGCUGUUGUUGUUGAUGAUGAUAAUAGUUGAUAAUAAAAUUAAUAAUAAUAAUGAAAAUAAUAACUAUAAUUUUAACAGCUACAAUAAUAAUCAUUAAUAUUAUUGUUGUCGUUCUUAUUAUUAUUAAUAAAAAAUAAUUAUUUUGAAUAAUAAUAAUCACAAUUAUUAUAACAAACAACGACAAUAAUCAACUAAUGUCAUUGUAAUAACUUGUAACAAUUCAUUUUUUAUUUCAAGACAAAGUAACCAUAUCAAUAAUAAUAUAGGUUAUUUCGAUUCUAAUUCUUACAAGUAAAAUAAAUAAUUUAUUCUGAUUCUCAUUUUUCAUUUUGAUUUUAUUCUAUUCUGAUUCCAGUUGAUUCUGAUUCCAGCCAAUUCAAAUUACCAACUAGAAAAUGCAUUGUUACUACUUUAAUAAUAACUAAUGAUUCUCCUCACAAUUCUUAUAGGAUUAUCCUUAUUUUAAAAUAAUUUUUUAUUCAUAUUUAUCAUAAAUUAAUUAAAUUAUACCAAUGAAAAUUAAAAAAAAAAGAGAAAACAUAUGUUUCGGUUUGAAUAAAAAAUUAAUAAUAAAAUAUUUUCCUUAUAUAUUUUUAAUAUUUUUAUUAUAAUAAAUAUUUAUUUUAUAUUCUUAAAAUAAAUUAUUAAGUAAACGAUUCAUUAACUCAUUUUUUUCCUUUAAAUUUUUGUUAUUAAGAAGAUUUUUGGGUAUUGACCGUGAAGGGCUCAACUGAUCGCUAAUUUUGCAGCAAUUGUCUUUUCUUUUUCUUUUUUUUAAUUGUUUUGAAAAAAAUAUUCAGACUCAUUCUGCAAAGUACCUAAGGCCAAAGCGCCGAAAGUUAGGACACCCACAUGUGCUUUUAUUCACAAAUUCUAAAAUUAGGUGGGGUGUCCAUAACGUACGUUUAAUAUAAGAGAAAUGCUAAAGGUCGGGAAUGCUGAGAGAACACUGAGAGAAACGGCAGCUUGGGCUGCCGUUUCGUGUUCUCUCACCUCCCUACUAAGAAAACGAGCCUCCACGUGUUCUCUCAGCUCCCCACUACUUCAGCUCAAGUUACUUUUGUCAAAAGUUGGCGUUUGGCCCCACACUCAAAACACUUUUGCCAAGUGAAUUGUGCCCCCCACGUGAAAGUUUGAGUUAUUUCUUUGCUCAUGACCAAGUAAAGCUAAGUUAAGUUUGAGUUCUCUCCUUACUCCUUCACUCGUUCACUUCUCCUUCGUUUCUCGUUCACUUUUUUGCUCAUCAAAAACCAUUACUUCAGCUCAUCCAAUCAGUGAAUUAGUGGCCAUUACUUCAGCUAAUUCAUUUUCCGAUCUAGAUCUUGAAGCAACACCCAAUUGGUAAUUAUCUCAGCUUAAAGAAUAAUUUUUUAUGUGUUUAUUAUUUUUUUGUUAUAUCAUAAUAAUAGAAAUGUCCUUGCAUUUACUGAUUAAAUGAUAAUGUGUUUAAUUUAUAAUUUUUUAGAAAUCUUUUUAUUUAAAUGAUAUGUUUGAUUUAUAAUUUUUUAAUUUAAAUUUUGUUUGAACAUAGAAUUAUUUUUAAUUUAAAUUGUGUUCGAUUUAUAAUUUAUUUAAUUUAAAUUUUUAGAACUUUAAUGGAUUAAAUUAUUACUGGAAAAAUGUAUAAUAAUUUAUUCUUAAUUUAAAUGUUGUUUCCACAUUGAAUUUUUUAUUUAAAUUGUGUUCGAUUUAUCAUUUUUUAAUUUAAAUUGUUAGAACUUUAAUGGAUUAAAUUAUUGCUGAAAAAAUUUAUAAUAAUUUAUUCUUAAUUUAAAUUUUGUUUCCACAUUGAAUUUUUUUAUUUAAAUUGUGAUUUAUCAUUUUUAUUUAAAUUGUGUUCGAUUUAUUUAUUUUUAUUUAAAUUGUGUUCGAUUUAUCAUUUUUUAUUUAAAUUUUUAGAAUUUUAAUGGAUUAAAUUAUUACUGGAUGGUGUUUGUAUAAAUUGAUCUUACAUUUUGCUUAAUACGAAUAUUAAUUAUUUUGUUGAAAUUGAUAAUUUGAAACAUGAAGAUGGAGUCAAAGAUGCGCAAUCGGAAAAAUAUGAGCCGACUCUUGGGAUGUUAUUUGAUAGCCAUAAGAAAAUGUGGUAAUUUUCAAUAUACUUAAGUAUCGUCAUCAUAUACUUAAUUCUUUCAUUUUCAAUCUUUAUUAUUAUUAUUUUUAAUAUUGGGUUCCAUGAGGAUAUUAUAUGCAAUUUUCCAUGACAUAAAUCAAUACAAUAAUGGCAAUAAAAAACUUAUAACAAUAACUUGAAUCUUAUAUUUAGAGGGACAGUACAAUCAUAUAUGUCUACAAACCAUACAAAAUAAAUAAUUGUACAAAUUAAAACAACUUAUAAAUAAAACUUUAAUAUAAAGCAUAACACAAUAAUCAUCAAGGGAACGGUGAACAUGGAGGAACGCAAAUGGAUGUUUACACUGUGGGCAUGUUGGAUUCCUAACAUACGAGGCCCAUCGAAGGAUGCAAGCUGCACUGCACAGAACAAAGAAAGAACGUCCAUUAAUGCUACCAUAAACGUCCAUUAAUCAUACAAGAGAUGGUAAGCUGAAAACCCCACAUAUUAACUCAUAGUCCUACAUAGAACUCUAACCUAUAAUAUGAAGAUGAUCAACGAGCCUUCAUAUAUGUCACAGUUCCAAAACCAACAAGUCAUGAGGCUGAUUAUAUUAAGGAAACCUCUAACUAUGUGACAACACAAAUAGAUUAAUUCUUGCAACAACAUUUUUAAGUUUUUCAAAAUUUUCUCCUUUUUUACCAAAACAAAUGCCUAAGAAAACCAAAAAAUAAACAAGCAGAUUGUCUCUGUAAAUUGAAUUAACAAGUUCUAUUACUAAAAAAAGGGUAACAAGGAAAGAAAAAUCCAAAAAAUAAACAUAUUGAAAGUCCAUUUCAAUUGCAUGGCACAACAUUAAAUUGAAGAAUUGACUGUACAAAAAAGAUCCAACAAUAUUUAGGUAUGAAAAGGAAAUUGAAUCCAAACCACAAAACUAAAAGCAUACUUCACUCGUGUGUACAAACUACAUGCUGAUACUCAUUUACCAUAAAAUAUUGCAGCAUCGAUUACCGAAGAAGAAAACAAUUCAAAGAAUGCCCCCAAGGCAAGCUCUAUCAAAGUUACAUAUGCAACAGACAUAGUAUUAUAGCAGAGAAACUCCAAUAAACACUCAUCAUGAUGCUUGACAAGAGAAUUAUUCAACAACUAACAACUACAGGGCCUAAGCUCAACUUAAACAUAUACUUGCAUCAAAGCCAAGUCCACACUCCAUAUAUGCUUACAUAAACCAUAUUUUCUCAAUUCUAACUGCAUUUAACUUAAUUUAUUUUGAUUUAUUUAUUCACUGGAAAUUUAUUUUGAUUGCAAAUUCUUCUAUCAUCCACUAAAAUGAUUUAAAUACUAGAUACAUAAAUACACACAUAUGACGAGUACGAAGGGUGAGAGAGAGAGAGAAGAGCUGCAGUAACAGCAAGAAAGUUAAGAUUUGUGACCUCGAAUCCAAGGCCUAUUUCAGAUGUCCCUAAACACUCUUAACUUAUGAAAGGCGCUAAUAAGUAAUCUGCACAGGAAGAUAGGGGAUAAUAACAGAAUUCGUGAUGCAUAAAUUCCAUUCCGAAUAACAUAGCAAAAAGAUGAGAGAUUUGAUUAGAACAAACCAGUAAGCGUGCUCGCAACCUUUUACAAGAGCUGUUGCCUAAAGAACUGUCUUAACCAGAGAAACUAAAAGAUCAAGAGAAAGUAAAACGGCUGGAACGAAGCGAGUUGCUGCUGGAGUGAACAAAAGGAAAGGAGUUGGAGUUAAUGUGGGAGUGCUGGAGAAGGAGUUGAAAAUAGAAAGAAAAAGGAGUUGAAAGGGAGUGCUGGAACAGAUCUGUUCUGUUGAAAGCGAAGAAGGAAGUGGAAGAAGGAGGAAAAUGAUUUGAAAAGGAGCACUUUUUCUUUUUCACAUGAGACAGAUAUCUGUUACUCACGUGGAAGGGGGGGGGGGGGGACGAAACGGCAGCACAAGCUACCGUUCUCUCAGCGUUCUUUCAGGAUUCCCGAUGUUUAGCAGCGCUCUUAAUAUAAUUGAUGGUUAGGUAAAAGUCCUUCAUUAACCCAUUAAAUUUUAAUAUUAUAUUAUUUAUUUUUAUAUUAAAAAAUAAUUAAUGUAGGAAAAUUCUUAAAAGUUAACGGAGAAGGAAGAGAAAAAGAAAAAGUGAAAACAAAAGAAAAUAUAAAGAAAAAAAAUUAAACGAGACAAAAAUCUGUGGCGUGGAUCAUUCAUAUCUUUUGCCUUUUCUUUUGUAGAGGUACAUAACAUGGACUUCCCUGCGGUGCCACAGUGACAUGGUGCCACAGUUUUUUGUCUUUAUUCUGUGAAGCCGUUGGAUGGUUAAUCAUUCAAUCCAACGGUUUAAAUUAAUUAUUGGAGGAAGGCCGCCAGAACUGACAACCUUUGUAGCCGGUUUUGGGUGAGUGUAAUACCAUCUAAUAGUGAGCGUGCAUUUCAAGAUCUUUUGAACUACGAAAUUUCGUUUCAGCGAUUUCAUUUGAAAAUCAAUCUGUAGACAGAAAGUGAACGCACGAAAUUGGUAUUACUGGAUCGCAAUUAUUGGUGGAAUAAUAUCAAACGGUUGAUGUGUACAUGAAUAUGUCCGCGCAGUCCGCGCAGUUGUAGGGAGGUGAUGGUGAAAUAAAAAAUAAAAUUCCCGGCAUGUGCAUUCGAAGGAAUUUAUGAUGCUGAAAGUCUGGGCAUAUCGAAUGAUCCGACGUAGUAGGUAAUUCGAUAUAAACUUGCAAUUUGUUUUAGUUGGAAUAUUUAUAAAAGUCGUGUUUAGGGUUAGUUGAAUAGUUGGUGGAAGAGUUCAGUAAACAAGUAGUAAUGGGGAAAAUUUUCGAUUAAGUAUGUAAACAGGGGUCGUCAAAGAAUGUGAGGUUACUAGGGAGGACUGAUUUGAGGAAUCUCACUGCACUAAUUGUCGGAUUGAAGCCACAAGAGGGACUUAAAAGUGUUCGACGAUGAAAUGAAAUUUGUUAGUAAGUAAAUAUCUUUUGUAAGUAUCAAUUAGUUAUAUGGGUAAUUGAUGAGGACAUACUUUUAUGGCAUGUUCUUAUAAUGAAAUUGUUAACUUUGUUUUAUCUUCUGGUGACCAAUAAUGUAUGGAUGAGAUGUUAGUGUUCAAUUGUUAAUUUGACUGUUGGAAUCAAUUAGGUGGUUGAUGUAGACAUGAAUGUGUUUCUUAGAAAAUCGAGAAUGUUGAUGAGCAUUUAUUGUGUGAACCCCCUCGAAAUGAGUCUAUGAAAAUGAUUGAUUAACAUUGUAGGCGGUGGCAUGGUUGUUACAGAUGAGUCUAUUUAUAGAUUGUGAUCUUAUUGUUGUGGUUUUACUAUGCCCUGUAAUUAAAUUCUGUAAAAUCAGAAUGGUGCAGUUCGUUAGAAGCACUCAUUUAUAAUUUCACUGCAGCAAUGAAGGUAGGGGAGGUUCGCAAGCGAAAAUGUAGGGACGUAAACAGCUUGAACGAAGAUAUGGAAGGCAAUCGAACAAUAGAACGUAUUAGCCAUUACGGAUUCAUCAGUUAUUUGUAAGUAUUUUUACUAUCUGAAUAAAUAAAUUUUAACAAUGACGAGUGGAUUGGAAAUGACUUGAGUUACUUUCAGUGGUGCAACUGUGCGUAGAAUGAAGGCAACAGAUGCAAACACCAGCAUUACAAGAGAGGUGCGUUAAAUGGAAAUAAAAUUUAGUGUACUGCAACACCUUUUUAAUUGGCAAUAAGGUGUAUGUCCGUGUGUUUCUAUUAACUGCUUUGCAGGUUCGAAGGGAAAUUGCGACGUCAUUUAAAAAUUUACCACCAAAGACGAAAUGGAAGUACAAAGUCCGAGUCGAACAAGCAGUGAAAGGGGAAGCAACUAACACAUAUUUUACGCGAUGUGCACCAGACAGAUUGGCAUCAGCUCUUACAAAUCUAUCUGAUGAACAAAGAGAAGCUGUAUGUGAAAUGGGUAUGGGGAGCAUGCUUGAGUUGAAUAAUGGUAGGCUGAAAAGGAAGCUUUGUGGUUGGUUGGUAGAUAGGAUUGAUGUAUGUAGGCGCGUACUAGUUUUGAAUGGUAAUGAGGUAGAGCUCAAUGCUAAUAGCUUUGGUCAUGUCAUGGGAUUAAUAGAUGGGGGCAUGCCUUUAAGAUUAGAGGGUGACAUCAAAGAAGUUGAAUCAUAUGUACAGAUGUUCAGUGCAUCAUCUAGAGGAAUCAACAUCAAGAAAUUGGCAGAAAUGUUGAGUAAUUCGACGGCAGCCAAUGAUAGAUUCAAAGUCACAUUUAUGUUGUUUACUCUAUAUACUGUUCUAUGUCCCCCUGGUGGAGUACACAUAAGUUGUAAUUUCUUAUUUUCUUUGAAAGAUGUGAACUGUAUCCAGAAGAGGAAUUGGGCCACAUUUUGUUUUCAUAAAUUUCUUGAAGGCAUUACUAGGUACAAGGAAGAGAAAUUUGCAUACAUAGGUGGCUGUCUUUUGUACUUAGAGGUGAUAUCGCAUCUUGGAAUGAUAUAGUGUCAAUAUUUUCCUUCACUUUGUUCAGUUGAGUAACUAACUAUAAUUUGCAUUGUUGUUUUUGUUAAUUCCAGAUGCUUUAUUUUAAUUCUAUAGUGUAUGGAAAAGUACAAAGAGACAGGUCUAUGUGUCCCCUGGCCUUGUGGAACGUAGAUGAGAUAAAGCGGUUGAUGAAAUGGAUAGAGAAUAAAGGUGGUUAUAGUAGCGAUGAGGUCAUCUCAAAAAGGAAUUGUAAAUUUGUGGGAUUCUAUGAAAGCAAAUAAUAUACUUACGAUGAAAAACAUGCGAUCCGUGAAUACUGCUUUUCAAUAUGUCCUUGCUUUACAUUUAUUGUAGUUGGAUGUUACGUAUAAAUUUGGUUCAACACUUUACUUAUAACUUCGUACUUGUAAAAUUGUUUUACUAGAUACGAGUCUGUGCUGCAUCUCUAAUAAAGGCCAACUCAAGGUCAGAUGGAUGCAGUAUGCCUGUGGAAAAAGAUUUUAGAGACUCGGAUGUUAGACAGAUGACAACAGCCCCGGGAAUGACGAAGAUAAAGUCAUUUAGUCAAUUGGAUAAGGCAGUAGUGAUAUCAAGUAGGCCAUCAGGAUAUAUUGAAAAAUUAAAGACAUAUGGAUCGUGCCGCAACAACCAUGGCAAUAAUGCUAAGGGGAAGCACUGGAGUGAUGCAACCAAAGGAGAGGGAGUUUGCACCAACUAUGAGAGUAAGCAAUUGUACAAAAGUGCAGCAAGUGGCAGUAUAUACCAGAAUAAUGAAAUCAAGGAAAAAGAAGUUUGUGAAGAUGCACAACAUAUGGAUUUAAUUGACGUAGCAGAUUUUGUCAUGGAGACUCAGACGUCCCCACCAUGCAGUGAAAGCUUGCAUAGUAACAUAAGGAUUGAGGUUAUCUGUAACUAAUAAAAGUUAAAUCUGAAAUUUUCAUCUUCGUUUAGUUGUUUUUUGUUAACCGAAUGUAAUUUAUGUUUUAUAAUUUUGUAAUUAUUAUGAGGAAAAUAUGUUGCAGGAGCCUGCUAUGGUGCAGAAGUGUUCAGAACCGAAUAAAAAGAUUGGGAAUGUAGUCCAUCCAAAGUCACCACUUAAUCAGAUAGGUGCUGGCAGAGCACGUUAUCAGGUUGGACCAUAUGUGAUGCAAAGACCUUUGAGUACUGAUGACGAGAUAUUGAUUAACUUAUGCAUGGAUGAAAAUUUGAAUAAGGGGUAACGUAUUACUUAUGUCGUUGAAUUAGUACUGGCAUUCAUAUAAAAAGUUACUUGAUUGUGUUUGAGCUUCGAAUAAACGGACUUAAUUGUAGGAAAUCAAUAAUUAUGGAAAAAAAUGUCUGCAUGAUAGAUUUUCCGUUGCAGGGAAAUGGUUUUUAAGACGAACUUCAAUUGCAUCGGCAGAAAUGAUAUUAUGUCUCUAUCUCCUAGAAGUACAAUCAAUGUGAAGGUACAACCACCUUCUGUUAAGUGAUGUACUUGUAUGAAUAAUACAUACACAUGUUAUACUGAUUGCUCUUGGAAUUUAAUAGGGCUUGAUGUUUUUGUUAUUUGUUUAUAUGUUGAAUUAAGUCAAUACCCCUUACAUGAAAUUGUUAAUACUCGUAAUUUUCAGAUUGUUUCUGCUGUCUCAUAAUUGUUAUCUGCGAAAGCGAGUGUAAAUGUUGGAAAUAGUAAUUUCAGCCUUUUUCUGCCAGCGUAUUCUGCUGUAAGGACUUUGUGUUAUAUUGCAAUAUUGGAAUUUUAUCCCCUAAGGGGCAGUUUAACAUAAAAUUUCGUGUGUUCAUUCAAUAAGGUGCAUUUGUUUACUAUGCAUGUAAGUUGAGAUAUUGUUCUUGCAAUUACAUUUAACUAGAGCAUUACAAAUAUUUGUUAUUCGAGUUUGGCAACCCACUAUUUCCAUUGCCUAUAAUUUUUGUUUCGGUUGUGAUAGCGUUGAUGUUCUAUAAACUAUACAGUUGCACGAUAACAUCAGUGGGGACCCCACAGACCUUACUUUUGGUAUUAAACAAUUUAUCAGUGGUGAUUUAUACCUGGCGAAUAUUGGUUCGUGUAAACAAGUAAGCAUUUUUUACUUAAGCCAUCAGCAAACCUCGUUUUUAGUUAAUUUUGAUGUUAUCUGUCAGUUUAUUUCACCCUGGUAUUGCAAUCAUCAAUAAAUUUUUGUCCCGGUGAACCAUGGUUUUACACACUGGUACUUAUUGGUUGUAUUAAUAUACAAAAUGCUGGUGGAGAUAUGGGAUCCACUGCCCACUGUAAUGAAGUCACAAAUGUUCGUUGUUGAAUGCAAACGAGCGGUGAGUUACCAUUGUAGAUGCCAAUCGAGUGUACUUUGUUGGCAAAAAAAAAAAUACUUAUAAAUGAACCAUUGUUGUUGUAAAUAAUCCUCCUUUGUUUUAAAAGGAAGUGUCAAAUAUUACUAUUGUUAUUACUGCAAUCUAUCGAUUGACGGAUGUUCCUGCAGCUAAAAUUCAUUGAGAUGGCGUUGCAACAUUGUGGCUCAAAUUGUUUAUCGGGAAGGUUAAACAUGAGCGAGUUCGUAAUCCAGCUUUGUACCAGACAGGCCAGUAUACGUAACGAAUCUGAUUGUGCACUAUAUGUUAUGUUGAUGAUGGAGAGACAUAAAAUGUGGUCGUGCCUUUCUGAGGCAGAGGUGCGUAACAUUUUUAACUGUUCAAUGCUAUAACCCAGGCCGUUAAUAUUAUUUAUGUAUCGAUUCAAUUUUUGCUGCCUUGUACUUAUUGUGUUUGUUCAUUUCAUUUAGAUAAAAUUUGAUUCAGAUAGUGAGAGGGCACGCAUUCUGAUAGAUCUCAUGACAUACAGUUUCAACUGUUUGAAGGACAAAGUUCGUUUGAAGGCUGAGAAGCAUCGAUGGCGUGUUGACGAUGAAGCCCAUUCAAUUUAUGAAGCGAUUAAAAAGAAGCGCGUACGACAGCUUCGGAGUGCGAACCAAAUAGGGCAUGGUCGCCGCCAUUAGCUGCAUUUUCUUUGACGUUCUAUUGUAUAAGUGCAUCCAUGCUUUUCGGAAAGAAAAAAUUGCUAGGUUUGACAGUUGCAGUUCAUCAUUCCAAAAAGCACAAUCAACCACUGACAAUUGUGAGUGAUAAACAACUUAUGUUUUGUUGUUGGCAUAUAACAAUAAAGUUUCCAUCGUGGAUGCCACAGUGUCUCAGUACUGAACUUAAUCAUUUAUGAGUUUACAUUGCUGUUAAUUUUUAAUUUGUCAAGACGGUUGUUCCUAGAGUAUUAUAUCAGUACAUGCUGUUAGCUGAAAUAACAUAUUCUCUGAAUUCUGCAUUUUAUAUGAUACUGAUACUUUGGCCUAGACAAGUUACUGAAAUAUUCAUUUUAUGUUGUAGUCUUGAGGAAGAUGCUUUUUGUACUAAUUGAACUCAACGAUGGAUUGAAUUAAGUUACGCAAGUUGUGCUUAUUUAAGCCUGGCAUAGGUAUAAAAAUUAUUUCUCAACUGCCUCUUAAAAUUUUUUUUUUCCAAAAUUAACGGAUAUAGUGGGAGCAAAAAAAUAGUUGUAUUAAAUCCCCAACCUCUAGAUCUUUUUGGAGUAACGCCAAUAUUCUUUUACAGAUUCCAAAUGUGGGCGUAGUUAGUUGGUGUAAAAGAUGAGGUUGCAAUGCAGUUGGAUUCACUUGCAAAGGCACUUGUGUUUAGAGUUUGGUCGGUUGAUUGACUUACUGUACUGGCUGAAAAUUGCUAGAACCAUGACUCUGAUGUAGGAGAAAAUGGUCUACCAUUUUCUCCUAUUUGGUACCGCGACAAAAUGUUCAUGUAUCGUGUGGGUUGUUGCGGCACGUGGUUUGUGUCUGCUGCAUCUGUCGCAUUUGGUCCCAUUACAUUACUACCACAAAAAAAUUCCAUGCAAUGGCUUGAACAGUCAUCCAGCUGUUGUCUUGUCCCUCCUCUUUUUUUGCACUUUCUAACAUUGUGGCCUCGCUGACCACAUCUGCUACAUUUUCGUUGUUGUGGUUGUCCCAUCUUCGUUUUUUUUUUAUUGAACCUUUGGUAAGAACAACUUCCGGAUCUUGUACCACUGUCUCUCUCCUCUCUAAAGGUUGCCUUGCUGGUUCUUUGGUCUGAGACAUUGCCUGCAACUUCAAAGUCAACUGGUGAAUAUAAGUAAUUGCCACAUUGUAUGCGGCCAAACUUGAUCCAACGAAUCUUAGCAAACUUCGACAUGCUGCAUAUAUUUGGCCAAUACGAGCCUGCUCUGUCAUGUAAUGUGAUUUAUUACAACUUAUAUCAGACAAAGUGUGAGCUUUUAUCUUUGCAGUUUUACUCCAUCGAGAAAGAAUCAUCGAACUUGGAAUUUCUGUCAUAUUCUGAGCCUUGAACACAACAAAUGAAUGCGAGCAUGGAAUUCCAAUUGUCUCAAGCAACUUGCAGGUGCAGGAUAAGGUUUUGCUAGUCUCAUUAAUCACUACUUUCACCUAUUUCCCAACCGAUCCAAACCGCCUAACCCUGUACGUUGUUGACAUUAUAUCCCGAUCACACAUUUCUGCAGUUAACAACGCUUCCUUGUCGAUUUCUUCUUGUACGAGGCGAAACAUGGCCCUUGUGAACUUUUCAGCUGCUUGCUGCUCAUACAUCUUUAAAUGUGUAACCAAAACAGGACGUCCAUCAGAACUGUUAAAGUCAUCCUUCCCCUUUGCUUCCUUUUGUCAAUCCAUUAGUCGGUCCAUCUGUUUAACAAAUUCUAUCAAUCGGAGCCUUCUAUUCACGUAAUGGUUUAGAUACGCAUUCAUUCCUUCCGACCUUUGAGUGCUUCUCAUUCCCCCAAAAAACUUUCCCCGCAAAUAAGCCUCAGCCCACAUAUGUCUAUCUUCAAACAUCUUAACAACCCAUUCAUUUGCGGCAACAUCAUGGUUAUCGACCAUCAAUUUCCAUUUUCGGUCAAAUUCUUCUUUUGUGUAAGCGUUCAUCAUGCAGCGGCGGAAUUCUGUUGUAAAUUCAGGGUUUUGAAUAUUUGUUUGAGCAUUUCGGACCAAAUGCCAGCAACACAACCUGUGUGAAGCUUCUGGAAAUGUCUUGCUUAUUGCAUUUCGCAUUGCUUUGUCCCCGUCGGUUACAACUGUCCUCAGAUCCUUGUUGUUCAUGGUUGUCAUCAAUGUCUCUAACAACCAUGUGUACGUGUGUUCUGUCUCAUCUGACAAUAGAGCAAACCCGAAUACAAUUGUUCGCUGAUGGUGAUUUAUCCCCAAAGUAACCACGAGAGGCUUCCGAUAUGCAUUGGUCUUGUAAGUUUGAUAUUUUUUUUAAGAUUUUAAAGAAAUAUCAAUAAUUGAUCCUGGUCAAAAUAUUUGUUUUAAUUACUUAUGAAAUUGUAAAUAUUUGGAAUUGUAAAGGGCGAAAAUGUCAAAUAAAUAGAGUCAGUUCCCCUUACGCAUCAUAAGUUUCAGCCCUUGUACUUUAGUUGUGUCAGUCUAUAAAUUAUUAUUGGGGGUAAUAUUAUCUUUUGAAAGUCAACAGUUAGUCAAUAAAAAAUUUUAACUUACGAUACGGGAUCUUUUACAAAUAAAAUAAUUUGAACCCAUGUACUUGCAACAGCCUCCAACCUCAGGGGAGGUUUUAAAAAUUACCGUUAAUAAACUUUAGCAUUUUAGGGUGACCCUUAAACCUUUUGGAUCCGACUGUCGUGCAAUAGUUGCACGCUACCCCAAAUUUUGUAUUUUUUCAACUCAGCGAACGGAUCAAUGGGUAAAGGGUUCAACGGCUACAAUGUGUUUAACUGGUUCUAUUAACACUUAAGUCCCUACUGUUUAUUACAAAUUCAUAAAAGCUUUACGUUUUUAAAUAUUCACAUACAUAACUUGUGUUAACAUUUUUAAAGUUUGAUCCAUUGACUUAAUUUGGUAAAAAAAAUGAUUGAUGCCUUGAUCGUGUAAAUAUAAUAAUGUAAUAUCGCAUAAAAUGUUUAAACACCUUUUAUAUUAACCUUCAUAGUUUAUAAAAUUAUAAAAUAAAAAAUGGAUUGGGCCACAUUGCAACAGUAGUACCGUGCCACAGUUGUACCUGUCGUUGGAUCUAUUUAAAUGAGUAGGGUGUGUUUGGUACAUUAUAUCAUAUUAUAUUGUAUUGUAUUAUGUAAUGCACAUGUAUUAAAUUAUAUUAUAUUCUAUUACAUUAAUAGUAUAUUAUAAUAAUUAUAAUUAUAUUAUACAACGUUUGGUAAAUGGUAUUAUCAUGUAUUGCAUUAAUCUUAAGAAUUUAGUCAACUUAUAUUAUUCUAUAUUCAUUAUUAAUUAUAUAAAAUUUUAUUUUCAUAUAAAUUAUUGUUAAAUAAAUAUAAUAUCAUAUAGAAUAAUAUUAUAUUAUAAUAUUUUAAUCUUUUAAUUUAUUAUAAUAAAAUAAUCAAAAUGAUUAAAAUAUAUUCAAUGCUUAAUUAAGGUUAAAUAAUAAAAUUAACAAAAUAUAUUGAUGACGACGACAACGACAUUAAUAUUAAUAUAAUAAUAAAUAUAAUAAAAAUAAAGAAAUUUAUUAAUAUUAAAAUUAUUCAUAUAAUAUAAACAAUAAAAUCAUAAUAAAUUCAAUAUUAUUAAUAUAAUAAUAAUGACAUUAAUAAAUAGUAAUAAAAACAGGAGGAAACAGUUAAUGUUUUACUCAAAAGACAUUUUAUGAUUUUAUCCAGAGAAAAUUACCUAUAUCUACAAAUUUGUAACUUAUGGUAUGUAUUCAGUUUUCUUAUAAAGUGAAAGGUAAUAUUGUGUAAUUUUUGGAAAAAGACAAAAUUCAGUGAUACCGUUAAACUGUUACACGGUAGGCGGACCCUUGUCAUGUGCCUUAAUAUGACACCAACUUCAAGUGGUGCAUUACUAAUCCAAGGCGUCACAUUAAUACUUGCUUGCCACUUAUUAUUUGAUGCCAUUUGGUAUAAUGUGUACUUGGUAACAGAUGUUUAAUGCUUCAUCAACAUUUUGCACGUUGUGAUGACACCAUGUUCAAUUCACUUGUUGUAACACCACCCGUUUUUUGUUUCAUCUACUCUUGUGCAUUCCUGAUUUGCAACUCCUUUUGUUCCUUAUAAAACCACAACUAUUCAUGGACACUCCAUAUUUUUUACGUGAGUCACAUACAACGUUUUACACUUACUUACUGUUACGGUUUGAGGUUGUCAAUAAGUAAUAUUACAUUUUCGUUACAGCAUCGAUUACCAAACGGGCAGGUCGCAUAAGUGGCUUUCUGUUUCAGCUAUCAUCAAUCAUUCAGGUGCAUCAACAAAGGAUAUGGGUCAUUACAUAAUAUAAAUCAGUCUGUCCAAGGGAAUUCAAGGAAACCAGUUGCAAAUGUGUUUGUUCGAAGUUACAAAAGCACAUAAAUAUAUCACAGAAAACAUAUCCAAUGGAAAUAUUACACAUUAAUUCCAGCUCCAAUGGAAGUCCCGCAGCAUAUCGAACUCUAAUGACAUGAAUCGGCCCCAAUAACACCAAACACAUCUAGUUGACUGUUUCCCUAGUAACCCGAAUGUUAACAGUAGGAGACUGUAUUCGAAAGUUGAGAAUUUUGCGACAGAGUGUUUGCAAUCUGGCGCCUUGAACACUUCCGUGGCAGUGGUAUAUGAACUUGUCCAACACUUUACUAUGCCACAGGAAGUACUCCACCAGGCGUACGUCAUCUUUUCCGUCAGUAAAUGCUUUCAUCUUUAUUUUUUUGACGCAUUCACUCAAGCAAUGGGGCACAUUUUCUGUCUCCAGCCACCCAAGUUCGUGGUCGUUUACGUCGAACCAAUCUCCCUGAUAAGUUAAAACAGGCAAACCCAUGGUUAACAUAUUGAACCUAGUUCCUGAUGACUGCACAUGACUAUUGUCUUACUGACCUUCGUUAAUAUACAAGUACGCAAGUUGUAGGUGGCAGUGAGGAUAGUAUGUAGACCUUUCCAGCCACUUCGUCGAACUUCAACAUCCAAAAAGGUGAGGUUGUCAAACCAAAUCAGGGACUGCCUUUCGCAUGCCCGCUUAAGUGCUUGUGGUUUAAUUGGUUAUUACACAAACAACAACAAUAACAACGUUCUGUCACUUUCAAGUAACAAAUAAUUAACCAACUUAAGCCCUUUUGUUGAAAUGCAAAAUUUGGCCUGAUUGUCCAAGGCUUGCUGACAUUCCUUAACAGUUCAAGCAAAACAAUACAUCUCAGCCUUAUGAUCAAUACAAAAACCUAACAGUCAUAACAGAUGAAAAAAUUGUAUAUCAAUCUCUGUCUACCUUUCUCCCUGCAGCGCCGCUCUGUCAAAAUAAUACUAUGUACAUAUCACAUUCGGAUUGAGGACAGCGGCGCAGGGAGAGUUUCAUAAAUUAUAUAAAUUUAUGACAGUACAUGUCGUCAUUCAUCAUCCAUAUGUAACAUAGGUUAACAAUAUAUAAUUCAUUUCACAUCACCAAGUUCAAACAACACACAAACCUUUAUAUCAUCUUUUUGUGGUAAUUGUUUUGCUACUCUACAAGGACUCAACCACCACCAUUGUUUUUUGUUGGUGAAAUUUAGGAUCAUGUUUCUGACAUUUGCAAUUUGACAGUGGAAAUAAUGACAAUUUAAACUACUAUAUAAUCCAUUUACAUGCAAUUACUUACUUGGCCAAUUUAAAUGUCAAACCAAUCUUAAACUAAACUUUAUACUAAUUGCAUGUGUGUGAUCACGUUGUUACAUUGAUACAAUAUGUCACAUUGCAAAUGUUACCCCUUAUAUGCUAGUUUACAACCUAAAAUUACCCGGUACUUUUUUUAAAUGAAUAUUUAGAUGCUGGUAUAGUAUGGGAAUGCUUACCAAAAGAACACCACCGGAUAGGAUCAGACGAGCUGUUUUUGCGACACCCUCAAUGAGGUUGCGAGCACGUUGUGGAUCAACUGUAUCCGAUUCCCAAUGUUGAAGAUCUAAAGUUGCUUACUGGAUGGAUUGCAUCUCAUGUACCUCAUAUUCCAUCAACAUGUUAUCAACAAUAUGGAUUAGUUGGAGAUUUGGCGCCAUAAUGACAGCACAAUGGUGGUAUGACAUCCCUCGCAACGAGGUGAAGAGAACAACAAACGUCAGUGUGUUAAGAGUUGCCGACUGAAUGAUGAAGUUCGCUGGAGGAUCAUCUGGUUGUAUCAAAAUUGUCAGACAGAGUUCCGUCAGUGAAGGGCAACUACAAAACAGCUUCUCUUUAACUCGGUUUUCAAGAUGGGUAAUACAUAUUUGAAGAAUCUUCAGUUGGGGAAAACACACACCAUCCGGAGGAUCUUAUAAGCGAAAUGCAGUGUGUAGUCGAAGAACUUCAAGCGUCAUCGAGCUGUACACAUAUGCAGGCAACUGCAUGGGUGCGUACUGGAUAAUAUCGAUUUCCAUCUCCCGAACAUUCCGCAUUAUUACCUGAGAUACCCACAAAGGAAACCGAUCACUACGUAUAGCGUUGACACUCUGAAGAGAGAACGUAUGUAUUGAUACGGGGUCCGUUCCAGCCAUCACUGAUUCUAUGAAGUUGUUAAAUUCAUCCACCAGGUCAGGAUUGUCAGCAGCAGCCCCCAUGGGACCCCCAUCAUCAAAGCAGAGGUUGCGAACUGAGGUCCAUACAUGCCUCCAUCUUCGCGAAAGACUUGAAGUGGCCACUGCAUCUUCGAGUGGCAGAAAAUUUAGGAUAUUGGACAUCACAGAAUCAGGCAAUGCACUAAUCCUGUCUUCGGGUACUUUUUUUAGCACUCUUCCCCGUCGGAUCCGCGGAACCGAACCAGUUGAUCUCCUCAUCCUUAAGGCAACUCACCUUGGCCUGUGGGACCAUUAAAUACAUUUAAAUUCAUAAUAAUCUGCUACAAAAAUCAAACCAUUUACACAGACGUUAUUUAGAUGUACAAUGUAGGUUGUUAAAUUCACUUCCACACACAUGGUCAUAGUUAACAUUUAUAAAUAAUUUAAAGGUUUAAUUAAGCAGUUACAGUAUGAAUUGCAUUCAAGCAUAGAUUUUUUAAAAAUGAAAAUUUUAUUGACUCAUCCUGAAAAUUAUAUAAUCUAUUGAGGUCGUUGAUUAAUCAAUUAGAAUCAGGUGUACAGAGAUAAAAUAAUACACACAAAAGUCCAGACAUUUCACCAAUUAGCUAAUCCUUUUAGUAUUAUUCCCCAACUUAAAACGAUAUAUCCUAAAACCUUAUCCUUUGUAAGCAUCGCGAUGAAUUUCCCUAACAUAUAUCCAACACAAGCAUUCAAUGUUUAGGUUCAGACUCAUUAACAAAGAUCCACCAUUGCUAACUUAUCGUCGUCAAAAUAAAACAAAUAUGGCACAUUCGCGAAUGAACCAAACAAUUCACCAAAAGGAUAGAAAGUAGAAGGGUUCAGCUGUCUAACGAAAUAUUAGGGGCAAUAAUGGGGAAAAAACAAAAAAAAAAUUGAUGCAUUUGUUCUGGGAACUGUCGUCGUUAUGUAGUGAGUUAAUGCUUGUUUUGUUUGGUGGUUAUGUUAUUGGCCACUGGGCUGUACAUUCCCGGGAUGUGUGACUACAUUGAUCAUUGUCACUCUCGAGAUUGCGGCUUCAGUUCAAUCCGUUAUGAAUCCUUGUGCCAUUGUGGCAACUGGCAACUGCCAUGUGAAAUUGAAAUAUUUGCUUCAGACAAUUACUCGGUGCUUCAAACAAUAAUAUUGUGGGCCCAUUGUUUAGGUCAGUCGCUUUCUCACUUCCCUUGUCUUUCUGGAUUGAACACGUUUGGAUGGUCUUUCAGUUCAACCUUUUUCAUUGCCUCAUUUGUCUCUUGUGGUGCUUGUCAACUUUAGAUCCUUCCAUACUUGGCCGGACACACAAAUUUAAUUUUUUAGAUUGCAUGGGGCCAUGGAAGUAUGAUGACUUCAUUCGGCAUGUGCGCAAUGUGACAACAAGUUUUUUCAUUUUUCAAUUAUGUCCUUUUUUAUUUAAUAUUAUUUAACCAUAAGCUUAUUAUUAUAUUUGUUCUUUUAUAAUUAAAUAAUAAAUAAAAAUAAAAUAAACAUAUUCAGUAGUUAGCAUUACAAAUUGAGACAUUUUUAUUAUUAUUUAUUUUUGUUAUUUAAUAUUAUGUACACAUACAGUUAUUAUUUAAACUAAUGCUUUCAUCAAACAAAAUAAUGCAAAAUAAUAAACAAAUCAUUAGUAACAAGUGUUAACAAAUAAAAUUAUUCUUUUAAUUUACCCAUAGGCUUACAAUUAUAAAUAAGCUUAUUUGAAAACUAAAUAAUAAACAAUUUUAAUAGUGUGUUACAUAUUAUAUAUAUAUAUAUAUAUAUAUAUAUAUAUUAUAUAAAAAACCUCAUUUUAUUUUAAUUUAGUCAUGUAGGUGCAAUGGCCAAGUCCGAAUGUUCAUAUUUGACCUUUUUUUUUUGCUGCGAGUUUAUACGUGUUAAUAUAUAUGCGAAUUAUUAUUUAUAUUAAACUAUAUGUUUCUCUUUGUACAUAUUUAUUGAUAUAUAAAUUUUAUAUGUUUCUCUUUGUACAUUUGUCCCUGCUUUAAUUUAAUCUUUAUCUGAAGGUAUUAUUAUGAAGAUUCUAUUUAACUUAAUUUUGAUUCGUGUUUUUUUUUAAUUUAUAAAUAAUACCCAAUUAAUUAUUAACUACUUGUCCUUCAGCGGAUUAUGUAGACAGACAAAAGAAGAAAAGGAAUUUAGAGAAAUUAAUGUGCAUUGAGAUAACCGCUAAUGUAGGGACGAAAGAAUUAUGCACAUGACCUUCUUAAUGCAAGUAUGAACUUGGUGAAAAUUGAGAAACUUUUUUUAUGUUAUUAUUACUUAACUUUUUGAACGUGGUUUCUAAUAAUUCGCACAUUUGCUUUUGAUCUUCUUUUGUUUUUAUAGAUCUUUAACAAUAUAAUUUUACUUCUUAUUUUCAUGACUUCUUAUUUGAUUUAUUUUAUUUUUGCAGCAUACUUCUUUAGGGUCUGCCUACCGUGCAACAGUUACACGGUACCAUUGAAUUUUGUCUUUUUCCAACAAUCAUACUACACUACCCUAUAUUUAUAAGAAAACUGAAUAUAUACUAUAAGUUACAAAUCUUUAUAUAUAGGUCCUUAUCUCUGGAUAAAAUUAUAAAAUGACUUUUGAAAAAAAAUUUAAUUGUUAUUAUUAUUAUUUAUUAAUGUCAUUCUUAUUAUUAUUAUUAUUAUUAUUAAAAUUUAUUAUUUUAAUUGUUAUGAUUUUUUUAAUUGUUAUCAUUAUUAUUAUUUAAUAAUUUUAUUACCGUCACUAUUUUUAAAAUAUAUUAAAUUUAUUACUGAAUUAUUAUUGAAUUAUUAUUUUAUUAAUAUUAAUAAAUUUAUUAAUCUUAUUAUUGUAAUUAUUAUAUUUAUAUUAAUGUUGUUGUCGUCAUCGUCGUCAUCAUCAUUAAAUUUUAUAUAUUUUUUUUGUUUUGACUAUUAAAUAAUACCACUGUCAUUAUUAUUAUUUUACCUUAAUUAAGCAUUACAUAUAUUUUAAUUAUUUUUUAUUUUUAUUAUAAUAAAUAAAAAAUAUAAAAAUAAAUUAUAAUAUAAUAUUAUUUUAUUAUAUCAUAUAAUAUUUAUUUAAAAAUAAUUAAUAUGAAAACAAUUAUUUAAUAUCAUUAAUAAUAAAUUUAAAUAUUUUUAGUUAAAUAUUAGUACAAAAUUAAUGCAGUACAGGAUAAUACCAAUUACUAAAUGUUGCAUAAUUUUAUUAUAAUUAUUAUAAUAUACUGCUUAUAUAAUAUAAUAUAAUAUAAUAUAAUAUAAUAUAAUAUAAUAUAAUAUAAUAUAAUAUAAUAUAAUAUAAUAUAAUAUAAUAUAAUAUAAUAUAAUAUAAUAUAAUAUAAUAUAAUAUAAUAUAAUAAUAAUAUAAUAUAAUAUAAUAUAAUAUAAUAUAAUACAUGUGCAUUACAUAAUACAAUAUAAUAUAGUGUGUCAAACGGACCUUUAACUUUUUGAGUGAUGAUGGUCUAGAGGGAUGUAGAGAAAGUAAAAAUAAUCCUAGUAGAUCUUUUACAAUGGUUGAUUAGCUAUCAUCACAAAGUUUAGGCUAAUACAAUAAAAGUUAACGAACUACCUUAUAUUUAAAAGAGCAUUUGGAAAUCAAUAAAUUUACUAUUCAAUUAUUUUUAAUCAAGAAUAAAUAAUAAAUGAUCAUUACAACAAGAUUCACAAGCUCAAAUAUCUUAAAAAAUGAUAAUUCUCAAGAAAUAUGAAACUCAAAUGCUUUUGAAAUAUUCUUCAAAAAAUAAACUAACUUCCUUUUAUGUUAUUCUUUAUUUAUCUUUCUAUAACUUUGUUGGGCUAUGUAUAUAUUGAUAUUUUAUAGGUAAAUUAACAUAUUGUAUGUAUAAAUAAACUAACAUGUCAACUAAUGUUAAAAACAAAAAUGUAAUAAAAAAGUAAAGUUUUGUAAUAUUAAAAUAAUAAAAUUUUACAACCUAAGACUUUUUACAUGUUUUCUUAUUUUGAAAUUUCACCUUUUUUUAUUUUAUAAUUUUCUAAAGUAUAAAGGUUAAUAACCUAUAUUCUUAAAACAUAUUCAAUUUAUUUAUUUUACAGUAAAUAUAGAUUAUAUAACAAAAAAUAUUAUUUACAUUUAUCAAAUUUUCAUGUGUUUAAAAAUUUUAUGUGAUAUUACAUUAUUAUAUUUACACCAUCAAUUAUUUUUAUGAUCAAAUUAAGUCAAUGGAUCAAACUUUAAAAAUUUUAAAACAACAAAAAUUAUGUAAGUGAAUAUUUAAAACCUUUUAGCUUUUAUGAUUUUGUAAUAAACAGUAAGGACUUAAGUGUUAAUAACUAAUUGAACACAUCCUGUCUGUUGAACACUUUAACCAUUGAUCUUUUACAAUGGCUGAGUUGAAAAAAGACAAAAAAAUGGGAUACCGUGCAACUGUUGCACGGUAGGCAGACCCACUUCUUUAUGUUAUUUUGAGGACACUACACAAUACAGCUUUGAACUUAUGAAGAGUUUAGAUGAAGUUGUUGGCAUUUUGUUUAUUUUGUAUUGUAAAAAAUAAAUUAUAUGUAAUACUAUUAUGUUAUGGACUUCAAUCACUGAAGUGGAUUUAUUUUAAUUAUAUGUUACCUGUUUUGUAGUUUGUAAUUUAUGCAUUUGUUUGAGAGCUUCCAAAUUAAUUUAAAAAUAUAUUAUGUUACAAAAUUUUAAUUACUUACAAAAACCUAAUUCACAACAUACAUCUGCAAUUUUUUAAAAGAUAUGUAAUAAAAUAGUAGAAGACAACAUUUACGGCUUGUGGUUAAAAACUUUUCAGCAACAUGCAAAUAACUCAUGUCUAAAACUGUUUUCGUAUGAAUGGUUCCACCAAUUACCUAACCAUGAAAUACUACGAUACUUUUGAUAGUAAUAUUAUGAUUAAGGUGCAUGAUACGAUUAUAUAUAGCAAAAGCCACGCAUCCCGAAAGACAAAUCGAUGCACACAUUGAACAAUUGACAAAUUUGUAAGUGGACCAAUGUACUUAACGCAAAUAACGUGAUAUUUAACACAACACAAGAACUUGUUCUAAUGAUUACAAAAACAAUAGUGGCAACAUCCAAGGGAUAUCUUGUACGUACGCUUCAUUCGUCUACCAAAAAAGACUACAAUAAAGUACAAUAUAUAUAAGUCCACAUUUUCCCUACGUUCACAUAUACUACCAACGAAAGAGGCACACCCCAAAUGUUGAUUAAUGUAACGCUUCCCUAUGAAGCAAAAUCGGGUGAUGAACUCAAGUGGCGCAUUAGGCAGUUCCAUCAGCAGUCUCCACCGUUGUUCCAACGCCGUUAGAUUGGGAUCCAUGGCAAUGAUCGCCUCCCUGCUAGAAGUCAAUAGCGUUUAUACAGACAAAAAUGAAAAGAUCAAUGCCACUAUACAUUUUAAAAAACGAUGAAUUGAUUACCCCAACACGUGGAUAAAAUAAACCUAUGCUAGUUAACGAUAAUAACGACAUCCAAUUAAUUGAAAGCUUUGCAAUCACAGAAAUGCUUCGAAGAAAUUUUUUACCGUGGCCGGAGUUGGAUUUACUAGCUUGCAUGUGCGCUUCCCAUGUCCGUCGGCCUUACACACCGUACACCUGUACUUUUGCUUCACGCCCACAACUUGGGCACGUGGUAUAAUGGGUUGUACAGCCGUGGUUGCUGCAGGGUUUUGGUCAGAAUGGGCCACCGCAUCCUUGACCACCGGGACAUCCUCUCUGGUAUGGCACAACGUCGAGGGGGGCCCAAGUGUUGGAGAGUGAGCAGCGUUAACGGAAAACCGAACUAGAACAUGGAGACUGCAACUUCCCUUUAUCAUGGACAAGUGGAUAAUGUUUUUCAACGCAUCGUCCGUGUUGACGUCCACCAUCCGACCAUCCCACGGGAGAACGACUUUAGGAUGGAAAUAAUGAACCGCAGGAGAAUCUCUAGUCUGCAGCACGAGAGCUGCAAUAUUGCAAAAUCUGAGAAGAGUGUAGUGCAUGGGCCUGAUGGAUUUAAUCAUCAUGGCUGACCCCAUGUACUCCAAGACAAAGAUGAAUGGUGGAGGCAUUAUUGGCGUUACCGUCGCCAUGUAUUAGGGAAACUGAGAUGUAGGUGCGAACUAAAAAAAAUGAUGAUCAACUGCGAUGUUCGUACUAUGUGGUUAUGUAAAGGUCAUUCGUGAAUGGUGGCAAUAUACACAUUCGUUGAUAAUAAUACGCAUUACAGAUAAAAAAUUCAUCCAACUAUUUUGAAUUUAGUGGGAAUUCUUAACCAACGUAAGUAGUCCAUAAAUAUAUGGGUAUUUUAUAUGGCCAAUGAGACAUUAGAAGGUAAUUAUUUCUGUGUUUCGUUUAAAAAUUCCAACCUUAAAUUAACUCCCGCCUUUGAAAGAGGCUGGUUAUAGGCGACAAAAAUACUUCCUACUAUUUACAUACCUUGCCGUUGAAGAUUUUGCACUGACAAACUAACAGUGACAACUACUAUACUGUUUGCAGUGCUUUUAUGGUAACUCACGAUAACGAAGCUUCCUGUGGGGUCAAAUGCGCUGAAUGUUAUUAAUUGCCAAUAUUCACAGCAGUUGCAUUCUGUCAGGGAUAUAUUUUCCAGUCAGUGUCUUCUUGAUAAAGGAACAUGAGGCGGCGGGUUGUUUCCUGUGGAUGGCCAUGCAUUUAUGUAGUGGCCGCCGCUAAGCGAGGCCGUCUGUUGCACCGGUGAAAGGACACGACACAAAGAACAUCGCUUCACCCACGUGGCCACGUUUUCACAGAGGAUGACCGUGUUAUUAGCCUUUUUUAGUUCACUUUUGGAGUGCAUUGAAUCGACUUGACUAGCUAAGUGAUAAUCUGUAAGCUACUGACUGCAGCAUCAGCCGUUGGAUACGGUUGGAUGUGAAGUGAGAAACUAAACUAUAAAAUGGGAUGGUGGGAUGAGGGGAUACGUUUGUUAUGGAAUCUGUACCAUAGACAGGUCCACAUUGAAUAUGUUCGUGCCUCUUUCUUCGAUACCCCCAACACGUGGUAUGACUUAAAUCCACACACGUUCAAAAGUUAUCACGGCAUUUACAUCUACAGCCAAAAGUUCAAACUGGUUUAUGGGAAGUAAUCUGUCAAUUGGGAAGCUUCCUGUGGCCUUGCACACAUCGGGUUCAUUGACUACAGCAGUGGAAAACGAGAAGGGUAUUGACGGAAUAUAGAAUUUAUUUGAAUUAUUUGUGAUGAGACAGAAGCAUUUGCUUAUUAGUUAAAGUGACCGUUGAUAUCUUCCCGUUGUGAACCAUUACGUGGAAAUGUCCCAGCAAUGAAUGAGAGUUUAAAUACCGCCUUCUAUCGUUUUGCAUCUAUGAGGGUGCACAAUAUUCUUCCAAGAAAACCAUUUUUCGCAUGUCUUCGUCGACCAAUAGCACCAAUAACAUGAGUAACAACCACGACGGUGGAGAUCGUCGUAGGUGGAUUAAGUUGAAAAAUUGAUAUUGCAACUGUUAUAAUGGCCGGCGAGCUGUAAUACGGAUUUCUAAAUCGUCAAAGAACCCAUGACGUCUUUUAUUUUACUGCGACACCUGCAAGUUUUUGCAUUGGUGGACUCCGGAUAACGAUGAAUGACACAGUCUUCGUGAGUAUGUGCAGGAACGGACAGGAGCCUACCGUCUCAGUCGCUUACAUGUAGUGGCUUGCUUUGUUGGGAUCAUUAUCUCGAAUAUACUGGCAAGAGCGUUGGUUGUGCUAUACUUAUGGUGGUUUUCGGUGAGGACCUCGGCCGAUCCAGGAGUGACGAGCCAGUGGUUUUAGUUUCAGCAUGGGUAGCAGUAUGGUGGGUGUUAAAGUAUAAAUAGUUUCCAUGUAUAUGUUUUAAUUUAGAGCUGAUCCAGCAAUAAACAAGUGUCACCAGUAAAUUUACAUCGUUUUUUUCCAAGUAUAUAGUCAUUGUUUUUGUGCAUCGUGGCUUGAAAGUGGGGCUACAGUGUUUGUUUUAUUCACGUUAGGCGCAAAUCAUGCUAAUCAUCGUGUUUGCUAUGAUUAGUAAGGGGAUUGUUAGGGCUAAGAAAAAUGAAAUUAUUGACCUCCCUGUCAAAUAUUGUUACUAGCUCCCAUGCACUAUAUCGUUGAAGGCAUCUAUUUUAUUGUGCAUUAAGGUAUUGAAUGUGUUGAGAAACAUACACUGUUAAUUCAAGUCAGUUCCCCUUAGUUAGGAUAGAACGAAGCAUGGUUGCAAAUUGAAAAUAUGGUCGAAAAAGACGUCCUUUUAUUAAUCCACCAGGUGACAACAUUCUGGGCGAAGGGUCAUAUUUGUAAAAACCAAGCUGACAAAACAGGAAAACGCUAUUGAUGCAAGUCUGCAACACCAACAACUCAUUUUUUAACAAUCUAGAUGCUACCCCUUAUAUGCGAUUACGAGGACAAAAAGAAAUAAAUAAUAAGACCUUCGCUACCAUUAACGAGAAAAGGAAAAUGAGUUCGCUAUGUGAGCAUUUUUGAAAUAAGUGGCAGCAUUUAGAAUUGUGCAUCUUCAGUGUGGACGUUAAUGGUAGCGCAUGCGAUUGUAGACCAACCAUGCCAAGCCGAACAUUAUGGAUGCCUCAUCAGCCUCGAUGUGAAAAGUGAAAUUUGAAAGAAAGCCGUCCCAAGUGAGAAACACAUCAACGAAUGACGACGUAAACAGCACCUGGCACGUCCGCGAUUCAAGAUUGACCGCUAUGUGGAAGUUCAUGAUCAGGUGAGAAAUCUGUUCCACCUUGAGGAAAGGCAUCGUAAAAAACAAUGUCAUUUUACAGAAAAAAAAAUAUUUGAAUAACAGGAAAAAAAAUCCACACUUCCUAAUUGGAUGUGCCCUAGAGUUUGGAAGCCGUAAAUCGCGACAAAAUUGCCGCAAUUCAGCCCUUUUAAACUGAAACAACUACCGCCGGAUAACAGAUAUCCGUAUCGAAGAUGCACGUUAUAAAUGACCCACAAAAGAGGAAUGAGGUACUGAUUUAGAAAGCGAUAAUGGAGGUGCUGGGAUGAGAAACGACUGUUUGUACACCCAAAUGAAGCUGGGUCCCUCAAAAGAUACAUUUUGUGAACUAUAAUUAAUCGUGGACCAUGAUCAAACGGUGGUGCGACUGAUAGUAUAACCCCCUAAACCGAAGCUUCACCAUAAGUACAAUAACAUGGGGGGAACUGAAAUAAUAUGUUAAUAGUCCUCAUUAACAAAGUUGAACCAUGGAGAUGUAUAUUAAGUAUAUAACAAACGUUCAAAAGUUGUAUACUCAAGUGAACAGGUUGUACAAGUUUGGAAGAGGGUCACGCGGACGAUUGGAGGGACGUUAACGCAUGUAAGAGAAGUGGACCGGCCAUGGGAUCAUAAUAUCAGCACUGAAACAUUUUACCAUAUUUCCCAAUACAUUUAUCACAGUUGUAAAAAAACUAAGCAUCAAAGCAGGAAAGCAUCGAACUGAAAAGAUCAUGUGCAUAGAGAGACGCGUCGAACCUGUGAAUGCUCCUGUUAGUUGGAGUCCCGACCGGAGACGCGACGUGCUGUACACAGCAACAACUCCGGGAAGAUGACUUCGAACUAACAGAAGGAAAAGUGAGGCGAACUUGUCAAAAGCAAUGACAAUCUUGUCACUGACUAAAAUUAUAUGUGGACGAUAACCAGCGAGUGCUAGCAUCUUAGGCCGUGUUUGGACGUGUGCAAAAAGAGGGAAAUAACUUUUGUGUAAGUUUUAAUUAAUAGUAAACACAACCGUACAUAAAUACCGUAAUUUAUCAACCGGGCAAAGCUUACCUUACAUAUAAUGUAACAAAAAACCAAUGAAUAUAAGUCAUUGAUUUUGAUAUUCCUUAAAUCCAAUGGAAAAAAUUAAUUUUAACAUAAAACAAAAUACAGGUGAAAUAUAUAUUGAUAAAAGCUUUUAUUUAUAAUCAUAUAUUUACGUAAUUUUUCAAAUACGUCCUCAUUGAGUUUUUAUAAUGAAAUGGUUUUUUCAUUAAUCUUUUCUACAUUUAUUUUUAAACUGUAAACAUUUUUUACAAUAUUUUUAUAAAGAUUUAUAUGAUUAUUAUAUUCAUAAAGAUCCACAAAUUUUGAAUAUAUUUUUGCGCUUACAUUUAUAAUUUCUUGUCUCUCUGGAGACAUAAACUAAAAUUUUCUUCUAACACAUACACACAUUCAAUCUAUUUUCGUUCUUAAAUACAUAGCAUCAAUGCCAUCACACAUAUUUUGUAAUCUAUAUUUAGUAUCAUGAAUUAUAAUAGACAUUAUAUGUAAUGAAUAUCUUAUAAAUCUAAUGAAUUAUUAAAAAGAUGGUACAAUGAAUAAAUUACCAAAACCUCUAAUAAAAAGAUUACAAUUCUUUGAUCUUAUCAAUGAUUCAAACAUGUGGAGAAAUAAUCAAUUAAAUUGAAUGUUACUAUUUUUAUUAAAUAAAUUAGAAAAUAUAAAUAUUUCUAUAAAUGAUAUAGAAAUGGUAAACAAAAUAUUAGAAAUUCAUAAUUUCAAUGAAGGAAUAUAAAAUAAAAUAAAAAGUUAAGAGAUCAAGUGAUCAACUUAGUAAAGAAUUUAAUAAAGUUAAACAAUUCAUAAAAGACUUCAACAUUAAAAAUCAUGAUAUAUUAAACCAAGAGAUUAAUAAUAUAAUGAAUAAAAAUUCAAUAGAUAUAAAAUUUAACAAGUUAUAGAUUCAAUGAAAUAAAAUAAAUAAAAUCGUUGAGCAGUUUCAUACUAACUUUGCUAUAAAUAUAAAUGAAGAACUUCAAAAAAACUUCAAAUAUUGCUGCUUGGGUGCAAACAACCUGGAGUAUAAACAAUCUGGGGUAUAAUGUAAAACAUUAAAACUUAUUGACUUUUUUAAUAAUUAUUAUCUUUUCUAAGGGUUUAAGAAUUUAUAACUGUAACAUACAACUAAUGUAACAUGAGCUUUGCCUAUCAACCGUAUUAAACAUCCAUGGAAAUGUAUUGAAUGUUAUUAGUAAUCGUGAAUUAGUUGUAGACGAUGCGUGCAUGUAGGGAAUUAUGCACAUGGCUGGAUCUAGUAGUGGUAUGAUACCAGUGAGCUACCAUAGUUUUCUCCGUAAAGAUGUAAUAAUUAGAAUAGUUUGAAAGGAAUAUUUUUUUUUUCCCAUUAUAUGAUGUAGGUCCCCCACAUCUUAUAUUUGUAUGUAAACAUAGGGCAAAACGAUAACAUCACUUCAAGCAGCCAGUUUCAUAGAUUGAUAUUUCCAAUUUUUCUUUUAAGUUGACCUUAUAUUCGCACAGUAAUACACACAAUUACGAAUCUAAUUUUUGUGAUCAUAGUAUAAAUAAGUACCCGCGAGAAAUAUGUCUUGUACAGUAAAAUUACUGUUACAAAUAACAGACAAAUUUGUCACUUCAUUAUAGGUAUAACAUAGUACACUCAAUUUAUUUCGCCCAAACUAAUUUAAUUAUAGUGAGACAUUCUUAACUGUUGCAGAAUAAAGUAAUUUCAAUUUUCAACAAAAAUGUGUAUUUUUUAUUGAAUGUAAUGUAAUAUCUAUUUCCAAUAUUAAUCUCAUGUAAUAGUUUAAAAAUUAUGACAAUUUACCAUGAAAUAUAUUAGUUAUCACAAGUUUCUCUAUUACUUGUCAUCGUAUCAUUAAAUUAAAUAGGCAACAUUAUAUUAUUUAUUAAUUAAAUCCCAAAAUAGUUAUGGUGGUUUGAUGAAUAAAUUGUAAGGAUUGUUUACUUUUCUUGUUUUGUUUAAUUGAUGCACUGCUUUCUUUCUAAUUAUUUAACUAUCGAAUGUCAUGCUAUCUAAAGUCUAUAUGUAUUCAAAUGACGGGAAUCAAGACCUCUCAACAAAUUUCGAAUAUAUAAGAUUGAAACAGCACAAUGUGAAAUACUAAUGUUCAUUUUAUCCUGUAACAAUAUGAAGAAGUUGUACAAUUUAUUAGGAAUUGACCAUAGUUGUGGAACGAAUUGUAAAGCAUAAUCUGGGAAUAGUAAGGAGAUUGUUGUGACCAAUACAACAAAAAACAAAUCAAAUACUUAGUAAAAUGUUGUUACAAAAUAAUUACGUCCACUGUUAACUUGGAAUUCACAUGAUAUUCCCCUAAGUGUAUUGAUGGUAACAUAUGUUGCACGGCUUAUAAAACCCCCGAAGUUCACAAAUUACACUGCAUAGGCGUGAGACUGGGGCCUGACAUUUUGUAUUAUUGAUACGGGCUGGGAUAAACGUCCAUGUGACAAUUACGUCGUUGGUCCUUGAAGAUUAGGAUAUUUACUGACGAAGUGAUAUCAUGGUUUCCACCCAGUAGUAGGGAUUAGUUGGUUAGAACAGGGGAGCUAUUUGCCAUGAUGGUAGGUUUUUUCAGAACGCGAGGGAGUGUUGGUAAAAGUCUGGGAAAAAGGAUAGCUCAUCGAAGCUUCGUAGCGGACAAAAGCGGCGGCCAAGUACAGUUUCCCACGCAACCACUGACAAUGAAAGGAAAGAAAUUGCAAACUUCCGGCAUUUUAAUUUAUUUUUGUGGCAGUCGUUGCUUUGGAAGGUUAAUCCAUAAAAAUAAGGUGAAAUGAUGAACGACAUUUGCGCAGGAGAGGAAAUUUCUUUCCAAAAAUUUCAUCAUAGGGAGUUUCAUAAAUCUGUGCAUGAACAGGAUCCUGUAAAGACUACAUGUGAAACCCAUAUAUCGAUUCGAAGGAAUAACUUAGGAGUGGGAGCCAACAACACCACAGAGAAGGAGAGUAUGCUAAAUACAUACUUCACAGAGUGACACCAGGUAAACAUCAAAAUUAUAUCGUGCUCAUGUUUAUUAAUGACAAGUCUGUCUCACAUAUGUUCAUUCCGCUGGGCAAUGAAAUUGCAUGUGACGGAAAUGUAAUAAUCACUUUAAAACUGCUGUAUGGGUAGUUUAUUGUAGCACGAAUCAGGUUUGCAAUCGUACGGUAGACGCAUGUUUACAUUACAAAAAAUUGUUACGUUAGCUAUUACUUACAACUUCUCUGUUGAAUAACAAUGUGCAUUUCGUUUAAAUUUGUCAUAUUAAACUUGCAUUUAAAAUGUAUAUUUGGCCACACCAUUAAUUACUUGGGAAGAUGGCCAGUUAUGUGCAUUAUUUGAAGAAACUAUCCCGCAUUUCACAGUUUAGGCCGUCAUGGAAGAGCAUCAGCAUAUCAAAUUUUUCAUUUGCUCAUGCUUGUGGUGAUUUAAUAAACAGAUAAACCAAAUUCAAAGCAAGUCAUGGAAGAGGAUCAGCAGUCUGUUGUCAAAGGUAUAAAAGAGCCAAAGAAGCGCAGGCUUAUUAGUUCUACGAAUCACGCUGACCUCUUGAACUGUUCGCCAGAAUAUGUUCGUUCCUGUAGCUCAACAAAUAGACGAACGGCUAUAUUGGAUACUGACAUGGCCAAAUUGCAAAAGGCAUUAUAGUUUAAGAAUGAAAAAUAUAAUAGAAAAAUGUCCAAGGAGUUAUUUCCCAGUACAAAAGGCAAGGACGAACUGGUAGAUCAACAAUGUCGGGUGCUUGGCAAGGGUAACCCAAGUUGCACGGAACAUCUAAAAGGGAAUAAACAAACCCCUGUGUUUCUUAAAACACGUUGGCCAACAGGGUGGUACUCGGAUGAUGAACGAGACACGUUGGCAGACGUAAACGAUGAUCAACAACAAUUAGAAGGAUACUCGUCAGAAAAAGAGAAGGACAAUUUGUACGGAUUGGUAGAAAACCAAUUAGAUGAAGAUGUGGGUGACUGGUUCAUAUUUGAUGACAGUGUACAUCAUAGACUAGUAUUAUAUCACGGCCAGCGAUUUAAAGAUGUGACCCAGUUUAGGAACACUAUUCAAGUGUAUGCAAUUCGUGAACGGUUCAAGUUGUGCAUUAUGGAAAAUCGAUCUCACAUUGUCAGUUGCGAGUGUUCUGAUCUUUCUUGCGACUGGCAGGUUAAAGCAAUCAGAGAUGUCCGUGGUAAGGGUUUUGUUAUAACAGAAUUCUCACUAAAACACAAUUGCCCUCGACUUGACCACGCAUUCCACCCUGCAUCAAAGUGGAUUUCAGCAAUGUUUCUUCAUCGAUGGAAAGAACAGACAAGUAUCACCACAACAGAGGUCAAAAAUGAUAUUGAAUCCAUGUAUAGGAUUAAAUGCCCUGAGUGGAAGGUGUUUUGUGCAGCAAACAGAGCAAAACAGAUUUUGGGCCUGGAUUAUGACGAUGGUUAUGCAAUGCUGCAUCAGUUCAAAGAAGAAAUGAAAAGGAUCGAUAGGGACAACAUCGUGCUUCUAGAAACUGAGAGCCAUGAAUCACGAAAAGAAGAAAGGUUCAAGAGGGUGUUUGUAUGCUGUGAACGUACAUCCUAUGCAUUCAAGGUGCAUUGCCGAGGUAUCCUAGCUGUUGAUGGUUGGGAAAUUAACAAUCCGUGCAAUAGUGUCAUGCUGGUGGAAGCUGGACUUGAUGGGAAUAAUGGGAUCUUAACAGUUGCCUUCUGCGAAGUUCAAGUCGAAGACUUGGAUUCUUGGGUUUUUGUUUUAAAGAAUAUCAACAGCGCGCUGCGUUUGGAGAAUGGCAAAGGUCUAUGCAUAUUGGGUGAUGGAGACAACGGUGUUGAAUACGCUGUUGAAGAAUACCUUCCUAGAGCUGUGUACCGACAGUGCUGCCACAAGAUUUUCAACGAAAUGGUCCGGAGAUUCCCCACAGCACCUAAACAGCACUUGUUCUGGUCCGCUUGCCGCACCACGAGUGCUACAAGGUUCUAUAACUAUAUGGAAUUGAUAUAUCUUGGAAGUCAACAAUGCCAUGACUGGUUGAAGAAUUCAAAUUGAGAAAGGUGGGCACUAUUUUGUAUGCCUCAUUAGGUUAAGUGUACCUGUGUCACAUUAACGAUUACUGAGAAACUUCGCACUUCCUUUGACCACUAUUUGGAGAUGAGCAUUACUAGAAGAUUUGCGGCCAUUGCACGCUCAACGGCUGAAAUUUUCGAACGUAGAAGGAUGGCUGUCUGGAAAUAGUAUAGGGAGAAAAUAACGCCCACAGUUCAGGAUAUCAUUCACAACCGUUGUAUUGAUGGUCGGUGCUUCAUCGUGCGUAAGCAGACUGGCACAAUAUUGGAACUGACUGAUAGUUGUUCAUUAUGUUAUGAGCUAAACAUGGAUGCGAUGCCAUGUAGUUGCGGAUUAUGGCAGAUCUCAGGAAUUCCAUGUGCUCAUGCUUGUAGGGGAAUCAAAUAUAUGAGGCGCAAGAUUGAAGACUAUGUGGACAACACGAUGUCUAUACAAAAUUAUAUAUCCACUUAUGCGACAUGCAUGAUGCAAUUACCUCAAGAAUAUGCUUGGAAGUGGGACGCAGGUCACACCCUGCUUCCACCCAUCAGUUUGCCUCUCAAACCAAUUUCGGCCAAAGGCACCGAUGACUUGACAUCCAACAAACAUUUACUACACACGGCUGAUCAGUACCUCACACCUACACGUAACCUUCAGGUGCAUCUUUUCCUUAUACAACUUCUAUGUAUAUUUGCACUGCACAUCCUUAAACUAAUGUCACCUUUGCGAAAACUUAUAUUAACUCCUUCACUACAGUGGACACAGGAUAAGAAUUCGAGCAACUCUUCUGAACAUUCCAGCCUCCUCAGGCUCAUAUCCACCACCAGCUCUAAUACUAUUAGUAAGGAUCCGUUACUUUUUACUAUAUUUUGCAACAAACUCAUAAGUCAUUCACAAUUCCUUAGUGUCCAUGCUUAUGACAACUGCUCUUAACUCACUAAAUGAUUUUUACCUCAACAUUCUACCAAAUUCACAACUACCAUAUGUAUAUAAUGUGCUUAAUUGCAACUAAACUAUUUUCUGUUCGGCUGGUUCUUCUUUUAUCUAUGCCUAUGCAAAUAUUGUGACAGUGACAGAACCAAUGCUGCUCCUGACAUAAACAACUUUUCAUAUUCGCAUACUGCAAUGUAUCUGUUGCUAUUACUGCCAUCUUUAACUAAUGACCAAGAGCUUCAAGCAUGUGAGGGUGAAAUAAAACUUUUGCACAUUCGACUGACACCAUCCUUGUUGGAUGGUAGUGGUAUCCAAUUACUGUUAUAAAUGUGUCGAAUAUGAUUGUGCCAUGCUGAGAAUGACGUCAAUGUGAACUUUAUAAUUGCACUGUUUCUUAAUGACUAUUACUGCCUAUUACUUAAUUUUUUAUUUUUCCUUGGUUGUUUCAACUGGGAGCCCAAUACUUAAAAUUUGUGCUCUAUAAAAAUCGUUGCACACCAGUGCAAUUUCUUUUCCUUUAAAUAUAGAAAUUGUUUAUCUACAAAAGUUUCCAUAUUUUCACACAAUAUGAUCAAUUUAUUGUAUUGCAGGCCUCUGAUAACGGUUUCAAUUGGAUGGAGGACUUGCACUUCAACUUUUGGCCUGCAGACCACCAUUUUUGGAGAAUGGCGCCAAUGGUGUAUUAUAUAUGUAUUGGUUUGUAGUGGGAUGGUGCAUGUUUUGUAUUUGGCUUCUGGGAAGAUGGUUACUGGUACAUAAAAACUUUAACUCUCAUAUAACCAACUUUUGAUAUCCACCAUAACCAACGUUUUUUGUUUGUGAAUGCCGUUUAAUUAACUACGACCAGUUUAAUCUGCAUCUAUUCCCUGUAUGCUUUUGCACUCUUUGUUUGUUUGCUUGUGUCUAAUAACUGUAAUGUCUCAACUUUUGAUGCCGUAGCGUGUUCUAAAACAUCUAAAAUGUCAGCACUAUAGCCAUUAUUCUCUUCUUACUACCGUUACCUAUAAAAUAAAUCCCGAUUUUGCAUUGUCCAUCUCCAUAAUUCCUCCAACCCUUAGAAUGGUUGUUUUGUUUUUCAGAACUAAUUGCCGUUUUUCUUCCCUUACAAACUUUCUCUCUUCCCCUAUUGAGGACCACCUACACAAAUCUGUAGUUUGGAGACAACCAUUUCCUAUUAUCUACACAAUUGUCCUGAAUAAUUAUAACUGUCACUAAAUCGCCUCCUCUAUCAAUUUCCACGGUUCUAACAUAGUAGGAUCCUAGUGAUUAUGUUCAUAUUCUUUUCAUAUGUAAUCUUCUCCAGCUUUUAUAAUUCAUACUCAUUGUAUGUGCUUCACCCAACAUUGUCGUCGCUCUUGCUUUGCAAAUUCAACGUCAACUAUUGGAGAAUAGUAAUAGGCACUGGGGACAUACCCAUUCGGUGGAGCAUAUUAUGCUUCCAUUCAGUGAACCUCUUCCACGACCUUAACAUAACCCAAACACAAUCUUGUGAAAAUCCCCCAAACCAUCCCACUCUGGAACAAUUUCAGUCGGGGUAGUUUAGAUAUAUCCCCGCCAAUCACUGAAUUGCUCGGUAAUUAAAAUGCUGACAUGAUACCCUCUUAUAUUUGGAAUAAAUAGAUAUAUAUAUUAUGCAUAUUUAGGUACCUAAUCAAUUUCGAUGCCACCAACAAAUAGGAUACGGGAAAAUAAAAAAAUAACUAUAACGAUAGAUCAUCCAAUUUUACGACUCAGUUGUGGUGGCCAAAUGUUACCAUCCUCCAAAUAUCUCAAUAGAACUGCAAAUACAUCAAACAUGCUUAUUACAGUUUUACAAGGCCAAAAAUAAAAUUUCUAGGCCUUCAACACCCCCUUCCAGUGCCUUCUCUAGAACCAUUACGAAACUUCCAAUACCUUGUCAGCAACCAUCACCAGUGAUUACAUACCUCAUUCUUCUAAAUCCUAACACAACAUAAACAAACAAAAUACAAACAUGUUUAACCAUUGUAAACGUAAUAACUAACUUAUAUAACAAUAAAAAUUUACGCUAUAUAACUAUACAGCCUCCACAUCUGUUUCAAUCUAUGAUUCCUCGUCCACAAUCUUCACUUCUGCUGUACAGGUAGAUGCCACAGGUAUUAAAUAAAUACUAAUGAGACCACAAUUAAGUCAGUAGUACUUGCGUUUAACAAAUGAAUAUUUUAUAUUACAGUGUAAACCAUAUACCUCCACAACGAGCACACAUCCAUUAUUCAACUUUCACUACACAUCAUAGCCUCAACAUGCCUUGAUGAAUACACUACUUAUUGGACUCAAUGAAUUUAAAUAAUGUUGGUAUCAAUAACACCUCCACUAAUCAAUACAUAAACCAUAACUCACUUUACUAUCUUUUACUAACCAAAGCUCCAAUGCAAUAGUCCGCGUGUAUAUACCUAUAAACAAAUGAAUGCCCCCCAUCAAUUUUCGUUUCUUCAUCGAUUAUAAAGGCAUCCUACAGAAAAUUCGAACAAUUCACUUUUCUAACUUUUCCAUGCAAUCUCUUUCAAACCAAUCCUCUAUCUAACCAUAACUUUAAAUUUAUGCAAGUCUUUUCAUCUUAAAGCCGAUAAAUGUAUUAUGCGUGGCAAACAAAGACAAUUAUAUUAUACAUAUACUUAAAGUGAAUGACCAACCAAAGCACACGCCUCACUAACAAAGUGGUUACAGAUCGAACCACUAAUAUUAUGCCAUUUUUUCCAUUUGUUCUUCGGUGACUCUGUAUGUAUGUAAUUAACCAUUAUUUUUAUGCACCCACUGUCGAUAUUUACUAAUAUACAAUAAAAAAAUUACAUCUACACAAAGUAUGAGCCACCGAAAAUCAAAAGCAUCCAUUGAAACUAUGUUUCUUUCCUUAACAAUUAACCCAUAAAUAAGGUUUAACAUGUCAAUGAUUACCCCACUGCUCAAACCCCUUUACUGUAUUUAUUUCAACCCCUAUACUAUAUUUAUUUCAACCUGAGCAAACCCAGCCAUUCACCUCUUCGCAACCUAGGCAUUUCGAACACCACAUCUUCGAAAUCAACUACAAAAACGCAUUCACAAACAUGAAGCCUACCUAUGCAUGCGAAACGACUCUUCCAGUGCCUGCAAAAAUGCCAGAUUCAUAAUACCAACAAGGCCAUCUUCAAUAAUACAGACAUCAAUAGAAUAUAAUUUCAUAAAUCGGCAGCAACAUUUUUCUUACGGCAAAAUCAAAAUCACGACCACCAAAAAACACACAUUCAUUUACGAUUUAAGGAAAGAAUCUUUACCCUUCCUUGCCUAACGAAAUUUCCGGUUAUUCCCCUCUCUCGCAAAUGUCAGAUUUGAGAUUCAAAUUUGUUUCACAUCCUAUUCUUGUAUUUUUUUUUUUUCCAUGGACUUCAAGACCUUCAUUAGACAACCGGUUUAAACGGUUGUUGUUACUACCUGCGUCCGCUCUCCAAACUUUUAUUUAAACCGUUGGAUUGAACAUACUUAUAUCCAACGGCUUAACAGAAUAAAGACAAACCACAGUGGCACGGUGCCACUGUGGCACCACAGGAUGACCCACAUAACAUAGAGUAGAUAUUUUGAAGUGAAAAGCAGAGCCUUUACUGUUGCUUGCCUUAUCAUCUUUUAAAACUAGAGUUAUUAUUCUUAUAUUUUUAAGUAGCCAACGGAUAGUAGCCAACUCAUCUGUGUUCUCUAUUAUUGAAUUUAAAGAUCAAUGAUUUGGGUCUGCCUACCGUGCAACAGUUGCACGGUAUCCCAUUUUUUGUCUUUUUUCAACUCAGCCAAUGGAUCAAUGGUUAAAGUGUUUAACGGCCAGGAUGUGUUCAAUUGGUUAUUAACACUUAAAUCCUUACUGUUUAUUACAAAAUCAUAAAAGCUAAAAGUUUUUAAAUAUUCACUUACAUAAUUUUUUUUGUUUUAAAUUUUUUAAAGUUUGAUCCAUUGACUUAAUUUGAUCAUAAAAAUAAUUGAUGGUGUAAAUAUAAUAAUGUAAUAUCACAUAAAAUUUUUAAACACAUGAAAAUUUGAUAAAUGUAAAUAAUAUUUUUUGUUAUAUAAUAUAUAUUUAAUGUAAAAUAAAUAAAUUGAAUAUGUUUUAAGAAUAUAGGUUAUUAACCUUUAUACUUUAGAAAAUUAUAAAAUAAAAAAGGUGAAAUUUCAAAAUAAGAAACAUGUAAAAAGUCUUAGGUUGUAAAAUUUUAUUAUUUUAAUAUUACAAAACUUUACUUUUUUAUUACAUUUUUGUUUUUAGCAUUAGUUGACAUGUUAGUUUAUUUAUACAUACAAUAUGUUAAUUUACCUAUAAAAUAUCAAUAUAUAUAUAGCUCAACAAAGUUAUAGAAAGAUAAAUAAAGAAUAAUAUAAAAGGAAGUUAGUUUAUUUUUGAAGAAUAUUUCAAAAGCAUUUGAGCUUCAUAUUUCUUGAGAAUUAUCAUUUUUUAAGAUAUUUGAGCUUGUGAAUCUUGUUGUAAUGAUAAUUUAUUAUUUAUUCUUGAUUAAAAAUAAUUGAAUAGUAAAUUUAUUGAUUUCCAAAUGCUCUUUUAAAUAUAGGGUAGUUGGUUCAUUUUUAUUGUAUUAGCUUAAACUUUGUGUGAUAGCUAAUCAACCAUUGUAAAAGAUCUACUAGGAUUAUUUUUACUUUCUCUACAUCCCUCUAGACCAUCACCACUCAAAAAGUUAAAGGUCCAUUUGGCACACUAUAUUAUAUUGUAUUAUGUAAUACACAUGUAUUAUAUUAUAUUAUAUUACAUUAGUAGUAUAUUAUAAUAAUUAUAAUAAAAUUAUGCAACAUUUGGUAAUUGGUAUUAUCCUGUACUACAUUAAUUUUGUACUAAUAUUAAACUAAAAUUAUUUAAAUUUAUUAUUAAUUAUAUUAAAUUAUUAUUUUCAUAUUAAUUAUUUUUAAAUAAAUAUAAUAUAAUAUAAUAUAAUAAUAUUAUAGUAUAAUUUAUUUUUAUAUUUUUUAUUUAUUAUAAUAAAAAUAAAAAAUAAUUAAAAUAUAUGUAAUGCUUAAUUAAGGCAAAAUAAUAAUAAUGACAGUGGUAUUAUUUAAUAAUCAAAACAAAAAAAUUGUAAAGUUUAAUGAUGAUGACGAUGACGACGACGACAACAUUAAUAUAAAUAUAAUAAUUAGAAUAAUAAGAUUAAUAAAUUUAUUAAUAUUAAUAAAAUAAUAAUUCAGUAAUAAUUCAGUAAUAAAUUUAAUAUAUUUUAAAAAUAGUGAUGGUAAUAAAAUCAAUAAAUAAUAAUGUAAUGAUAACUAAUUAAAGUAAUCAUAACAAUUAAAAUAAUAAAUUUUAAUAAUAACAAUAGUAAUAAUGACAUUAAUAAAUAAUAAUAAUAACAAUUAAAUUUUUUUUCAAAAGUCAUUUUAUAAUUUUAUCCAGAGAAAAGGACCUAUAUAUAAAGAUUUGUAACUUAUAGUAUCUAUUCAGUUUUCUUAUAAAUAUAGGGUAGUGUAGUGUAAUUGUUGGAAAAAGACAAAAUUCAGUGAUACCGUAUAACUGUUGCACGGUAGGUAGACCCCAAUGAUUUAUGUUAAUAAAUAUUUUGUUAACUAUCAAAGUUUUUAUUUCAAAAUUACUGCUAUAAUUCAUUAAAUUUUCAAUUUUUCCUUUUUCUAUUCACACAACAGAUUGAUUUGCCCUCCAAAAAAAUGUAUUAGAUUGUUUAAUAUUGUAACAUUAAGAAACUUAUAAUAAAUUUUUUAAGAGAUAAAUAGAGAAUGUCAGUCUCGCAUCUACUCAAAAUUAAUAAAUAUACCACUAACUCCUUAUUAUUUUUAUAAUAAUUAAUAAUUUUCUUAGCAGUAUAAUUUUAUAGUAUUAUCCUUAUUUGUAAGUACAUUUUUAUUCAUUUUUAUUAUAAAUUAAGUAAAUCAUAUCAAUAAAAAUUAAAAGAACACAAUAUGGUUUGGUGUGAAUAAAAGAUUGAAAAUAAAAAUAUUUUUCUUAUUUUUUUUGUUAUUUUUAAAUGCUUUUCUUGUAAUAAAUGUACAUUUUAUAUUCUUAAGAUGAAUUUUGAGUAAAUGACUCAUUUACUCACUUUUUCUUUAAAUUUGUGUUAGUAGGAGGAUUUUUAGAUAUAUUGAAAAUUGUAAGGUAGUAAGUAAUAAUAUAAUAAUUUUAAUAGAGAAAAAUAAUUAAUUUUAAGACAUUUCAGAAGAUAUUUCAAUAUGCGGUGGACCACAUCCUUGAGUUUUCAUUGUCUCACUCAACUAAAAGGACAAAAUAUUGAGUCAUGAAGGACUCAAUUGAUUGUUAAUUUUACAGCAAUUACCUUUUUUUUUUCUUCUUUCUUUUUUGUUCUUAAUUAUUUUGAAAUGGUAGGUAGCAAUUGCUUACAUCAAAAUAUUUAGCCUCACUCGACAAAGUAUCUGAGGCCAAAAUGCCAAAAGAUGGGACACCCACAUGUGCAUCUAAUUACAAAAUCCAAAGUUAAUGAAAAAGAAAAAAAGAAAAAGUAUAAAUGAACGGUAUUCGCCUCACUUUCAAACAUGUUCAACAUGAAUUUCCUUUUACCAAAAGUAAAUUUCCUCUCGGAUUGUCCUUAUUACAUCAAACGAAUGAUGACGACAUUCUCUGUCCGUUUCUGACUCUUUGCUUUUCUCUCUCACAUCACGAGACACCUCGUUUCUAACUAGGGUACCACCAUCAUAUUUAACUGUUGGGUCUUCCUACUAUGCAGCUGGUGUAUGCAUGAUUCCUUGUGACAUGACAUACAGUCAAUUAAAUUCUGACAUGCUUGCAAUAAAGACUAUUAAAGUGACCGGUUAUUCCGGUUGAAUUCACAAGAUCUCUUGUUUGUGCGUUUAUGUUCCAAGUUGCUUACUAUGUGUUACAAGUUCUCUAAUUAGUCUGAUAUUAUCGCAACUGUUGCUCAAUAAUGUUACAUGUUUUAUAAUAUGUCACUGGUACGAUCGCUGUCACAAAUUUAGAACAAAAAGUUUCCAAUAAAAUAAGUUAUUUAAUUAAUAAAAUAAGAAUAAAAUGAAUUUGUAAAAAAAAUUUAAAUUAAAUUUUGAAUUAUUUUGACCAAAAUUUAAUUUUUUUAAUUUGUUUAAGAAAAUGCGUUGUAAUUGUCUUGUUUUAAUUGGAAAAUCAAUGAAAAAAUUAUGUAACAGACAAAAAAAAAAAAAAGCAAAACGGUUUGUUUUGUACGGAGGCCAUAGAUUCCAAUAUUUCCUUCACGAAAACUACAAAUAAUUAUCAAAGGCAUCAAUUUCUACACUCUCACCGAGCAAUACUUUUAGGUAGCGUUUAUUUUUUGGAUUGGAGUGGGAAUCCUGAGGAGUGGGAAUCAUAGGAUUGGGAGUGUGGAGUGGGAGUGUGGAGUGGGAGUGGGAGAAUGUUGUUUACUUACACUAGAAUGGAAGUAUAUAAUGGAGAUCAGAAUUCAAUUUAUGUGUUUACUUUAUCUUAGGUUGGGAAUAAAUAGUUUCAAAUUACAAUUUUAUCUUUAUUUAAAGAAUUAUAGUUUUUAAUUACAAAGCUAAUAAAAAAUAUAUUUAAUGAAUAAAUAUUUAUUUUAUUAUAUUUGUAAAUUUAUAAUAAUUAUUAAUAUUCUUAAUUAUGAACAUCACAUUUUUUUUAUUAAUUUUAAUUCUAAUAUAAAAUGAAAUGUUAUUUUAUUUAAUAUAAUUAUAUUAAAUUUAUUAUUAUAUAAACUAAUAAUAUAAUUUUAUUUAGUACAAAAUUAAUAUUUUCUUAGAAUAACCUAUUUAUUAUUAUUAAUAUUAAAUAAAUAUAAUACUAUUAUUUUUAAAAUAAAUACAAUAAUAUUAUAUUUAUUAAUUCUCUAUUAAUAUAAUAAUAUUAUUUUAAAAUAAUUUUAACUUAGAAUCAAUGCAAAUUAUUAUUUAGUUAAAUAUAAUAAUAUUAUUCAAAUAAAUAUAAUAUUAUUUAUUUUAUUUUAUUAAUUAUAAAUAUUAAAUUGAAUUAAAAUUUAAAAAAAAAUGUAGAAAAGGGAGAGGUGGGAGUGGAUUCCCACUCCCACUUCUCACUCCAAAAAUGGAUAGGGCCACAGAGUGGGAUUCUCAAUCCUUCACUAAAUAAGUGAAAUAAACACUAAAGUGUGAGAAAUUCACACUCCUCACUCCCACUUCAAAAAAUAAACACAACAUUAACCCAGAAGAAAGUGUAUAAACCAACCCCAAUCUGUCCAUCAAUGUCGUCAACCUCAUACAGCAUAAAGAAAAUCUGUCCAUUAAACCGCCAUUUAAACCGUCUUUAUUGAGCCAUUAGACUAUUCGUGUCAUCUUCCCAUCUCGUUGUAGUAUUUUGCCUUUCAAAUCUAGUUAUCCAUUGGGGAAAAUGGGGACCAAUCUGCAAGUCUUUAAAAUAAAAAAGAAACUUUAAUUGGGCACUAUGUUCACGGUGGUGGACCUAGCAUUAGCUAUUUGUAUUUUAAAAAUUAUUUUACACACUCUAAUUUUAAUAAGAAUAUAUAUUACAAAAUUACUUAUCAUAUAAGUUACUGGACAAUAUAUUAUAAGUCAACAUUAUAUAAUUACUUUGAACAUUUAUAUAGCCCAAUCCUAAUUCAAUUUAUUACUCUCAUGAUUAAAUAUAAAAAUUUUUAUUUCCAACUUCUUAAUUAAUAUGUAGAUGAAUAAUAAGGAAAUUAACUUUGAGAAAAAAUUAAAUACAAAAUAUGUGUAAUACUUUAAAAAAAAUAAACAAAAGUAUUGCACAAGAUUUUUUUUGGGGGGGGGGGGGCUUGGCCAUUCUUCUUCUUCUCCUUCUAUCUCUCUUUUUUUGUAGUAUUUAUGGAACAUUUUCUAUUGUUAUAUUCUCAUUGCAAGUUAUUUUGGGUGUAAAAUUCAAUAUUGAAAAUAAAUUAAAUAAAAAAUUAGUAACUAAAAUUAUGUUAAAUUAUUUUUUAACUUAAUUUUUAGUUAUAUUAUUAGUAUAUGUUAGAUCUCUUAAAAAUCGAGUGUUGAAUAAUUUUAUUAGUUUUUUAAACAAAUAAAGUUAAAUAACUUAAAAAAUUUAAGUAAGGAUAUUUUUAAAUUUUUAAACAGUAUACAAAGUAAAGUUUAUUUUCUUGUCAGUGGCAAAUGAUCACGACAAGAAAUCUGAAGUAGAAACAGCAGAGCUCAACAAAUCACUAAGAGAAAAUAAGACCAAUAACCAAGCAGAUAAAAGAAAAGCAAAAUAACCCAUCUCAAAAUCACCACAUGCACAAUUUAAGGGGUUUGUGACAUGGGUUUAAGCAUGAUUUAACAAGUGCCACCUGUGAAUUGUCAGAGAUUGUAUUUUCAUACACAUGUCAAAUUUUCAAGUCCAACAAAUUGUUAUCUUUCUAAAGAGGCUAAUAUAUUAUUAUCUAUGCAUAGCAUGCUAUAAACAAUUCAUAUUACUGGGCCUUUGUUUUGUGUACACAACAUAUGGACAGAGGAACAAAUGCCUGAGCUAAAAUCAUCAUAUUCCAAAAUAUUCUAUUAAAUCAGCACCACAAAACGCGAACGCUAAACAGAAUUGGAGCAAUUUACCAAAGCUAUUUGUCACGCAAAGCACUAGUACCUCAGAACCCAAUUUGCAAAAAAGCACCAAAAAUGAAAAAUAACAAAUGCCCAGAUGAAAAAUCAGGAAAAAAAAAAGCUCAAAUCCAAAUUACAACCCCAUAAGCUGAGUCGUUCUCUUCGAACUGAAUUAAAAAAAUUAAAAAAAAUUAAAUAGGGAGAUUGACCUCAAACUUUGGAAACAGAAGCGACAUCGAUCUGUUUCUUGUCUGGAGUGUCCAUUUCUAUAAUCUACUUUGUCCGUUUUCAGUCGCUCUGCCACAGAACUUCUUCCCUCUGAAGCUGCAGCUCACACACACUUGCAAAACGAAAGCAUUUUUUAUUGAUUGAGAGGCGGGAAGGCGGGAAAAUGAGAGAAAUUUGCAUUUGUUUUCUCUUGGUUUGGUCACACCUGUGCGGGCCCCAGCUCGACAAGCGGUAUUAUUACUAUUUGUAUAAUUUACAUGACGCGUGUCACGCAAUGACGAUAAAAAUAUAUAUAUAUAUAUUGUUAAUUUUUCACUUAACAUUGAAAUAUCAUAUAAUUUUUCUAAUUUUAUGGUUAUUUUCUCGCCCUUAUGCCACAUUCUUUUGAUCAAAUAAUACAGUAAAAUUUUUCUAUAAUCAUAAUAUUAGAGCCAAAUUAACUUUAUUUCUGUAAAGAGGCUAUAGCUUAAUAAAGGUAAAACUAUAAAAAAUAUUAUUUUGACUCAGUUAUCUUUAGUGCAAGUGAUAUAAAGUACAAAUAUAUGAUAAUUAAUUAAUGAACUAUGUCAAAUACAAUAUGCUGACAAUGAUAAAAAAGAUAGACAUAAUUUCAAGAAACUAAUACAUAUAUUUAUGUAGUGCUGGGAUUAUACAAAAUUAUCUUAAAAGUGUAAAUAGUAAAGUACUAUUCUGAUUAAUUUAAAAAAAAUAUUUUAUCUUAAUCUUUAAUGCAACAUAGCUUUUUUUUUUUUCUUAGCAACAAAGCAUUGUUCCAAAUAAUUAUUAUUGGAUUCAAAUCAUGUCCUAGGCAUUUUUUCUUCUAGUCGUCUUUAACUUUUAAUGAUUUAUUGGCAUGUGUCAAUCAUUAAUGAAAUUAAAUAACUAAGACUUUGUUUUAAUUAACGUUUACAUAAAUAGACAUCAAAACUCACAUGUGAUUCUUAUCAAAUUUUUUCCUGCAAAUUCUUUUCCUCUCAACUAUUCAUAUUUUGAUAUUAAUUUCCAGCAAAUUAUUAAAAAAAAGAAGAAGCGUAAAAUGGAGAAAAGUGAUUGACAAUAAGAUUUGCAUCUUUAUUUCAAAAUUUUCCUUUCUUUGCUAUUUUUGUGGGUUCUACAAUUGUUGUUUUCACUCUCAGCUGCAGUUCAAUGAACUCUAUUAAAUAAUUAGUUUUUAAACUACAAGUAGCUUUGGAACAGCUCUUAAAUUGAUAUAACUUCUAUUAUUAUGUAACUUAGCAAGGUCAGAUAUUUUAAUAAUAGCACAUCACUAUUGUUUCAUGUGAAUGAUGCAAUUGGAUUAGCCAAUACAUACCGUCAUCCCCGGGAGAUGCUAUGGCAAUAGCUUACUCUACCGUGCCAAUGUCAUUAGUAUUAAUCUGUCGAACCUAAGACCAGAUCUAAGUUGAUCUAGAUUCCCCAAGAUUGCACACCACACAGUGAUUAAUGAAUCAAGAACAAUAAACCAUCAAAGAAUCGCAAACUUACAUGUCGGGUUACAUGUAAUAAAUGUUUUAAUUAUUAGAUGAUUCAUAAUGUUAGACCAUUUUUUGUAUGUUUUGUAAUCUACGUUUGAUAAUUUAAUUAGCUGAUAAACACUUGAAUAAUAUUAUUUCAUUAACUAUGUCAUUGAUCCCCAGGAAAAAAAAAAAAAAAAAACCCAAUUUGGGAUGUUAUACAUUACUUUUUCAUUACUUCCCAUUUUAGAUUAAUAUUUAUCACAUAUAUUCUUAGCAACUUGUAACCCUUUUUGCUAAGGGUGAAAUGUGUUUGUUACCCCUUCUAUUUCUGAGAUUGUCCUUACAAUAAGGAUGCCGGCCACAAUGUCAAAAACUGCUAUCUCUAGGUGUAAAUUCCUUAUAAAAUUCUUUUUUAAUUGAAAUUACUUAAAUAAUUGAAGAUAAAUUAAUUUUUUAUUUCAUUCAAAUAAAAAAAAUCAAUUAAACACUUCAAUAAGCUAUCCUUUUAAUUUUUUUUUACACCCAUCCAGUUUCAUAAUUUAUAUUUAUAAUUUAAAUUUUAAUGGGAAUAUUUUUUUGAAAAAUUUUAAGAAUUAAGAAUUAUGGGGAUAAAAAUUAUGUAAUAAGACCAAAAUAAUUUAAAAUUUUAAAAUUUGCAUGUAUUAUAAACAAAAACUUGAAAGAAAUACUCUUUUCAGGGUGAAAUUUAAUGAGAAAAAGAUUAAUUUUAAUUUAUGAAUUAGUAUUUUAUAAGUUAAACUGAGGUAUUUCAAGAAAUAGAAUUCAAAAGGCAUGGGAACGAGGGCCUUGGGUUUCAUUUUGUUUUGUAUGAAUUGGGAAAAAUACACGGACAGACAAAGGGAGCAGUCAUUAUAAUGCUGUGGAGCUUGUCGGAGAUUCCCUGCCCAUUUGUAGCUUAGAAUCCUGGGGUUUUGUUCAUGUCUUUUCUCUUUCCCACUUUCUCAUAUUGCUGUCUCAUAAGAGAAAUAGUCAUACAUAGUUGGUUAGGCCUCCAGUCCAUUAACUUAAUAAUGAAUUUUAUGAAAAUUGAUUAUCUCAUUGGAAUUACAUAGAUAUUGGAAAACAUUACUCCAGCCCCACCAUCCCAACCAUUUACUUAGUUCAUCAGUAAAAGCUGGAUUUUCCAUUUGUUCUUGAGAUUCAAAUUAAGGCAGCAAGUUGCUCAUUCAAUAUUAUCUAUGUAAUCCUGUAAAAGUGAAGGGCGUUUAGAUGUGGAAAAACCUUACUCCUGCCGCAACACCUCAAACAGAUUGUGAUCAGACAAGACUUAGUUCAUCAUUAGCGGUAGUUGGAGCUUCCAUUUGUUCUAGAGAUUCAAAGGCAGCAAGCUGCUUCCUCAGUGCUACUAAUUCUUCCCCGGCAUUGCAUAUGUAGCCUGAGGCUUGUCUGCCAGACAAAGUUGCUCCUUCCAUACUAUCUAUGUAAUCCUGUGAGAGUGAAACCAUUUAGAAGACAUAUCUCUUUUUUUUUUUCAAUAUUUGGAAUGAAACAAUUAUAUACAGUUACCUGUUUUGUAUAUGAGCUGGCGAGGAAGAAGUUCUUCACUGGUAUCUUUUGAUCAGGUCUGAAGGGGUCUUUACCAGGUCCCUCACCUCACAAAGAUUGCCGGAUUUUGACGACAGAUAACCAAAUAACUUCUAAACCUUGGGAUGAUGGAAAUAGAGCUCAAACCUAAUAAAAGGAACCGUGAAUGGAUAGUAUGGACUCAUGUAUAUUAUCCAGAAAGUUGCAUGACCUUUUUUGGUACUCAGGUCACUAAAAAAUGUGAGAUAAACAUCUAGGAUAAGAAAAGCAAAAAAGCAUAACCUAAUACGUAUUAUAUGAAUUGAAGGUGUCACUGAACGCUACCAACCUGCUUUGCCACUCUCCUUCUGAUUUCAUCAUUUGGUAAGGGCAUAUAAGGAUCUCCAGGCGUCAAAAUGCAUCUGAAAUAUAAUAUGGCUAUAGUAAGUAACACAGAAUACAAAGACACUUAGCAAAAGGAAGUCAAUCAGAUUCCAUGCACAAAAAAUAACUAAUAAUGACGAGGAUAAGAAAUUUUUCUUGCUGGAGCAACGAACCUUGCCCUUCUCUGUAGUAGUCUUCUGGUGAAGUGAGUGCUAGAUCUGCAAAGCAAGAUAAAUCUGCAUCUGGAGUAUAUGAAAGGUUAUCUAACCCCACAGCUUGCCUCAAUUGUCUACAUGUUCAAAA